rnacentral:lncRNA from 1 species
AGGGGCGGCGUCAAGCGCAUCUCCGGCCUCAUCUACGAGGAGACCCGCGGCGUGCUGAAGAUCUUCCUCGAGAACGUCAUCCGCGACGCCGUCACCUACACCGAGCAUGCCCGCCGCAAGACCGUCACCGCCAUGGACGUCGUCUACGCCCUCAAGCGCCAGGGCCGCACCCUCUACGGCUUCGGCGGCUAGGCUCGUCCUCACCUCCGUGCAAAUUCCGAUGUGCCUAUCCCCCUGUGCGCCGUAGUCUCGCUGUCCAGAAAACUUAGCUGAAAUGAGUUCCCCAUGUUUAUCUCCGCUGUUUCCUUCGUAGGAUUAGCUGUAUCGUCAAACAAAGCUGUUCGCAUCUGAAGUUUGAAUCCAAUCUUGUGUCUACGCAAAUAUUGUGGUUGUGGUUUUGCUGUGAUUUUUACUGCUGCGCUGUUGCAAUUGUGGUGUGUCGAUUGUUCCUUCUGUAGCGCAAGAUCUGGUUGCUAGUACUGAAUUACAGAACGAAGUUUCCAGAAUUCAGUCUGCAUUUCGGACAUUGUAGAUUUGCCUUUCUUGAACGGGUCUGCGACGUGAACUAUCUAUAAUGACUGAAUCAUGUGGUUCGUGUCGGUAACCAGGAAAGGCCAUUUGCUCUAUUUCCAAACAUCACUGUGGAAAUGUUUUCAUUGGAUGAAAUAUUAGCAGCAAUAACAUUUUCAAACCUAGGAACACUUCAUCUUGGUUUUCGUUGGACGUUAAGCAUACCACUGUGAUGUUCUAGAAUAUGAGAGUUCACAUCAUCUUCAAACCUGGGAACAUCAGUUGGUUACUUGAUGCGCUUACAACAGUGUGUUAGAGCCAGAUCCUGCAAAAGCCUGCAUUAGCAGGUUUAUUUCCGUGUAUAAAUGAUUUUUCAACCAUGAGGGGAGGUGUCAAGGGAACAGUGAAUAACCUGUAGCGAGCAAUGACCUGUGAACCGUAGAAUCCUAAAGAAGUCAACUCCAGUAAGCAAUGGAAAUGGGAGGACUGGUGAGGCGUUGGGUCAAGUGUUCUGAAUUAUCUUCAGAUGUCCAAAAUGGUUCACAUGAAGAAUACUCCCUCCGAUCUAGUCUGUGCUUAGAAGACACCUUACAUAGUACUCCCUCCGUCUCAUAAUGUAAGAACGUUACAAAUCAAUCAUUCUGCAGAACAGCAGUGCAGCAAGUAUAGGAAGUUGGAUUGACGUCCAGAGCGAAUUAGUGACCGCUCUUGUCCAGUAGACAGAUUACAGCAUUUCAAUACAUUCUUUCUAGAAGCAGCGAGGCAAAUGCCGGGCAAUGUGUGAGGGCGACGAUAACACGCAGUUCUUCCACGCCAGUGCCUUGCGCCGUUUGGGUCCUGGACGUUGGCGCCUUGGCAGGGUGCAGGUUGUCACGGGAGCUCCUAAUUGGCGCUUCAGGUGUGAGCUCGCCCGUUGGCGCUCACGGGCACUGGGCCGGCCCAUCAAGCGCGAAUUCCUGCUCGAAUGCUCGGUCGCAGUUAGAUCGCUCCUCUCGAUUUCUUUUCUGCUCACUCGUUCAUUUUUCUGUUGACCAAUGGUCAGUGAGACCAUUUACUAAUAAAGAAAGAAAACAAAUUCCACAGUUUUAAAAAAGUUCAAGAAUUUGGGAAAUUUUAUGAAAAAUAAGUUCACCCCAAUUUUAAGAAGUUCAUCGAUUUUUGGAAAAAAUCAAUAAUUUUGAAAAAAGUUCAUAGAAUUGGAAAAAAAGUUCAUCAUAUUUUUAAAACUUAAGAAAAUUUGAAAAAGUUCAUCUAAUUUAAUAAAAUCUUCAUCAAUUUUGAAAUAAUAAUCAUAAAUUAAAUAAAAAAACGCAUUUAAGAAAACAAAAAAGUAAAAGAACAAGAAUAUAGGGUUGUUGCUGAAGACGUUCCUAAAAAAAGUUAUUGGUCGCCAAAUUAUAGGAUUGUUGCUGAAGACGUUCUUAAUCAUUAUGCUAUUUGUAAGCAUCAACCAAUCGAAAAUCCUUUUUUUGUGUGGAUAUAACCAAUCGAAAAUCCUAGUCCUUCACAUAGAAUUUCAGCAUGUCAUGCCCAUUUGAAUUUGACAAAGAAAGAUGGUACGUUGGGUAUAUGUUAAGGAAAAAGCAACCAGUCGGAGAAACUACGCGCAAAUGAAAUUCAAGAACCGAAGUUUGGGUCCCCUAUACUCUCUACAGAUCACAGCAAUAUUUGAACAAAAUAAAGGAGGAAACACAGAACGCUGGCGCCUCAAUUCGAGAAUCGGCCUGCCACCCAAGCAAUCGGCUCCUCUCGCCACGUCAGCGAUCCGCGGCAUCUCUCUCGCGGAUCCCCAUCAUGACCGUCCACUGCAUCCGCAUCGAACGGCAGGCACGCGCCUCCUCCGACCUCUCGUCCCCGUUAAAAUCCCCUUCGCCCCUUCUUCCAAUCCCCGCACCAAUCACCACCACUCCUCCAAUCCGACAAUUUCUCGCAGCUCGAACCAAGGCGAGUUCGUCGGCGACCAUGUCCGGGCGCGGCAAGGGAGGCAAGGGGCUCGGCAAGGGCGGCGCCAAGCGCCACAGGAAGGUGCUCCGCGACAACAUCCAGGGCAUCACCAAGCCGGCGAUCCGGCGCCUCGCUCGGAGGGGCGGCGUGAAGCGCAUCUCGGGGCUCAUCUACGAGGAGACCCGCGGCGUCCUCAAGAUCUUCCUCGAGAACGUCAUCCGCGACGCCGUCACCUACACCGAGCACGCACGCCGCAAGACCGUCACCGCCAUGGACGUCGUCUACGCGCUCAAGCGCCAGGGCCGCACCCUCUACGGCUUCGGCGGAUAGGCCCCUCGUGGUCGUCAAUCUUCGUUGCCCCCCUGCAGAUUCCUAAAGCUCGAUGAGAACCUGACUUGUUUAGUUCGCUAUUUCCCCUGUAGUUCCAAGUGAAUCAUGAAACAAAGCUAUUCGCAUCUGGAGUUUGGAAAUUGUACUUGUCUUUGUGCAAAUAAACUGUUUGUGAUUUUGUCUCGCUGGUUAUCUCUGUCAUGUAUGAUUGUUGUUUCUUCUCUGAUGUUAAAUUUUGUGCGCUUGGGAGUAAGAUUUGUUUGCCAUCCUCUUACAAGGACCAGGAACAUCAUCUGCUCUGUAUCUGCUAUUUCUUCUGAUGCAUUUGUAUUAGGAACCAUUUAUAAUCAUUCCAUGUUGCAACGAUGUGUGUAAUUGAGAUUGGGUUUAGUCUGCAUUUCAUACAUCGAUUUCUGGAUUGAUUUGCUAUGUCAUUUACUCUGCAAAUCAUCAUGCUGUUCUUGUUAAUAAGAAAUGUCACCUGCUCUGUUUCUGUUUUUUUUUUGUUACUAUAGUAAUACUUCAUCUGAUGCAUUAUACAUUUUGGCAAUGGCUGCAACAACUUAAUCCUUCAGUUUUUUUACUAGCUUAUCAGCAUAAUUCUCCAUAUUCAUUUUGCUAAUCUCAUAUGAUGUACGACAGUAGGGAAGUUUGGUGAAUUACUUCUGACUUGAUGUGCUUACACCACUGCCUUACAUGCUUUGAGACAAAAUAACUCUGCAGUUCUUACUUGAGGCCUGCAAAAGUCUGUAUCAACAGGUUUAAAAACAGUAGAGAACAAUGACCUGUGAAUCCUUGAAUCCUAAAAAAGUGAUCUCCAGUAGCGAUGAAAAAUGAGAAUAACAGAAUGCAUUGCAUUCAAGCAAGUUUCCUGUAGACUAUCUUCAUAUCUCAAGAACAGUUUGGAUGAAGGAAUAAUAAUUUGUCAUUGGAGGACAUGCUACAGCAAGUUGAAUUGAUAUAUAAAAGAAGUCUGUUCCUUGCAGAAUAACUGAAGACAACCAUUGUCAUUUUGAUAGGCAAAAUUCCAUAGGCACAUUACAAUAUUUCAAUACAUUCUUCCUUUGACACAUUCCCAGGUUUGGACACCCUCCCACAUGAACAAUCUCAGGUCUUAGGAACACCUCUUAUGAAACCGAACACUUGAUACAAGGAGGAGAUGACACAAUAAAAACUGAAGGCAAGGUACACACACAAAUGCUGAAGUGCACAAUAAAUGACCCUCUAAUUUUGUAAAAUAAAUACAAUCAGAAUUUGACACUCCUGCUAAAAUUAUGCACAAUCAUAUUGGUGGAGAGAAGUAACAAAAAUCACUAUCAAAUAUGGGCAACAAGAAGACUGAAAUUUUAUAGGUGGAGAAAAGGAUGAAACAACAAAGGUGAGCAUUGUUCCAUGCACACCCACAUGGAUAAUAAAUUCGAAAACAAUACUAGGAAAAUUUUAGAACAUCUGAAAUUUUGAGGUAUCAAACUUGGUUGACCAUUCUACUGACAUGUAAAAUUUCGUGAAGUAUUGACACCCGUGGUACUCUUAGUGAAGAAAAUACAAUUGAGACUUUACUAUUCAUCAAAGAGUGUUUUCUAACAUAACUUCGAUCUUGUCAUUUUUGACCCAAAUACCACUAAGGUCAUCUCUUUGUGAAACUUCAUACGCAAUUAUACCGGUCGACUAUGCGUGUUAUAAAAUGUUUUCUAGUUUUUUUUGUUUUUUCUAGUUUUUUUUGUUUUUUCUAGUUUUUUCCCCAAGUUUACUAUGGCAUGGAACCAAGUUCACCAAAUCCGCGUCCAAGAAAAGGAGUAUCAAGUUCUUGGUGUUGUGUUUACUUGAUUCACAUAAUCCAGUACCAAGUAGCGUAACUGUGCUUUUCAAGGUGUACACAUCACAUCUGUUUUGAACUUUAGAUUGUUGUCAUAGAGCAAGAGGAAUUCCGAGUAGUCAGAUGAGGACUGUACUACAUUUAAUCUUGAUAGUAGGCGUUUCUCGUGCUUAUAGGCGUAACCAGUAUGAUUGCAACACUCGCGGAAGUGCACCAGUGUCCGCUUUUUUGAAGAAAACCCCAAACCGACAGCUUAGUAUUCUUCUUUAUACCUUGCAGAAGUCUAAAUUAUGUCCUUUAAUAUUGAUUCAUGUGUAAUCAGAUGUCAAGAUGUAAAUAUCAGCAGCCAAUAUUGUCCUGCAACUGGUUCUAAAAAAAAUUUGUCCUGCAACUUAAACUAAAGUGUCCAGUUCAUUUUCUUUUUUCGCAAAGCUUGUGUAUCAUUUUAUUGAUAAAAGGGUAGAAGAAAGUACAUGUUUGGUUACACCACACAGGAUGAUGGUGCCAAUUCUGGAGGCGUCGGCUCUUUCCCAACAUCGCGCGUCGUCCUGGAUAGUUUGCAACACGCGAGUGGCGGAUGGUCGAGAUUUUUUGAAGAUACAACCAUUGCGGUGGCAAAGGUGUCAGGCCAAGAGUACGAUGAUCGAGGAUAAACCUCGGCGCACGGAGGUUGGCGCUUGGGAGCAAGAAGACGCCCACAAGUCUACAAAGGGGGUCGUCAGACAUGGGGGAGAUGUCGUUGACUGACACCAAGCAAGAACUCAUGUCAGAUUUGGCGCGAGAAAGGACAUCCGACAAUGAGGUGGUACAUGGUUUCUAGCACCUGAUCGUAAAAGGAGUACAAAUGCUCGUGGGAGGCCACGCCGGGCUAAGCGGUCCGCCGUCCAGAAACAAUCGAGAAUGAAUAGUUGAUACGUUCAUUUUGCAUCAUGUUUUUAUGUUAAUAUUUAUUGCAUUAUGGGCUGAUUUUUCACUUUAUGAUACAAUUCUUAUGCCUUUUGUCUCUUAUUUUGUAAGUUUCACAUAAAGAGCGGGAUUGCCGACAGCUGGAAUUCUGGACCAAAAAGGGCUAUCGAGGCAUUUUUUCUCAACAUUUCCAAAUGAGCUGAAAAUUGACGGAGAAUUAUUUUGAAAUAUAUUAAAAUUAUUGGCGAAAGAAGUAUCAGAGGGGGACCCACAAAGCAGCCACAAGCCUGCCCUGUGGGCCCACCCCCUGAGCUUGUGGUGAGCCUGGCAGGCCUCCGAGGCCCAUCUUCACCUAUAUGAUGCCAUUUGCCCUGGAAAAAAAAAUCAGAAAAAAGGUUUCGGACGAAGCGUUGCCCUCUCGAGGCGGAACCUGGGCAGGAGCACUUUUACUCUCCGGUGGAGAGAUUCCGCCGGGGAAACUUCCCUUCAGGAGGGGGAAAUCGAAGCCAUCGUCGUCACCAAUGAUCCUCUAAUCAUGGGAGGACCAAUCUUCAUCAACAUCUUCACCAGCACCAUCUCAUCUCAAACCCUACUUCAUCUCUUGUAUUCAACCUUUGUCUCAAAAUCUUAGAUUGGCAACUGUGGGUUGCUAAUGGUGUUGAUUACAUCUUGUAGUUGAUGUUUGUUGGUUUAUUUUGUGGAAGAUCAUAUGUUCAGAUCCAUUAUGCUAUUCAAUACCCCAUGAUCUUGAACAUGAAUAUGUGUUAUGAGUAGUUACAUUUGUUCUUGAGGACAUGAGAGAAAUCUUGUCAUAAGAAAUCAUGUGAAUUUGGUAUUUGUUCGAUAUUUUGAUGAUAUGUAUGUUGUUGUUUCCCUUAGUAGUGUUAUGUGAACGUCAACUACAUGGCACUUCACCAUCUUUGGGGCCUAAGAGAAAGCAUUGCGGAGUAGUUGUUAGAUGAUGGGUUGCUAGAGUGACAGAAGGUUCAACCCUAGUUUAUGCGUUGUUACAAACGGGCCGAUUUGGAUCUAUAUGUUUCAUGCUAUGGUUAUGUAAGUGCAUCUAGUGCCCCUUAGUGAUUUUGGUGUAUUGAAGACUUAUAGGUUAAGGGACUAAUGCGUGUGUGAGUGUACACAGGUCUAUAAGUCUAUGAGGAGUUUGAUAUUUACAGAAAAAGUCGACCCCUAAAAAUGAAUAUCUUCGACUGAAGAUUUUGGUAUUUCUGAAGACUUUCAUGAAGACUUUGAAAGUGAAGAAAUUGGUGUGUCCGUGAUGACUUGAUAUUCAUGCAAGAAAUAUGAAGCUUGAAGACUUUCGUGUUCAUAGUUUUGUUUUUCUCUUUCUUGAGUCAUAGGAAACACCGUACUGUUAAAGGGGUCGAGGAAAUACUAAGGAAAAAUUUCCAUGUGAUGCUCAACUCAAAUCCUACACCUACCAAUCCCUUUGAAUGAAGCCAUUGGAAAUCUCAUACAGUUCAGUCAAUUUCUUCAGUGACAGAGACGAAGUUCUUCUGGUCUCUGAGGAAUUUGUCCUGACUGAGGAGUUAGGAAUUCGCCAGUGCGGAUUGCCUACACAGUGAGGAACAUGAUAGCCCUGAGGAUUUUGCUACUCAAAAUUCCGACCGUUGCCGUGCUAUGCGCCAGCUGUCCCAAAAUAUCUAUCCACCUAACGGUCAUAUCAUUGAAGGGCAUUUAUGUCUUAUCAUGUCGGGCUAUUCCCUAGGCUACAAAUAGCCGCCCCCUACAACCACUAGCUGGUUGGCUGCUCCGAGAGAAACUGACACUUGUCAUUUGAGAGCAACCCAUCCUCCGAGGACUUUGAGCGAAAAUCAUCAAGUGAGGAAAAACCAAAAACCCAAAAUCCAAACACCUACAAACCCCAAGUGAUUGAGCAUCACUGAAGAGAUUAAUUUUGAGUGGAUCCGGCGCUUGUUACCUUUGAAGACUAUGCUUCUUCCAGACGGUUAGGCGUCAUGGUCUAGAGCAUCCAAGAGGAAUUGUGGAUCACUGAGUGACCAAGUUUGUGAAGGUUUGGAAGUCGCCUGAAGACUUACCACGAGUGAUUGGACGAGGUCUGUGUGACCUUAGUUCAAGGAGAAUACGGUGAGGAUUGGGUGUCUUGGACGAAGUGUCUUUGACUGGGUGUCUGGGACUGUAUGUCCUCGAGUUUAAAUACUCAGCCGCUCCAACCAGACGUACAACUGAGACAACAGUUGGAACUGGUCUACCAAAUCAUUGGCUUCACCGAGUUUACUGGUUCUAUUUUCUCAACUCUUUCAUUUCCUCAUAACUGUGAUGUAUGUUUGUUCAUAUCUGUGUUUGAAGACUGUUUGUCUUCAUCCUGAGUUAUCCUGUGAUUACGCUUCCUGUACUCUGUGCCUGUCUUCAUUUCAUCAUGAUGACUAUGCUUGUAUUCUGUUGUGCUUACUUUUGAGUACUUAUUUCGCUGCUAGUAGUUCUUCGCUAAGGAAUUUCCUCACCAGCAAAUUUCUCAGUGAAGAAUUUUAUAAAAAUCGCCUAUUCACCCCCUCUAGUCGAUAUAACGCACUUUCAAUUGGUAUCAGAGCAAGGUACUCCCUUGUUCUGUGUGAUUUUGGUUUAACCGCCUGGAGUUUUAGUUAUGUCGACCGCAGGUAUGAUGAAGGUGACAUGCCCCAUAUUUGACGGUCACGAGUAUCCCAAGUGGAAGGCCAUGAUGAAAAAACGCCCCAUGGCGAUGAACAGCGAGUUGUGGACCGUCACUGAGAUUGGCUUGACUGAUCUGUGCAAGAUGGCGGAUGCUGAUGACAUUCGCAAGUAUACUCUUCUCAACCUCACGGCGAAGGAUGUCAUCUGCUCCAGCCUGUCACAAAAUCAGUUCAGGAAUAUCAUGCAUCUCAUGUUGGGGAACGUAGUAAUUUCAAAAAAAUUCCUACGCACACGCAAGAUCAUGGUGAUGAUAUAGCAACGAGGGGAGAGUGUUGUCUACGUACCCUCGUAGACCGAAGCGGAAGCGUUGACGCAACGUAGAGGAAGUAGUCGUACGUCCUCCGGUUCAACCGAUCCAAGUACCGUUACUCCGGCACCUCCGAGUUCUUGACACGCGUACAGCUCGAUGACGCACCCUCGAUCUCCGAUCCAGCAGAGGCGCCGAGGGGGAGUUCCGUCAGCACGACGGCGUGGUGACGAUCUUGAUGUUCUCCUGUUGCAGGGCUUCGCCUAAGCACCGCUACAAUAUGACCGAGGUGUAAUAUCGUGGAGGGGGGCACCGCACACGGCUAAGGAACGAUCAAUGAUCAACUUGUGUGUCCUAGGGUGCCCCCUUACCCCCAUAUAUAAAGGAGGGAGGGAGGAGGUGGCCGGCCCUAGGGGGGCGCGCCAUGAGGAGGGGGAAACCUACUCCAAGUAGGUUUCCCUCUCUUUUCCUUAUCUUAUUUGGAGGGGGAAGGAAAGAGUACUAGUAUUAGGAAGUAGUACUAGUAGUAGUAAUAGGAAGAGGGGGAAGGAGAAAGGAAAGGGGGGGCUGGCCCCCCUCCCCAAUUCAGAUUGGGCUUGGGGGGGCGCGCCCCCCUCCCUUGCUCCUUCUCUCUUCCUCCUACAUGGGCCCAAUAAGGCCCAUAUACCUCCCGAGGUGUUCCGGUAACCUCUCGGGGCUCCAAACUUCUCCGGAACCUUUCCGGUGUCCAAAUAUAUCCGUCCAAUAUAUCAAUCUUUUAUGUCUCGACCAUUUCGAGACUCCUCGUCAUGUCCGUAAUCAUAUCCGGGACUCUGAACAACCUUCGGUACAUCAAAAUACAUAAACUCAUAAUAUAACUGUCAUCGAAACCUUAAGCGUGCGGACCCUACGGUUCAAGAACGAUGUAGACAUGACUGAGACACAUCUCUGGUCAAUAACCAAUAGCGGGACCUGGAUGCCCAUAUUGGUUCCUACAUAUUCUACGAAGAUCUUUAUCGGUCAAACCGCAUAACAACAUACGUUGUUCCCUUUGUCAUCGGUAUGUUACUUGUCCGAGAUUCGAUCGUCGGUAUCCAAUACCUAGUUCAAUCUCGUUAUCGACAAGUCUCUUUACUCGUUCUGUAAUACUUCAUCUUAUAACUAACUCAUUAGUUACAUGCUUGCAAGGCUUAGGUGAUGAGCAUUGCCGAGAGGGCCCAGAGAUACCUCUCCGACAAUCGGAGUGACAAAACCUAAUCUCGAAUUAUGCUAACUCAACAUGUACCUUCGGAGACACCUGUAGUACUCCUUUAUAAUCACCCAGUUAUGUUGUGACGUUUGGUAGUACCCAAAGUGUUCCUUCGGUAAACGGGAGUUACACAAUUCUCAUAGUUACAGGAACAUGUAUAAGUCAUGAAGGAAGCAAUAGCAGAAUACUAAACGAUCAAGUGCUAAGCUAACGGGAUGGGUCAUGUCAAUCACCUCAUUCUCCUAAUGAUGUGAUCCCAUUAAUCAAAUGACAACACAUGUCAAUGGUUAGGAAACAUAACCAUCUUUGAUUAAUGAGCUAGUCAAGUAGAGGCAUACUAGUGACUAUAUGUUUGUCUAUGUAUUCACACAUGUAUCAUGUUUCUGGUUAAUACAAUUCUAGCAUGAAUAAUAAACAUUUAUCAUGAUAUGAGGAAAUAAAUAAUAACUUUAUUAUUGCCUCUAGGGCAUAUUUCCUUCAGUCUCCCACUUGCACUAGAGUCAAUAAUCUAGAUUACAUAGUAAUGAUUCUAACACCCAUGGAGUCUUGGUGCUGAUCAUGUUUUGCUCGUGAGAGAGGCUUAGUCAACAGGUCUGCAACAUUCAGAUCCGUAUGUAUCUUGCAAAUCUCUAUGUCUCCCACUUGGACUUGGUCCCGAAUGGAAUUGAAGCGUCUCUUGAUGUGCUUGGUCCUCUUGUGAAAUCUGGAUUCCUUUGCCAAGGCAAUUGCACCAGUAUUGUCACAGAAGAUCUUCAUUGGUCCCGAUGCACUAGGUAUGACACCUAGAUCGGAAAUGAACUCCUUCAUCCAGACUCCUUCAUUUGCUGCUUCAGAAGCAGCUAUGUACUCCGCUUCACAUGUAGAUCCCGCCACGACGCUUUGUUUAGAACUGCACCAACUUACAGCUCCACCGUUUAAUAAAAACACGUAUCCGGUCUGCGAUUUAGAAUCGUCCGGAUCAGUGUCAAAGCUUGCAUCGACGUAACCAUUUACGACUAGCUCUUUGUCACCUCCAUAUACGAGAAACAUAUCCUUAGUCCUUUUCUGGUAUUUCAGGAUGUUCUUGACCGUUGUCCAGUGAUCCACUCCUGGAUUACUUUGGUACCUACCUGCCAAGCUUAUUGCUAAGCAUACGUCAGGUCUGGUACACAACAUUGCAUACAUGAUAGAGCCUAUGGCUGAAGCAUAGGGAACAUCUUUCAUUUUCUCUCUAUCUUCUGCUGUGGUCGGGCAUUGAGUUUGACUCAACUUUACACCUUGUAGCACAGGCAAGAAUCCUUUCUUUGCCUGAUCCAUUUUGAACUUUUUCAAAAUUUUGUCAAGGUAUGUACUUUGUGAAAGUCCUAUUAAGCGUCUUGAUCUAUCUCUAUAGAUCUUGAUGCCCAAUAUGUAAGCAGCUUCACCGAGGUCUUUCAUAGAAAAACUUUUAUUCAAGUAUCCCUUUAUGCUAUCCAGAAAUUCUAUAUCAUUUCCAAUUAAUAAUAUGUCAUCAACAUAUAAAACUAGAAAUGCUACAGAGCUCCCACUCACUUUCUUGUAAAUACAGGCUUCUCCAAAAGUCUGUAUAAAACCAUAUGCUUUGAUCACACUAUCAAAACAUUUAUUCCAACUCCGAGAUGCUUGCACCAGUCCAUAAAUGGAACGUUGGAGCUUGCACACUUUGUCAGCACUUUUUGGAUCAACAAAACCUUCAGGUUGCAUCAUAUACAACUCUUCUUCUAGAAAUCCAUUCAAGAAUGCAGUCUUGACAUCCAUUUGCCAAAUUUCAUAAUCAUGAAAUGCAGCAAUAGCCAACAUGAUUCGGACAGACUUAAGCAUCGCUACGGGUGAGAAAGUCUCAUCGUAGUCAACCCCUUGAACUUGUCGAAAACCUUUUGCAACAAGUCGAGCUUUGUAGAUAGUAACAUUACCAUCAGCGUCAGUCUUCUUCUUAAAGAUCCAUUUAUUCUCAAUGGCUUGCCGAUCAUCGGGCAAGUCAACCAAAGUCCACACUUUGUUUUCAUACAUGGAUCCUAUCUCAGAUUUCAUGGCCUCUAGCCAUUUUGCGGAAUCUGGGCUCAUCAUCGCUUCCUCAUAGUUCGUAGGUUCAUCAUGGUCUAGUAACAUGACUUCCAGAAUAGGAUUUUCGUACCACUCUGGUGCGGAUCUUACUCUGGUAGACCUACGAGGUUCAGUAGAAACUUGAUCUGAAGUUUCAUGAUCAAUAUCAUUAGCUUCCUCACUAAUUUGUGUAGUUGUCACAGGAACCGGUUCUUGUGAUGAACUACUUUCCAAUAAGGGAGUAGAUACAAUUAUCUCAUCAAGUUCUACUUUCCUCCCACUCACUUCUUUCGAGAGAAACUCCUUCUCUAGAAAGGAUCCGAUUUUAGCAAUGAAAAUCUUGCCUUCAGAUCUGUGAUAGAAGGUGUACCCAAUUGUCUCCUUUGGGUAUCCUAUGAAGACACAUUUCGCCGAUUUGGGUUCGAGCUUAUCUGGUUGAAGUUUCUUCACAUAAGCAUCGCAGCCCCAAACUUUGAGAAAUGACAACUUUGGUUUCUUGCCAAACCACAGUUCAUAAGGCGUCGUCUCAACGGAUUUUGAUGGUGCCCUAUUUAACGUGAAUGUGGCCGUCUCUAAAGCAUAACCCCAAAACUAUAGCGGUAAAUCGGUAAGAGACAUCAUAGAUCGCACCAUAUCAAGUAAAGUACGAUUACGACGUUCGGACACACCAUUUCGCUGUGGUGUUCCAGGUGGCGUGAGUUGCGAAACUAUUCCACAUUGUUUCAAAUGUAAACCAAACUCGUAACUCAAAUAUUCUCCUCCACGAUCAGAUCGUAGAAACUUUAUUUUCUUGUUACGAUGAUUUUCUACUUCACUCUGAAAUUCUUUGAACUUUUCAAAUGUUUCAGACUUGUGCUUCAUCAAGUAGAUAUACCCAUAUCUGCUCAAAUCAUCUGUGAAGGUGAGGAAAUAACGAUAUCCGCCAUGAGCCUCAACAUUCAUCGGACCACAUACAUCUGUAUGUAUGAUUUCCAACAAAUCUGUUGCUCUCUCCAUAGAUCCGGAGAACGGUGUUUUGGUCAUCUUGCCCAUGAGGCACGGUUCGCAAGUACCAAGUGAUUCAUAAUCAAGUGAUUCCAGAAGUCCAUCAGUAUGGAGUUUCUUCAUGCGUUUUACACCGAUAUGACCUAAACGGCAGUGCCACAAAUAUGUUGCACUAUCAUUAUCAACUCUGCAUCUUUUGGCUUCAACGUUAUGAAUAUGUGUAUCACUACUAUCGAGAUUUAAUAAAAAUAGACCAUUCUUCAAGGGUGCAUGACCAUAAAAGAUAUUACUCAUGUAAAUAGAACAACCAUUAUUCUCUGAUUUAAAUGAAUAACCAUCUCGCAUCAAACAAGAUCCAGAUAUAAUGUUCAUGCUCAACGCAGGCACCAAAUAACAAUUAUUCAAGUCUAAAACUAAUCCCGAUGGUAGAUGUAGAGGUAGCGUGCCGACCGCGAUCACAUCGACUUUGGAACCAUUUCCCACGCGCAUCGUCACCUCGUUCUUAGCUAAUCUUCGCUUAAUCCGUAGUCCCUGUUUUGAGUUGCAAAUGUUAGCAACAGAACCAGUAUCAAAUACCCAGGUGCUACUGCGAGCAUUAGUAAGGUACACAUCAAUAACAUGUAUAUCACAUAUACCUUUGUUCACUUUGCCAUCCUUCUUAUCCGCCAAAUACUUGGGGCAGUUCCGCUUCCAGUGUCCAGUCUGCUUGCAGUAGAAGCACUCAGUUUCAGGCUUAGGUCUAGACUUGGGUUUCUUCACUUGAGCAGCAACUUGUUUGCCGUUCCUUUUGAAGUUCCCCUUCUUCUUCCCUUUGCCCCUUUUCUUGAAACCAGUGGUCUUGUUGACCAUCAACACUUGAUGCUCCUUUUUGAUUUCUACCUCCGCGGCUUUCAGCAUCGCGAAUAGCUCGGGAAUAGUCUUGUUCAUCCCUUGCAUAUUAUAGUUCAUCACAAAGCUCUUGUAGCUUGGUGGCAGUGAUUGGAGAAUUCUGUCAAUGACGCUAUCAUCCGGAAGAUUAACUCCCAGUUGAAUCAAGUGAUUAUUAUACCCAGACAUUUUGAGUAUAUGCUCACUGACAGAACUGUUCUCCUCCAUCUUGCAGCUGUAGAACUUAUUGGAGACUUCAUAUCUCUCAAUCCGGGCAUUUGCUUGAAAUAUUAACUUCAACUCCUGGAACAUCUCAUAUGCCCCAUGACGUUCAAAACAUCGUUGAAGACCCGGUUCUAAGCCGUAAAGCAUGGCACACUGAACUAUAGAGUAGUCAUCACCUUUGCUCUGCCAGACGUUCUUAACGUCGUCAGUUGCAUCAGCAGCAGGCCUGGCACCCAGCGGUGCUUCCAGGACGUAACUCUUCUGUGCAGUAAUGAUGAUAAUCCUCAGGUUACGGACCCAGUCCGUGUAAUUGCUACCAUCAUCUUUCAACUUUGCUUUCUCAAGGAACGCAUUAAAAUUCAACGGAACAAUAGCACGAGCCAUCUAUCUACAUACAAACAUAGACAAGCAAAAUACUAUCAGGUACUAAGUUCAUGAUAAAUUUAAGUUCAAUUAAUCAUAUUACUAAAGAACUCCCACUUAGACAGACAUCUCUCUACUCAUCUAAGUGAUUACGUGAUCCAAAUCAACUAAACCAUGUCCGAUCAUCACGUGAGAUGGAGUAGUUUCAAUGGUGAACAUCUCUAUGUUGAUCAUAUCUACUAUAUGAUUCACGCUCGACCUUUCGGUCCCCGUGUUCCGAGGCCAUAUCUGUAUAUGCUAGGCUCGUCAAGUAUAACCUGAGUAUUCCGCGUGUGCAACUGUUUUGCACCCGUUGUAUUUGAACGUAGAGCCUAUCACACCCGAUCAUCACGUGGUGUCUCAGCACGAAGAACUUUUGCAACGGUGCAUACUCAGGGAGAACACUUCUUGAUAAUUAGUGAGAGAUCAUCUUAAAAUGCUACCGUCAAACAAAGCAAGAUAAGAUGCAUAAAGGAUAAACAUCACAUGCAAUCAAUAUAAGUGAUAUGAUAUGGCCAUCAUCAUCUUGUGCUUGUGAUCUCCAUCUUCGAAGCACCGUCGUGAUCACCAUCGUCACCGGUGCGACACCUUGAUCUCCAUCGUAGCAUCGUUGUUGUUACGCCAUCUAUUGCUUCUACGACUAUCGCUACCACUUAGUGAUAAAGUAAAGCAAUUACAGGGCGUUUGCAUUUCAUACAAUAAAGCGACAACCAUAUGGCUCCUGCCAGUUGCCGAUAACUUCGGUUACAAAACAUGAUCAUCUCAUACAAUAAAAUAUAGCAUCAUGUCUUGGCCAUAUCACAUCACAACAUGCCCUGCAAAAACAAGUUAGACGUCCUCUACUUUGUUGUUGCAAAUUUUACGUGGCUGCUACGGGCUUAAGCAAGAACCAAUCUCACCUACGCAUCAAAACCACAACGAUAGUUUGUCAAAUAGACUCCGUUUUAACCUUCACAAGGACCGGGCGUAGCCACACUCGGUUCAACUAAAGUGAGAGAGACAGACACCCGCCAGCCACCUUUAAGCACGAGUGCUCGUAACGGUGAAACCAGUCUCGCGUAAGCGUACGCGUAAUGUCGGUCCGGGCCGCUUCAUCUCACAAUACCGCUGAACCAAAGUAUGACAUGCUGGUAGGCAGUAUGACUUAUAUCGUCCACAACUCACUUGUGUUCUACUCGUGCAUAUAAUAUCAACACAUAAAACCUAGGCUCGGAUGCCACUGUUGGGGAACGUAGUAAUUUCAAAAAAUUUCCUACGCACACGCAAGAUCAUGGUGAUGAUAUAGCAACGAGGGGAGAGUGUUGUCUACGUACCCUCGUAGACCGAAGCGGAAGCGUUGACGCAACGUAGAGGAAGUAGUCGUACGUCCUCCGGUUCAACCAAUCCAAGUACCGUUACUCCGGCACCUCCGAGUUCUUGACACGCGUACAGCUCGAUGACGCACCCUCGAUCUCCGAUCCAGCAGAGGCGCCGAGGGGGAGUUCCGUCAGCACGACGGCGUGGUGAUGAUCUUGAUGUUCUCCUGUUGCAGGGCUUCGCCUAAGCACCGCUACAAUAUGACCGAGGUGUAAUAUCGUGGAGGGGGGCACCGCACACGGCUAAGGAACGAUCAAUGAUCAACUUGUGUGUCCUAGGGUGCCCCCUUACCCCCGUAUAUAAAGGAGGGAGGGAGGAGGUGGCCGGCCCUAGGGGGGGCGCGCCAUGAGGAGGGGGAAACCUACUCCAAGUAGGUUUCCCUCUCUUUUCCUUAUCUUAUUUGGAGGGGGAAGGAAAGAGUACUAGUAUUAGGAAGUAGUACUAGUAGUAGUAAUAGGAAGAGGGGGAAGGAGAAAGGAAAGGGGGGGCCGGCCCCCCUCCCCAAUUCGGAUUGGGCUUGGGGGGGCGCGCCCCCCUCCCUUGCUCCUUCUCUCUUCCUCCUACAUUGGCCCAAUAAGGCCCAUAUACCUCCCGGGGGGUUCCGGUAACCUCCCGGGGCUCCAAACUUCUCCGGAACCUUUCCGGUGUCCAAAUAUAUCCGUCCAAUAUAUCAAUCUUUUAUGUCUCGACCAUUUCGAGACUCCUCGUCAUGUCCGUAAUCAUAUCCGGGACUCCGAACAACCUUCGGUACAUCAAAAUACAUAAACUCAUAAUAUAACUGUCAUCGAAACCUUAAGCGUGCGGACCCUACGGUUCGAGAACGAUGUAGACAUGACUGAGACACAUCUCUGGUCAAUAACCAAUAGCAGGACCUGGAUGCCCAUAUUGGUUCCUACAUAUUCUACGAAGAUCUUUAUCGGUCAAACCGCAUAACAACAUACGUUGUUCCCUUUGUCAUCGGUAUGUUACUUGUCCGAGAUUCGAUCGUCGGUAUCCAAUACCUAGUUCAAUCUCGUUAUCGACAAGUCUCUUUACUCGUUCUGUAAUACUUCAUCUUAUAACUAACUCAUUAGUUACAUGCUUGCAAGGCUUAGGUGACGAGCAUUGCCGAGAGGGCCCAGAGAUACCUCUCCGACAAUCGGAGUGACAAAACCUAAUCUCGAAUUAUGCUAACUCAACAUGUACCUUCGGAGACACCUGUAGUACUCCUUUAUAAUCACCCAGUUACGUUGUGACGUUUGGUAGUACCCAAGGUGUUCCUCCGGUAAACGGGAGUUACACAAUUCUCAUAGUUACAGGAACAUGUAUAAGUCAUGAAGGAAGCAAUAGCAGAAUACUAAACGAUCAAGUGCUAAGCUAACGGGAUGGGUCAUGUCAAUCACCUCAUUCUCCUAAUGAUGUGACCCCAUUAAUCAAAUGACAACACAUGUCAAUGGUUAGGAAACAUAACCAUCUUUGAUUAAUGAGCUAGUCAAGUAGAGGCAUACUAGUGACUAUAUGUUUGUCUAUGUAUUCACACAUGUAUCAUGUUUCCGGUUAAUACAAUUCUAGCAUGAAUAAUAAACAUUUAUCAUGAUAUGAGGAAAUAAAUAAUAACUUUAUUAUUGCCUCUAGGGCAUAUUUCCUUCAUCUCGAUCAUGCGAAGCUCAUCUUGGACCAUCUCUCUGAGGUCUAUGAAGGUCAUCGAACUUGUCAUGAUCCUUGGUUUGAGGACUUCAAGGAAUCUCUCAAAAUGAUGACAUUCGAACCAGAAUCAUCAUCUUCUACGUCAUGCCUUAUGGCAAAAGAUGCUGAGGUCACUGAAUGCUACCUAUCGUAGUCCAGUGAUGAUGAAUCUGGUGAUGAAUUUGGACCCAGCUAUGUUAAACUUGCUUCCCUUGCUACUAAACAACAAAAAGCUUUGGAAAAAGCUCACUAUAUGCUAAACAAGAGCGAUGAUAUGUUGGGUGAGGAAAUGGAUCAGUCAAAAGCUUUGGCUGAAAGUCUUCAGAGACUUCAUACUAAGUAUGACACCCUUCAAGAUCAACAUAACACUCUCUUAUCGGAUCAUGAGAAGCUUUCUUAUGAAUUUCUUCAAAGAAAGCAAGACCUUGAGAAGCUAAGAGUGAGUUAUGAAGAUCUUUAGAAGGAGCGCGAUUCAUUACUUGCUCAACAAAUCAGCGCAUCUCAGGAAGAAUUUGUUCCUCCAUGCUUGAAGUGCAUUGAACGUGAAUCUGCUAAUUCUUCACCUGAAUGUUCAAAUGCUGCUAAUGUUUCAAAUUCUUCACAUGCCUCUCCAUCACUAAUUCCUCAUCUGAGGACAUUGCUAGUAUCACUGACAAUGCAGGGCUGAAGGAAUUGUACACGACAGGCAUGUACAAAAUCCUCAAAGGGCAUCAGGCUCUUUGUGGUGUGCUUAAAAAGUAGAUCCUCAACAGGAACCCUAGGAAAGAGGGUAUCGCCUUUGAGAGGAAACUCAAUGCUGAUGGUACAUAUUGGAAGCCUGAGCAGUACCCCAAAACUACAUGGGUUGCUGCAAAGGGACCUCCAGUUGAUCCAUCUAACUUAUCUGGAUUUGCAUGUGAAUCUCCUCAUUCUAAUGAUGAGUCAAUUGGCUCCAACUAUAAGCUAUUCAAAAAUCAGAAUGGUGAAGUAUUUGCUAGAUAUGUUGGCACUAACUGCAGGAACAACUCCCAUAUGCAGAAAAUCUGGGUUCCCAAAAGAUGCCAUGAAAAUCUUCAGGUGAAUGUCAUCAUGACGCCACCUGUGAAGAAUAGGAACCCCAGAUCAAAUUCCUCAUACGGACCAAAUUCCUCAUAUGGAUCAAAGUCCUCAUAUGAACAUCAUCAUGCUAACCCGUUUGUUUUGCAAGGAAGAUCUAAAGAUUAUGGAUAUGUGCAUUAUUCUUCAAAUCAUUAUGUCCAUAAGUCCUCGAAGAAUUUCUCUGCUUACUCAUAUGCUUACUCUAACCCAUCUUAUGUGAAACGAAAUGGAUUGGCUUCUAUGCCAUCCUUCUCGUAUGGAUCUCGCAGAAUGAUGAACUCUUUGCCACCCCUUCAGAUGUGGGUGGUGAAGAAAAACAACUAAUCUCUUUUGCAGGGUCAGGUCUCCAGAUGCACGUAAUCAUCUGAAGAAUUUGCUAGAGACCUGAGCAUGCCUGAUAGGACGCGGGCUAAUCAUGAAGAAAUGAACUUUCUUUUCUCACGUCCUCAUAUUGCUUUAUCAGUUCUUUUACUUGAUGAAAUUGAUCUGAUGAAUUGAUGUCAUAUUCUUCACUGAUGAAGUAUAUGAGUUUGUAAGCUGCACUAAUUCAUCUGCAGGAUGAUCAACCCAAAGUCAUUGAGUGGGUCCUUGAUAGUGGAUGUACAAACCACAUGACUGGUGACAAGAAUAUAUUGGUGGAUGCUCCAUUAUCUCCGUCGCAUCUGAAGCAUAUCAUCUUUGCUGACAAAGGCAACAGUCAGGUAUUGGGUCUAGGUAAGGUUGCGAUUACAAAGGAUCGACACAUGGACAAAGUCAUGCUUGUUGAGUCCUUAUGAUACAAUCUUAUGUCUGUCUCAAUGCUUUGUGAUCUUGAUAUGGUUGUUGUCUUCGGCAAGUACCGUUGUGUUGUGGUUAUGGAAGCUGACAAUUCCAAAGUCUUCAAAGGCUUUAGGAGAGGAGACCUGUAUAUUGUUGAUUUCUCUACAGGACCACAAUCAGCCAUGUGCUUACUUGCAAAAGCUUCAGAAGGCUGGCUCUGGCAUUGACGACUUGGUCAUGCAGGCAUGAGGCAUUUGCACACGCUUGCGAAGAAGAAGCAUGUCAUUGGCAUCGAGAAUGUCAAAUUCCUUAAGGAUCACCUAUGCGGAGCCUGUGAAGCUGGGAAGAUGACCAAGGCCAAGCAUCCAGUGAAGACUAUCAUGACCACCACUCGCCCAUUUGAAUUGCUUCACAUGGAUCUCUUUGGUCCUAAUCAUUAUUCUGCUAUCUCAAAUGAAGCAUCUCAAUAUGGCUUCAUUAUUGUUGAUGAUUAUUCUCGUUACACAUGGGUACACCUUGUUACUUACAAACAUGAAGUGCAGGAAGUCUUCAAAUGAUUUUCCUCGAGGGCUUCAACCAAUUUUGGUGUGAAGAUCAAGCACAUCAAAAGUGGCAAUGGCACUGAGUUCAAGAAUUCUGGUCUCGAUGACUAUCUUGAUGAACUUGGUAUCACUCAUGAGUUAUCUGCUCCUUACACUCCUCAGCAGAAUGGCGUCGUGGAGCGCAAGAACAGGACUCUUGCUGAGAUGGCUUGCACUAUGCUUGAUGAAUACAAAAUGCCUCGUCGUUUCUGGACUGAGGCAAUUGAUACUGCGUGCACAUCAUCAACAGAGUAUAUCUUCACAAAUUUUUCAAAAAGACUGCCUAUGAACUCCUCACUGAUAAGAAACCCAACGUAAGUUAUUUUAAAGUCUUCGGUGCUAAAUGUUGGAUUAGAGAUCCUCAUCACAACUCAAAAUUUUCACCGAAAGCACAUGAAGGUUUUAUGCUUGGUUACGGAAAGGACUCGCACACCUACAGAGUCUUCAACAAUGUUCUUCACAAAGUUGUUGAAACUGUAGAUGUGCGGUUUGAUGAAACUAAUGGCUCGCAAAGAGAGCACCUACCUACUGUGAUAGAUGAACCAGCACCUGAGGAAACUAUCAAGUUCAAGGCUACUGAGGAUGUCAUUCCUACUAAAGAAUCUGCCGAAGAAUUCAUUCCAGAACAUGAAGAACGUCGAGCUAAUGCACCUGAAGAAAAUGCUGAAGAAAAUGAUGCUGAAGAAAACGCUGAUCAAACUCUUCAACGACAACCAGCUCAUCCUCGCACUGCAAAAGAAGUGCAAGUUGAAAAGAUCAUCAAUGACAUCAAAGCGCCAGGUCCUCUCACAUGCUCAAAAGCUUCACAUUUGUCUAACUUUUAUGGGCAGUAUGCUUUUGUCUCUAUUACAGAGCCUACUAAGGUAGAUGAAGCAUUUCUGGAGCCUGAGUGGAUUCAGGCCAUGCAAGAAGAAUUACAUCAGUUCGAGCUUAACAAUGUCUGGGAACUGGUCAAACGUCCAGAUCCUCGCAAACACAAUAUCAUCGGCACAAAGUGGAUCUACCACAACAAGCAAGAUGAAAAUGGCCUUGUGGUGAGGAAUAAGGCACGGCUUGUAGCUCAAGGCUACACACAGGUUGAAGGAAUUGAUUGCGAUGAAACUUUUGCACCUAUUGCUAGACUUGAGGCUGUUCGCAUAUUACUUGCUUAUGCUAACCAUCAUGAUAUCACUCUAUAUCAAAUGGAUGUGAAAAGUGCAUUCCUCAAUGGUAAGCUUGAGGAAGAAGUAUAUGUUGCUCAACCCCCAGGUUUUGAAGAUCCAAAGAAUCCUGACAAAGUCUUCAGACUCAACAAGGCCCUCUAUGGCCUCAAGCAGGCCCCACGGGCUUGGUAUGAUACUUUGAAGGAACUCUUCAUGAAGAAAGGCUUCAAACCCGGUUCACUCGAUCCUACUCUUUUCACUAAAUCUUAUGAUGGUGAAUUGUUUGUGUGCCAAGUAUAUGUUGAUGAUAUUAUCUUUGGUUGUACUGACCAACGUUAUAUUGAUGAAUUUGCCUAUAUGAUGAGUGAAGAAUAUCAAAUGUCUAGGAUGGGAGAGUUGAAAUUCUUCUUAGGUCUUCAAAUUCGUCAACAACACAAUGGCAUAUUCAUAUCUUAGAAGAAAUACCUCAAGGAUGUACUGAGGAAAUUCGGCAUGCAAGAUUGCAAAGGCGUCAAAAUUCCUAUGCCCACAAAUGGCCAUCUGUGCACUGAUGAAAAUGGUAUUGACUUCGAUCAUAAGGUAUACCGCUCCAUGAUAGGUUCCUUAUUAUAUUUAUGUUCAUCUAGGCCAGAUAUAAUGCUUAGUAUUUGCAUGUGUGCCCGAUUUCAAACUGCACCGAAGGAAUCACACCAUAAGGUUGUGAAGCAUAUUCUUCGAUAUCUAGCUCACACACCAACACUUGGAUUAUGGUACCUCAAGGGCUUGGCUUUUGAUCUUGUUGGAUAUUCUGACUCUGACUAUGCUGGUGAUCGUGUGGAUCGCAAGUCAACAUCUGGUACAUGUCAUUUCCUCGGACGAUCUUUGGUCUGUUGGUCCUCGAAGAAACAGAACUGCGUAUCACUAUCUACUACUGAAGCUGGGUACAUUGCCGCUGGUUCUUGCUGUGCCCAAUUGCUAUGGAUGAAGCAAACUCUCAAGGACUACGGCGUUAACAUGAAGAAUGUGUCUCUCUUCUGUGACAAUGAGAGUGCCAUCAAGAUUGCUCACAACCCAGUUCAGCACUCAAAGACAAGGCACAUUCAGAUUCGUCAUCAUUUUCUUAGUGAUCAUGUGUUGAAGGGCGACAUUUCUAUUGAGCAUGUGAAGACUGAAGAACAGCUAGCCGAUAUCUUCACAAAGCCCUUGGAUGAGAAGAGAUUUAGCAAGUUGUGGUGUGAGCUAAAUAUCUUAGAGUCUUCGAAUGUUCUUUGAAAAGGACACUCAUCCUAACACUUAUGCAAAAUUGAUGACUUAGAUGUACAACACAUGAAGAAACGUUUUUCUUCAAUCAAUGAAGAAUAACACUCUUAGUGUAAAGAAAUUAACGAAGAAUUUGAUUCUCAGAACCCUAUGAUAAUUGUACGCGGUGUCUGAAAUCAUCAUUCUUAUACGGUGGGUCAUGCCACCACCACCAAAAGUUGAAAUUCCUCAAAUUAUUUAUAUUCUUCAACUUUGCAUAGUCUUUACUGGUUCCGUCAUUUUUCUUCAUUGGCUAUAUAUAUAUAUAUAUAUAUAUAUAUAUAUAUAUAUAUAUGAGUUUAUGUCCUCUACAGUAUUCACUUAUUGCUAUUUUUUCAAGUUGGUUUUCUGCUAAGUGAAUGUGAUCGGACCCUUCCCCUCUAUGCUAUACUCAACCCAAUCUAUUCACAAAUUCUUCAUGUGUGUUCUAUUUGAAACUCGUUCAAAAUCUUCACUGUGUCCUUAUCAGCUGAAGAAAUUGCGAACGGAACUUCAAAACCUAUCUUAUCGAAAUUUUCGGUUUUGCCGCUCAAACCGUUCCGCAUCCCUCGAUACACUUAUCCACUCACCCACGAUCUAACACGAUCUCCACCUCUUACUACGUGGGUGACACAUGUCAUGCGAAUGAGAAGGGUCAGGGGCACGUUCGUCCAAUUUCUCCUUCCCUUCCUCACUUCUUUUACUCCGCUCGACCUCUCUCUUCUGCUCGAGCUUCUCAAACCCUAGCGUCGCCGCUACUUCAUCACCGCCGGUGAGGAAGAGUUUCACUGCCUCGACCUCGUCGCCGACGUACUCGCGUCGACCGCGGACAUCUUCACUCCGCCGCCGCCGUAGCCGUCUUCCUCCGCCAAGUUAGGGCGUGAAAGAUCUGCACAUCUCCUCACUCCAGUUCGUCGUGUUCUUCAUCCAGGGUAAUUAAAAGUUACUUUUACUGCCCUCGUUGAUUCGAAUGAUUAUCUACAAAAUCUUCAAAAGUGUUUUUCUUCAUAUCUUCACACACUGAACACCUCACAAAGUCAUCUGUUCUUGAUUCGUUUCUCUAAGCAUCAUUUUUCUUCAAGAUUCCUCAAUUGUGUGGAUCUUUGAUCUAUACAACUCUGGAACCUAAGACAAAGAACGCUUAGUGAAAAUCUUCAAGACUCAUCUGGUCAAUUUCCUCAAACCUGUUCAUUUUGAAAAACCUUCUGAGAACGCAUAUGACCUCUCCAAAUUCCUCGCAACUAUACUCUAUUCACAGGUACACAUGUCAGCUGCUGAAUCACUAGGUUCUCAUCAACUUAACUCAUUUGCAGCGUUCCUCGAAGAAAAGUUGCAUACUUCUUCAGAGAAUUCGAUUGUUCAAAUUCCUCAACUGAAGAAAAUGGCUGAUGGUAAAAGGCCACAGAAGGGAGGAAAGAGGCCUGAGGUAAAUACAGCGUUUGAGAUCCCUGAUGACAUAUAUGCUGGGUACUGCACACCUACUGAGAAAACCAAAAAUGAGCGCAAAGUGCGCAUUCAGAAGAUAGAGAGGAGAUGGGCAAGAGAAUGGAGGGAGUACAGAUAUGUCACUCCUAAGUAUAUGAAGAAAUUCGCACUCAAUCCUCCAUGCCCAAGAGAUCCAUUGGAACCUGGCCAAAUUGCUGAUCCCACCAGCCUCAAGCGAGGUGAGGACUAUCCUAAUGAAUGGGCCAAGCGCCAAGCCAAGCUGGCUAAGCAAGCCGGAGAAGCAGUGAGGAAAUUUAAUGAAGACUCUGCUGCUGCCUCUGCUGAGGCCUUUGCUGUCAAGCCAAAGAAGGCUAUGUCAAAGAAGCCUGCGCGCAAGCCAAGUGCUUCACCAACAAUGCCCUCAAGGUCAAGUUCCUCAGCAAUGCCCUCACGGCCAGAAUCAUCAAAGCCCUCAUGGCCAAUUCCUCAUGCUGCUCCCGUUCCUCCAAAGUCCUCAGCUCCUCCGCCGAAGCCUUCAGCUGUUCCGACCAAAUCCUCAGCACCUGUGCAUCUCGCUUCGUGCCAAAGGACUGCCGGCAUCUCCAUUGCCUCAGGUGUCUCAGCUAGUUCCUCAGCUGCACCAAGUUUCUCAGCUGGCCCCUCACUGCUGAAGACAAAGGCCACUGCUGGACGAGGUCCUCGCCCAAGUCCUCAAAAGAAGCAAGUCGCUUUCCAAGUGCCGUCUGAUGAAGACGAAGCUGAUGAUGAUGAACUUGCAGAAAUCAUCAGAGACAGGCAAGUCAGGGCCGCUAGAGCCAAAGGAUCAGAAGUGCCACUGCUUUUGGAUUCCAAGCUGAUCCUUGAGUACAUUGAUGAUUGGCACAAGGACCCCAACACUCACUUGCCUGACUUCAAGCUGACUCCUGGCCAGAGUCACAUGCCGACCCACUUCAUUCAAGAAGAAAAGUGGAAAAUUUGAGAAGGCUAGGCAGAUCAAGAAAGCGCAGUACAAGAAAGAGUGCUAUCUGAAGAAAAAUGUUGUCUCUAUGACAACUGAAGAACUUAUCACAAUUUAGACUGAGAUUAAGAAACUCAGUGAUAACUUUGACGCAUAUCGCUCUGAUUGGCUUGGAGCCAAGGUUCGUUUUGUGAAACUUGCAAAUAACUUCACUUCCAAUGUUGCAGCCCCAACGCAACACGAAAAUCCUCAGGCUGAAGCAUUUGCUCAGCCUACUGAAGAAAAUGUCAGCACCGCUAAUGAAAAUCAGGCUGCUGAAGAUAAUGUGAGUUCCAGGGCUGAUGACUGUAUUCCAGCCGCUGAAGAAAUUGUCAGGGCACCCACUAGUGGUGUGCCUAAAGAAACUGAAGAACUCAGUCAACUGCAUCAGUUGUGCCUAAAGAAAAUCAACCAGAUUCAUCAGCUGCUCCUGCACCAACUUCAACUCCAAUCCUUCCAUCUGCAUCGGAUGUGAAGAAGACCAAGGCUGUAGAGCGUGCUGCAGUGAAGAAAAGGAAAGCAUCAGCUGCUUCAGAUUCUUCAGCUCCGAAGAAAAUGAAGCCUAUGACAAGUUCAUUUGCACAUCCGAUUGAUGUUGUUCCCAUCUCAACCAGGCCAUCAAAGGACCUUGUUCCUUUUGAUGAAGAAUAUGUGAUCCCCAGCGGAUCUGAUGAAGAAACUCAUUCUGCUGCUUCGUCUGAACCAUUGGAUGAAGAAAUUGAAGUGGAUGCGAUCCCUUCAACACCUAUCAUCUCCUCGCCUAUGCCUCAGUUCACAGCUGAAAAGGCUGGCGUUGAAGAAAUGGAAGAUGAUGAUGUGGACAUUGGCUGCUCCACACCCGUAAUCAGUGAUGAAUUCUGGGAAAGUCAGCAUCCAAAUUCUCCAAUGUUCACUCCUCUACAACAAAUUUCUCAGUCCCUCACACAAACUGAUCACAUGGGCUCUAAAGAAACUCAUCCCACUGCAUCUGCCCAUGAGGAAAUUCCAGCCACUAGCACUGAAGAAACUGCUGCUGCUGAACAACCAACGACGCAGACUGCCACUGAGGAGGAACCAGAAAUUCCUCAGCCUAAAGAACCUGCGAUUGAGAUUCCUGAGGUCGUGAUGCAACUCACAGACACUCCUCUGCCGAAGCCAAAGGAUCCAUUCUCACGCAAGCAAAAGUUCAAGGCUGAUGAUUUCUUCGGCAAGCACAUAUUCUUCAAAGAUUACAACCCAUAUGACUCUGCUCGCAUUAGGAAGAGGCGUUUCUGGACUGCUAGUCAAGCCAAUUUCUAUUUCUUAGUGUUGUUCAACAAGGAGAAGAUUUUCUACCAUGAGCAUAUUCCUCACGUGGUGUAACGCCCCGUGACCGAUGUGCCAGGUGUCGUCCAGUUAUUCGCUGUUGUUGCUUUGUCAUUGCUUGCAUGUCAUGCAUUGCAUACCAUGUCAUCAUGUGCAUCUCAUUUGCAUACAUGUUCGUCUCAUGCAUUCGAGCAUUUUUCCCGUUGUCCGUUUUGCAUUCUGGCGCUCCAUUCUCCUCCUGUGGUCAUUUCUACUUUCCUUUCGUGUGUGGUGAUUAAACAUUUCCGGAUUGGACCGAGACUUGCCAUGCGGCCUUGGUUUACUACCGGUAGACUGCCUGUCAAGUUUUGUACCAUUUGGACUUCGUUUGAUGCUCCAAUGGUUAACCGAGGGACCGAAAAGGCCUCGUGUGUGUUGUAGCCCAACACCCCUCCAAAGUGGCUCAAAACCCACCUAAACCUCCUCCAUCAUCUCGGUCGUUCGAUCAUGAUCGCGUGGCCGAAAACCGCACCUCAUUUGGACUCUCCUAUCUCCCUCUACCUAUAAAUAUGUGCUCCCCUCCUGAAAUUCGCAGAUGAACCCUAGCUUUCUUCCAGCUCCAGCCGCCGGACGUGUCCAUCCUGGACCGGACAAUGUCCGCCACCGCCACCUCACUCCGACGAAUCGGAGCGCGCCACGUCACUCCCGCCGCCGCCGCGAGCCAACCAGCUCGCACCACCUCACCCGCGCCGCGCCCUCUCUCUCCGGCCCGCGCCCGCCGGCCCGCCGAGCCCGCCUCCGGCCCACGCGGGCCCAGAUCUCGCGCCGUCGCCNNNNNNNNNNNNNNNNNNNNNNNNNNNNNNNNNNNNNNNNNNNNNNNNNNNNNNNNNNNNNNNNNNNNNNNNNNNNNNNNNNNNNNNNNNNNNNNNNNNNNNNNNNNNNNNNNNNNNNNNNNNNNNNNNNNNNNNNNNNNNNNNNNNNNNNNNNNNNNNNNNNNNNNNNNNNNNNNNNNNNNNNNNNNNNNNNNNNNNNNNNNNNNNNNNNNNNNNNNNNNNNNNNNNNNNNNNNNNNNNNNNNNNNNNNNNNNNNNNNNNNNNNNNNNNNNNNNNNNNNNNNNNNNNNNNNNNNNNNNNNNNNNNNNNNNNNNNNNNNNNNNNNNNNNNNNNNNNNNNNNNNNNNNNNNNNNNNNNNNNNNNNNNNNNNNNNNNNNNNNNNNNNNNNNNNNNNNNNNNNNNCGACCUCACCCCGGCGCCCCUCCGCCGCCUUGCCCUCCUUCGGUUCCCUCGUUCCUCGCCGCCCUCUCCUUCCCCUUCGCCGGCGAACCGCAUCUCCGGCGCUAACUCCGGCCAGAUCCGCCACUGCAUCGAAAACCGUGCGAAACCCUAGAUCUGGAGGUAGUAAAUUUCUUCUAAGUCCUGAGAUUUCAGAUUCAUGUGCCCAUCUUCAUCGCAUCGUAACUUUGCAUCCAUAGCUCCGAUUGAUGCAUAUAACAUAUCAAAAUAUUCGUCUCAGAGAGUACAUCAUUUCAUUCCAUUGCAUCAUUUUCAUUUGAGCUCAUCUUGAUGCCCGAAAUGCUGUUAGAAGAGUGCUACUUGAGAUAAUUGUCAGAUCUGCUGCUCCAAUUAGUUAUUUGUCAUUUUUGCCAAGAUUAUUGUGUGCAUGAUAUGCCCAUGAGCUCUACAUAUGUUUUGUUAAGGGUUUUGCCAUCUUUCCAGAGGUGCAACCCAUGUAUUCUUGUGAUGUGUUUGGUGACUAGCACGAGAUUGCAAAGUGAGGCACUUGGUAAUGCUGAUUUCAGGGACUUAGCAUUUCCACUAAGUCCUUGAGCUGUUUAUCUCAUAUGGCCAUAUGUUCAUGUUGUUUCCUAGUGAUUCGUGCCUCUUUUGAGGAUGAUCAGUAAGGAUGUUUUGUUAAUAUUGUAGUGCUUUAUCCAUCCAUGUCUUUGUUUGCAAUUAUUGAGCACCCUAGCUUGAGUCAAUCGAGCUCUACUUUUGCUAUUUCGUGAAUCUGGACAGAUUGUCUACUUGUUAGCGAUUUUUCCAAGGGUGUUGUAGUUGAUCCGUGCAUGCUAUGUUAUUGUUCUUGCCAUGUCUGGCUUUCAUUUUGUGUAUUCUUGAUGGGUGUAUGCCUAGAUUGUCAUGACUUGCUCCAUAGUGAGUGCAUCGAACUUAAACAUGCCUACUUGAUAUCUGUUUUCAGCAUGUUCCAGUUUUCACUAAGUCUAAGAACUGAUUAUGUUUUUGUCAUGUUCACAUGCUUGCAAUUGUAUUUUCUGAUCCCUUUUGGCUCAAGGUCACUAAGGGACUUUUGUUAAGCUCUUUGAGUAGCUCCAUGCCAUGCUUUACUUUGCCAUGUUCAGAUCCUGUAGCAUAUAGUUUUCAUGCUCCGAAGUGUGCUACCUGAUCUGAAAUUUCAGACAAGUGUUAAUUUCACCAAGUCUGAAAUCUGUUUACCAUAUGCAUUUUUGUCAUGCUUGUUUGAACCUGUUAAUGGAAGAAUUGGCCGUAGCUCGGUGCUAGACUUUUGUUAAGAAUCAUGAAUGGAUUCCUGCCAUGUAUUUUGUUGCCAUGUUUGAAUGCUGUAGCAUGUUCAUCUUGUUGCAUUUAGUUGGCUACUUGCUGUAAAUCUUAGACCGGUGUCAUAUUUGAAUUGCUUGCCAUUUCCAAACCGUAACUCUGAUUCCGGUGAUCUUUAUAUCAUUUUCAAGCGAUUUCAUAUCAUCUUUCUAGUGGCACACUUGGUUUUCCAAGUUGAGUCCAGGUUCAUUCGUUUCUUGUCAAAUCAUGCAUAUGGAUCGCCAUACUGCAUCCCGCAUAUCAUACCAUGUUCAUGUGUUGGUCGUUUACUAUGUUGUGUGCUUCUUUUCCGGUGUUUGCUUCUUCUGGUUGGUUUCGGUAACGUCACGUUUGUGAGGACCCGUUCGUCUACGUUCGUUUAUCUUCUUCAUGGACUCAUUCUUCUUCCUUGCGGGAUUUCAGGCAAGAUGAUCAUACCCUCGAAAUCACUUCUAUCUUUGCUUGCUAGAUGCUCACUCUUUUGCUAUGCCUAUGCUGCGAUACCUAUCACUUGCUUAUCAUGCCACCCAUAUUGUUGAACCAAGCCUCUAACCCACUUUGUCCUAGCAAACCGUUGUUUGGCUAUGUUACCGCUUUGCUCAGCCCCUCUUAUAGCGUUGUUAGUUGCAGGUGAAGAUUGAAGUCUGUUCCUUGUUGGAACAUGGAGAUGUUGUUCCUUGUUGGAACAUGUUUACUUGUUGGGAUAUCACAAUAUAUCUUAUUUAAUUAAUGCAUCUAUAUACUUGGUAAAGGGUGGAAGGCUCGGCCUUAUGCCUGGUGUUUUGUUCCACUCUUGCCGCCCUAGUUUCCGUCAUAUCGGUGUUAUGUUCCCGGAUUUUGCGUUCCUUACGCGGUUGGGUAAUAAUGGGAACCCCUUGAAAGUUCGCCUUGAAUAAAACUCUUCCAGCAAUGCCCAACAUUGGUUUUACCAUUUUCCACCUAGCCUUUUCUUUUCCCUUGGGAGUCGCGCUCCUGAGGGUCAUCAUUAUUUUACCCCCCCGGGCCAGUGCUCCUCUGAGUGUUGGUCCAACUUGUCAGCCGCCGGUGGCCACCAAGGGCAACUCUGGGCUGGCCUACCGGAAGUUUGGACGAUCCGGUGUGCCCUGAGAAAGAGAUAUGUGCAGCUCCUAUCGGGAUUUGUCGGCACAUUCGGGCGGUGUUGCCGGUUUAGUUUUACCCUGUCGAAAUGUCUUGUGGAACCGGGAUACCGAGUCUGAUCGAAAUGUCUCGGGAGGAGGUCUAUUCCUUCGUUGACCGUGAGAGCUUGUGAUGGGCUAAGUUGGGACACCCCUGCAGGGAUUUGAACUUUCGAAAGCCGUGCCCGCGGUUAUGGGCAGAUGGAAAUUUGUUAAUGUCCGGUUGUAGAAAACCUGAAGUUGACCUUAAUUAAAAUAUAUCAACAGCGUGUGUAACCGUGAUGGUCUCUUUCUGGCGGAGUCCGGGAAGUGAACACGGUUGUUGGAGUUAUGCUUGACGUAGGUUGCUAUAGGAUCACUUCUUGAUCAUACUUUUAUCGACCGUGCUUUGCCUUCUCUUCUCGCUCUCAUUUGCGUAUGUUAGCCACCAUAUAUGCUAGUCGCUUGCUGCAGCUCCAUCUCAUACCUUUUACCUUACCCAUAAGUUUAAAUAGUCUUGAUCGCGAGGGUGCGAGAUUGCUGAGUCCCCGUGACUCACAGAUACUUCCAAAACCAGUUUGCAGGUGCCGAUGUUACUGAGCAGGUGACGCAACCAAGCUCAAGGAGGAGCUCGAUGAAGAUCUUGUCCUUUGUGUUGUUUCGUUCUAGUUGAUCAGUAGUGGAGCCCAGUUGGGGCCGAUCGGGGACCUUUGUCGCUUUUGGGGUUCUUCUUUUAUUUUGGUUCCGUAGUCGGACCUUGAUUGUAUCUGGAUGAUGUAAUGCUUUUAUCCAUGUAAUUGUGUGAAGUGGCGAUUGUAAGCCAACUAUGUAUCUCUUUCCCUUAUGUAUUACAUGGGUUGUGUGAAGAUUACCUCACUUGCGACAUUGCUUCCAAUGCGGUUAUGCCUCUAAGUCGUGCUUCGACACGUGGGAGAUAUAGCCGCAUCGAGGGCGUUACACGUGGAUAUGGAAUCUCUGCCGUGCUUCGCACCAGUCCUCAGUGUUCUUCACGACGCUGGGCUGCUCAACUUUUGCUCUGACAUAUGCGGUUGGAAUGAGGAACUGAUUCUUCAAUUCUAUGCAACGCUGCACAUCACCGGAGAUGCUGAAGAUGUGAAUUCAUGGGUGCUGGACUGGAUGUCUGAAAACACUCACCACACUGCACUAGCCUCUGAAUUGCUUCGUGCUCUACCACUCAGUCCUCCCCUUGAAGAAGCUCGCUGCAUCUACAGUGAACCUGAGCUCACACAUCAUUACAUGCAGAUGCUGAUGAAGCCUUUGAAACCAGGUCAGGCACCACGAACCAAAUUCCUCGUGAAGGAAUUGUUGUACGUGCCCAGAAAUGUCUAUCGUAUUCUUACGAGGACAAUCAGUCCUAUCAAAGGCCACGACUCAUCUGAUGAGGAAAUUGUUGGCAGCAUGAAGAAUCUGGUAUUCAACAUCGUUCAUGGCAUUCCUGUCAAUUAUCACGAUAUCUUCAUGAGGACUAUGGCCAAUGUUGCACUGUCUCCGUUUGAGCUGAAGCCUUAUGGACCUUGGAUCAUGAGAUUCCUCAGGACAAGGUCUUCACUCAACUACAAAGCUGAUUUCUAGAACCAUCUCAGCUACUUGCCCCCAAUUGAAGUCCUCAAGCAGACAUAUUCCUCAGUUGAUGAAAAGGGCAAGGCACCAGCUGUAAUUGAUGAAGGCAUUCAUCCAUUGGAUGGUCAGUUUCGCAAAGCUGCAUAUUAUUCCACCAAUGAUGACUCUGCCAAUGCACCUAAGUCCACUCCUUAAGCCACUGCUCCGCGCGUGAUGACUGACCAUGAACUUCUGCUUAGUCUUCACUAGAAGGUGGAUUGAAAUCACAAAUGGGUUAAGCGUCAAUUUGGUUCACUUCUUCACAACAUGACUGCCACACACAAUGCAGUGAAGAAAAACCACUACUACCUCCAUCAAGUCUUUGAUCGCACCUGGGCAAUCCUGUCACAUCUGUAUGGUGAAGAAGAUCUGAAGAACAUGGGUCUUAAUGAAGAUUUUGACUGGUCUGCACCUCCUCCGAAGAAAUUCAAGAAGGUCAAGGUUCCUUCUCUGGUGGCCAGCUCAUAUUUUUCAUCGCGCGACACUGAUGAACAUGAAGAUUUGGACGACACUGCGGCAGGCCCUACAUCAACAAACGACCCCAACAACGCUUACGCUCCUUCAUCAACAUGAUUAUCUUCAGGGGCGUUAGUCCUCAUUUUCGAUCCUUUUGGUCAUUCGAUGACAAAGGGGGAGAAAUAUGAGUUAGUCUUCAAGCGGGUCUACUAUAUGGGCAUUUAUUUUGCUAAGUUACAACUCUCGUUCUUCUGAAACUUUAUUGGAUCGAGUUGUAAUCUUAAACCCGAUGGUGCUCUGAUACUUUUGAUGCACUGUGCUCUGAUACUCUUGAUGCACUAUUCUACAUGCUUAUUCCUUGUUAAUAUUAUUGCACGCAUGCUAAAUUUCAUCAGGCACCAUAUUUCAUCAUGCAUUUCAAAUUCUUCAUAUUAUACGUUAAAUGCGUGUAUGAAUUACAAGAUAUAGGGGGAGAUCUCCAUGAUUCAACUCUUCAAGUAUGCAUUGCUUCAAAAACAAAUUCCUCACUAUGCACAUCUUCAAGGGGAGUUAUUCUAUAUCUUGCAAUCAAAUUCCUCAAUAUCAGUAUUUACACUUCAUAUGUUUAUCCCCGUUGAAAACUUAACAUAUAUUGUCAUCAGUCAGCAAAAAAUGGGAGAUUGUAAGUGCAUCUAGUGCCCCUUAGUGAUUUUGGUGUAUUGAAGACUUAUAGGUUAAGGGACUAAUGCGUGUGUGAGUGUACACAGGUCUAUAAGUCUAUGAGGAGUUUGAUAUUUACAAAAAAAGUCGACCCCUAAAAAUGAAUAUCUUCGACUGAAGAUUUUGGUAUUUCUGAAGACUUUCAUGAAGGCUUUGAAAGUGAAGAAAUUGGUGUGUCCGUGAAGACUUGAUAUUCAUGCAAGAAAUAUGAAGCUUGAAGACUUUCGUGUUCAUAGUUUUGUUUUUCUCUUUUUUGAGUCAUAGGAAACACCGUACUGUUAAAGGGGGUCGAGGAAAUACUAAGGAAAAAUUUCCAUAUGAUGCUCAACUCAAAUCCUACAUCUACCAAUCCCUUCGAGUGAAGCCAUUGGAAAUCUCAUACAGUUCAGUCAAUUUCUUCAGUGACAGAGACGAAGUUCUUCUGGUCUCUUAGGAAUUUGUCCUGACUGAGGAGUUAGGAAUUCACCAGUGCGGAUUGCCUACACAGUGAGGAACAUGAUAGCCCUAAGGAUUUUGCUACUCAAAAUUCCGACCGUUGUUGUGCUAUGCGCCAGCUGUCCCAAAAUAUCUAUCCACCUAACGGUCAUAUCAUUGAAGGGCAUUUAUGUCUUAUCAUGUCGGGCUGCUCCCUAGGCUAUAAAUAGCCGCCCCUACAACCACUAGCUGGUUGGCUGCUCCGAGAGAAACUGACACUUGUCAUUUGAGAGCAACCCAUCCUUCGAGGACUUUGAGCGAAAAUCAUCAAGUGAGGAAAAACCAAAAACCCAAAACCCAAACACCUACAAACCCCAAGUGAUUGAGCAUCACUGAAGAGAUUGAUCCUGAGUGGAUCCGACGCUUGUUACCUUUAAAGAUUGUGCUUCUUCUAGACGGUUAGGCGUCAUGGUCUAGAGCAUCCAAGAGGAAUUGUGGAUCGCUGAGUGACCAAGUUUGUGAAGGUUUUGAAGUCGUUUGAAGACUUACCACGAGUGAUUGGAUGAGGUCUAUGUGACCUUAGUUCAAGGAGAAUACGGUGAGAAUUGGGUGUCUUGGACCAAGUGUCCUUGACUGGGUGUCCGGGACUGUGUGUCCUCGAUUUUAAAUACUCAGCCGCUCCAACCAGACGUACAACUGAGACAGCAGUUGGAACUGGUCUACCUAAUCAUUGUCUUCACCGAGCUUACUGGUUCUAUUUCCUCAACUCUUUCAUUUCCUCAUAACUGUGCUGUAUUUUUGUUCAUAUCUGUGUUUGAAGACUUUGACUGAAGACUUUCUCAAUUUCCUCAGUUCAAUUUCUUCAGUCUGUUUGUCUUCAUCCUGAGUUAUCCUGUGAUUACGCUUCCUGUACUCUGUGCCUGUCUUCAUUUCAUCAUGAUGACUAUGCUUGUAUUCUGUUGUGUUUACUUUUGAGUACUUAUUUCGCUGCUAGUAGUUCUUCGCUAGAAAUUUUCUCACCAGCAAAUUCCUAAGUGAAGAAUUUCAUAAAAAUCGCCUAUUCACCCCCCUCUAGUCGAUAUAACGCACUUUCAGGUUAGAUUUAUCUUAAUUUUUCUUUUAUAGUUGUGGAUGCUUGCGAGAGGGGGUAAUCAUAAGCGAGAGGCUUAUCCAAGUAAAAACAACAUCCAAGCACCGGACCACUCACAUAUCAAAUUAUCAAAAUAACAAACACGAAUUAAACAAACAUGAUAAAAGUGACUAGUGUGUCCUCGGGGACGCUUUGCUUAUUAUAAGAGAUCUUUCUGCCCUGUCCUUUGCUACAAAAAGGAUCGAGCUACCUUGCUGCACCUUCGUUAUCGAUACUAUUACUUACUCGUUACAAAUUGUCCUGCUACAAACUAUAUGUUACCGAAAAUUUUAGUGCCCACAGAAAAUACCUUGCUAAAAACUGCUUGUCAUUUCCUCGUGCUUCUCAUUGGGUUCGACACUCUUACUUAUCGAUAUGAUUACAAUUGAUCCCUUAUAUUUGUGGGUUAUCAAUAGCCAAGAGAACACCUUCACUCGCAGGGGAUCCCUUGUUUUCCGGUGAAGGCGCCAGUUCAGGUCCGGGAUAGAACCGUGGAAGAGAGCUAGAUAACGGCACUUGGCGGAGUACUGACCGGAGUUAGUCCAUCUCCAUCUCAGCUCGUUGGGUUGGUCAGAGAGUUCUACGUGAUUGAUAUGCCGCCAUAGCCCCUUGUACGGGACCAAGGCAGUCAGGCCAAGGGCGUCAUGAAUGUCGCAAACUUAUACCCUCCCAAAGAGCCCAUAGCACACAGAACGAUCUUGUCGACAUCGCUUCGGGAUCUGGUAAAAGAUUUGGGGGGGGGGGCAUAUUCCGUAAUAUACUUCAUGUCGAGCCAUGGGUCUAUCCAGAAGCGGCAAGAGUUAUUGUUGCCCGACAAUCAGGAAGUGGAGGUGCGGAAGAUCUGCGAUGCCUACGAAUCAGAGGGGAGGUGAAGAUGCAGCUCUAGUAUUUCUAGCGACCAGUAACCAGGAAGUUCAUCUUCUCGAUCAAGGGACUCAAGCUCUGGUAUUUUCUCACAUACCAUGAUCUCUUGCAACAAACUGAGCGAUGAUGGACCUAUGAGAGCUCCUAUCGUGCGCCUAGCGCGGUAGCGAGCAAACGCACGAUAUGUUGUGGUGGGAGCUAGUUUUUUUUAAGGAACCGACAGAAACAUUGCCUUUUUAUUUAGGCGAAAUAGAGGGUUUAUAUACAGAGGUGCCAAAUUUUGAAGGGGAACCGGCUAAACCCACAACGGGGCCGACACUAGAUUACAACUCAACCAAUACCCGACCAUAGGACAUGUCCUUCUGCUUGAUCUUAAAUUUUUCAUGCAUUAAGAAAUGGUUUCACAUCUAAAAAAUAUUCAUGAAUUUAAUGUAUGUCUGCCAAUUUUUUAAAAGAUUUUUAUUCACGGAAAUAAAACCACUCAUGAAUUUUCAAAGGUGUUCAUGUUUCUAAAAAUGUUCAUACAUUAAGAAAUGCUUUCACAUAUAAUAUAACAUUAUUUUAUUUUGUUUAAAAUGUAAAAAAAAGGAAACACACGAAAAGAAAAGGAAAAACAGUCUUGGAAAAAAGGAACAUAAAUAAAAAAGAGGUUUGGAUCGCGCCAUUAUACUCAUCAACAAUCAUGGUCCAUGCACCAAAAACAAAAGGAGGUUUUGAUUGAUUCUCCUGUAUACCACGUCUCGCGUUGAAUUUCAGCCAAAGUUUAUAUCUGCAAUCAAAGCACUCCGUCUAAAUCCAGAAAGUUGGUUCGUAACUUAAAAUCUGGAAAGUUCUCACAAAAGGAAGGAAAGCCACAACCCCCCGCCAACAGCCCAAAAAUUCGAGCUGCCGCCCCACCUCUGACCCGGCCCGCCAAGCCACAGGUCCAAGCCUCCCGCCACGUCAGCGAUCCGCGGCAUCUCUCUCGCGGAUCCCCAUCUCGACCGUCCACCGCAUCCGCAUCGAACGGCAGGCACACGCCUCCUCCAACCUCUCUCCCCUUUAAAACGCCCCUCGCCCCUCCCCGCAAAUCACAACACAAACCACCAACCACCACCGCUACUCCAACCCCACAUUCGCUUGCCAGCAGCUCGAAGAGGAUCGUCGGCGACCAUGUCCGGGCGCGGCAAGGGAGGCAAGGGGCUCGGCAAGGGCGGCGCCAAGCGCCACCGGAAGGUGCUGCGCGACAACAUCCAGGGCAUCACCAAGCCGGCGAUCCGGAGGCUCGCUCGGAGGGGUGGCGUGAAGCGCAUCUCGGGGCUCAUCUACGAGGAAACCCGCGGCGUGCUGAAGAUCUUCCUCGAGAACGUCAUCCGCGACGCCGUCACCUACACCGAGCACGCCCGCCGCAAGACCGUCACCGCCAUGGACGUCGUCUACGCGCUCAAGCGCCAGGGCCGCACCCUCUACGGCUUCGGCGGCUAGGCGCUUCCUCGCCCCUCCCCUGCAGAUCCCAAAAGCUUGAUGAUACCGCGACUUGUGUGGUUUGCUACUUCCUCUGUAGUUCCAAGUGAAUCGUGAAACAAAGCUACUCGCAUCUGGAGUUGGAAAUCAAUAUACACCGUGUUUCUGAAUUUUGUCUCGCUGGUUGGCCUGCUAUAUCUCUGUUUGUGUGCGAUUGCUGUUUCUUCUGUAAUGCAAAAUUGUGUGCGCUCCGGAGUUAGUAGAUUUUACCAGUAGAUGCCGACAAACCGUACUUGGUUGUGCAACACUGGGCAGAAUUGGUGUUCGUGCAACGCUGUAAUUGAGAUGGAUUUUGUCUGCAUUUCAUACAUCCAGUCUUAGAUUGUGAGACCUUUUAUAGUGCAUCUAAUUAUUUUGGACCGUUUAUUUCUGUGCUUCAACGGUCCAGAUAUGACUGCUACACCAAAAAUCUGGUAGUUUAUCUAGGCAUUAGGGGCAUUUUGGGAAAAAAUCACAAUACAUCAAUCUGUGAUCUGAGUCCCAAAUUAUUCGCGACACGUCCUAGGUUGGGUUGACUACCGCCAACAUAUACAGUUUUGUACAAACCCACCUAUAAAGUCUUGUCUUUCAAUUUGAAGGCCCUUUCUAAUUUUUGCAUGUUGUUUUUCUAGUCGUUGCCGGCGCCUGGUCCUUUUUUCCCGGGCCCGACAUCUGGUCAUUAAUAAUCAACCCUGACCUUGGUCUCCUGCGGCGUGGUGUAUGAAUACGCAUAGGCUGCCAUCUGAGAACACGUCGAGGCUGCGGCUGUCAUUGGGGGACGCGGUGUCUGAGACCAAAGCCAGCACGAACAAGAACGACUGUCCUCCCGUUGCGGCAGAAGCGGACGCCUGAGGAAAAGGUGAGCGCGUUGCUGUGGAUUUGCAGGGGUCCGGUUGUUAUCUGAAUGCCCGCUCUCAUUUGAUUGGUUUGCUCGAUCAAUCCAGCUAGCGAGUGCCCCAACGAACCUGCCUAUCACCAUGAACUUUUUCCCAGUAGCUUGAUCCAAUCGAGGGUGGCGAGUGGAAGGCGCUGGAGUAGAGAGUAUGUGUGUAUUCUUGACCGGUGGCAUAGAUCGGGCAACUAAGCGGAUGGGGUGAUGGACUAAUUCAGGUUUGUUAAUUAGGCAUUGAAGCUUGAUCCAAUCGAGGGUGGCGAGUGGAAGGCGCUGGAGUAGAGAGUAUGUGUGUAUUCUUGACCGGUGGCAUAGAUCGGGCAACUAAGCGGAUGGGGUGAUGGACUAAUUCAGGUUUGUUAAUUAGGCAUUGAUCAAUGAGCGAUCCUUCUUGGCCUAGGCGUUCAGCGUGGAGGACGGAGCUAUGGAUGUGUGCAUUUAGGACUAAUCACGUGAGAGGAUAAAUAUAUCCCUAAUUGGAAUUACCAAUAUGCCCUCAAGCUGCAUCUCAUACCAGCCAUUGGAUCAACUUAAUACUACCCACUGAGUUAUGGAGUAUGAUGUACCGUAAAAACUCUCUUAUUAUGCUCACAAGAGUUCCAGCUGUGAAAUUAGUCUGGAACUCUCACAGUUACCAAUUCAUGAUGUGGUUACUGUUAACUGCUAACUCUGAAUCAUCAUUUCUGCUUUAUCUCUGUCGAUUUCUAGUUGCUACAGAAACCUUUUCAAUUGCUUGAACAGUGAUUACAUGUGCAGAAUUUGCUAAUACACAUACGCGAAACCCCCUUCUGCAGUGGCAGCAACAACUACACCCUUCAGAGGAAUUGGUCUUCUUCAUUUUGCUAUCUCAAAGGAGGAUGUGGAUGAGUUUACAGUGACAAUGAUUCACUGCAAAUCCUGCGGAUUCAUUCACUGUAUUCAAACGAUUUUCCAUUUGUGAGGUGUCAACAAAAAGUGAAAAACUGAACAAUGAAAACAAAGGAAGGGGUGCAAUGAUGCAUCAGAUCUCUUAUGAAUUACAUUCAGAUAUCCAAAGCAGCUCAAAUAACGGAGUAAUAAUCUGUCCUGAGAAGACAUGUGCAGAUUACAAAACCAUCAUCUGGUCAGAACAGCGAUGUAACAGAUAUACCAAGUUAGAUUGAUAUUGGCAUUCACACAAAUUAGUGGUCCUUGUUGUUGUUUGGCUUUGAAGUAUAUUUGUGUAUAAAACAAGUCUUUCUAUUAGACAAUAAACUGAAGAUACAGCAUUUUGAUAGAUAAUAUUCACAGUAUGUCAAUAUAUUUUUCUCUUCGACGCCAACCACUUUGGCUCCCUCCCACAUGAACAACUUCAAGAAUGCCUUUAUGAAACUGAACGCCUGAUAGGGAGGUGACUGAAUAUGGCAAACAUGUUGCAAACACGCUGAAGACAUAGAUACACAAGUACCGACGUAGACACCAAAAAGACCCUCCCAUUUUGUACUAUCAACACAACCAAAAUUUGACACUUCUGUUUAAAGUAUACAUGUAUAGCGGUAAUAGAAAAGAAAUGAAAAAUUACUAUCAAGUAUGUGCAGUGAGAUGACUGAAGCAUCACAGAGAUGACAAGUUCCUUGAAAAGCUCUGAUUCACAGCAUCCCAGUGCCGGCACAGAGUAGAGCAACCAUGCUUUUCAAGGCACACAAUACAUCAGUUCAGAUUGCUGUCAUUGAGAGAAUGGAACACCGGAGUCGUCGGAUGAGGGCUGUAGCGCAUUGAUCUUGAUAACAUAUUUCUUUCGACUAGACAUGCUGCUGACCUCUGAGCUUGCGAGUGUGUCAUCUGAGCUAUGAUACAAGGCAGAGUCCUCGUCGUCAUAAGCGUUACCGAUAUGGGCACUGCACUUGCGGCAGAGCAAUCGUGUUCUCCUUCUGAAGAAACCCCAUGAAGACCUUGAGCUGAAGUAUGGCAUGCAGCUCACCUCGUCAGUUUGUGUGAACCGGCUCUCGUCAAUCGCGAAGAACGAGACGACGCCUUUCCUGAUCUGCUUUCCAUACUUUGAUCCAAUGUUGGCCGUGUUCCGUGUUGAGGAGCUCAAGUUCAAUGCAUAGCCACAGUACCCACAGCUGUCAUGAAGAAGCAAAGAACACACAUCAUCAGACUGAACAUAGAAACCUGAAACUACCAUCCUACUGCUUUGACAAGAACGUCGUAUUCGCAUAUAAAUGACAAUUCCAUGUUUUUCUGUAUGCCUUCACAAGUUCAAAUUAUGUCCCACAGAAUUUAUUAUAUCCUUCUGCACUCAAAACGUAACAUUUUUUUAAACGAAACACAGAGAUGCUGCUUUCCAUUCAUUAAGAUAAGAGGAGAAGCCUCAAAGGGGAUUACAUGUCAAAACUGUACAGAAAAACAAAAGAGGGAAGUAAGGCUACAUCUGACUAAUCCACUUAACACCUCUUAUCCCAGCCGUGAGCCAGAUGUUGAGCUCAGAGAUGCUGAUCUCUUCAAAGAAACAGAGGGCCAACGAUGAUCAUUUCAUUUCAGUAUUCUGAAGAAACAGAGGUUCUAGCAGCCAGAACAUAACUAGAAGCAACAAAAGAUUCAGUAUCCAUCCAUGAUGUACCAACUGAACCCAGCAAUACCGCAUCAGUAAUCUUAAACUGACCUUAGUGGACGGUAAGUAGCACAGACUUUUGAGAACAAACACGGGAAGAAGCAAGGCAGUCAAGGUCAAAGACCAAACAAGAUUGUCGAUCCUAGGGUUCAACUGUAGGUUCCCUGAGCAGAAGAGAGCCACGGGAAGGAAAUCGGCGAACCUGUAGGCGACGUCUUUGGCGGAGUAGCAGCCGUCGAGGGCCCUCGCCAUGCUCCCCGAAUCCCGAUCGACUGGGGAAAGUGCCGGCCAGCGGGGAGGGAGGGAGGGAGAAGGGGGAAGAGGGGGGCUCUGCUCUGCUCUUUUGAUUGGGGGCUGGCUGUGACGGCGAAGCGGGCAACGGUCUCCGCGGAGGGCAGGCAGGUAGGAUUGGCGACCGCGCCGCGCUGGUUUCUCUUUCUUUUUCUCCUUUUCUUCGUGCCCUUUGGCGCACGUCGUGGCGGGCGGAAGGUGGGUGGAUUGAUGAUGGUGGCGUUGCUCUCGCGUCGUUGUUGCCAUGCCAGCAACGUGGCCAACGCCGUGAUUGAUUUGCUGCCGCGCCUGUGAUGUGAUCGUGAAGGCUGAUGGUGCCUCGUUCGUUGUGCUUGCGUGUUGCCAGACGUUGCGCCUGUGUCGCUGUCUCUGUUCAAACUUCAAAAUCUUCGGCAGAUGCAGCGCUUGGUCAAUACGUGUGUGCACAUCCACACGCGGUAUGUUGUGCUGCUGGGCUCUGUUUUUUUUGAGUGAUGCUUCAGAGAAACUAGCACCGCUAUCGACUUUGUUUUGAGUGAAAAGUAAAGAACAAGAUAAUUUGAAUGAAAGAUGAUCCAUCAGUCUUUAUUGAUAAUAAAAAUGGGGUAUUUAUACCCAGGCGGAAGUACACAUGAUGUUUGGCGGUCAAGUAAACACAUAAUUACUUGAGAGCCAAGGAAUUACAUAGUUGCCUUAAGAGCCAAGAAAGUACAUGGUUGCUUGAGAACCAAGUAACCUAUCUAACAUUUAACUUAAUCCUAAUUAGCUUAAUUAAUAAGCAACUAUUCUAUUCUUAACACUCCCCCUUGUACAACGCCUUGUCUUUGGGACAUCCAUCAUCUUGACAAAUUCUUUGAAUAAUCUUGAAUGUCUCCUCCAAAAACCCUAUGGGAAAAAUAUGAGGAAAAUAGUGCAGAUAUGUUGCUAAAACUCCUUUAAACCCAGUGGGAAAAUAAUAAGGGGAAAAUGAUGCAACAUAUAAUGAUUAUUGUCUCUUGAUAACUCAUAUGAGAAAAACCUUUGAAGAAGGAGAAAAAUCAUUGAUGAGUUUAGAGAACAAUUAAUAUGUCUUGAGUACUUUCUUUAAAAACCUCGAUAGGGAAAAUAGAAAGUAUGACGUAUGAUCUUUGAUAAGAUAUUGCCUCAUUAAAAACCAUUAUGAGAAACUUUGAUAGAAAACUCAUAAAGGAAAAGAGUGCGAUAUGAUAUGCCAUUGAAAACUCCUUUAUAACCCAGUGGGAAAAAUAUAAGGAGAAAGUGUAUGACAUAUACGUGCACUUGUGUUUAUAUUGUCUCGUUAAAAACCUUUAUGAGAAACCAUUAGGAAAAACUCAUAAAGGGAAAAAGAGUACAAUAUACGCAAUCUUAGGGUUGUUAAUAGGUUAUAGAUUUGGGAAAUUACUCCCCCUGAACUUUGCAAACCUGGAGAAUGUGUAAUACAAAUUCCAUUGAUAUGAUCGUGACAUUAUGAAUAAUCCGUAGGAUUUUCAAAGUAUGUUGUUUGCAUAUUGUUUCUAUAAUUUGUGAGGAUAAGUAAUUUUCGAGCAAUGUACUUUAUAAUAUUGCUCUUCAUAUAACCUGUAGUUUUUGAGUAACACAAGUGGUAGCGUCUUGAUAAAUCAAGUUAUGUGAUUCUGCUGAAUCUCAACCACAUGAUUUUGAGUGUGGCUAAUCAUUCUGCUAAGCCAUGCAUAUUUUGCAAUGCUUUUAGGUAGAGCAAUUAUAUUAGAGUGAUUAGUGGAAGUAGUCGUUAAAGUCUAUUUAGAUGACUUCCAUGAGAAGACUAUUCCAGUAAAUUCAGUCACCGAUAUGGCAUUGUUGGGAUCAAAUAAAGAGCCAAUAUCAUUUCAUCACAUCAUAGUCAUAUCUUUGAUUUUCCUGAUGGAAUUGCCCAAGAUUUAUUGUGGGCUUGAGAUAUAAGUUAAUAUUUCUUAUAUUGACCAUGUACCUUUUGUUGGUAUGAUAUAUCCACAUUGAAUUUCUCAUAUAUGUUUUGGAUAUAUGUAGACUGAUAUGUAUUCUUGAGAGAAUGCUCAAGUUGUAAACUUGAGCUAAAUUUGGUUGAAUCCAAAUUUCCCGUCUUGAGAUGAUUUUGUGCAUGUUUAGGUCUUGUAUAGACAUUGAUGAUGAGGUCAUCAAUAUACACUGAGCUGAUGAAAGGAAGUCAAAUUGAUUCCUUUAUUAAACAUGUAAAUAAUCAUCAUUAAUCGAGUAAUCCUUUUUAAGAAGGAACUCAUUUAGUCGGUAGUACCAUAUGAUUUCCGACUAUUUCAAGUCAUGGAGCGACUUAUGAAAUUUUAUACAAAACUUGUUGCGAUUUGCUUUGGAUUCGGAAGUAUAAGCCCUUCAGGGACUUGAAUUUUUUUUUCCGAAAUGAGUGACUCAUAUGAGUAUGUAGCCACUUCAUCCAUGAACUGCAUGGAUAAUAUUUUUUUAUUGCCAAUGAUAUUUAGUAUCGAAACAUAAAUCCACCCAUACCAAGAGGGUAUGUUACAUCAUAAUUGAUGUCGGGUCUCUGCGUGAACCCUUUUGCUACAAGCCUCGCUUUCUCACCACCUCGUUGACUUUGUCUAUGAAUGAGAAGUUUUUAGUAUUCCAUAUGGAAGAUACUUAUGAGGAGUAGGUAUUACUGCGGUAAAUACCACUCAUUUGUUGAGCGAGUGCUAUUCUUCAUACUUGCUUCCUUUUAUGUGAACCAAUAUGAGUGCAAGAGGCAAUCUACCAUGGAUUUUGGUUCUGUGCCCAAAAGGUUUUAGCAAAUUGAGAAGAAAUAUAUGUCGACAAAUGUAGUCUUUAGUUUAUAUGAUCCUGGUGGAGUCAUUGAAGUUUGUGGAUAAAAUAUUUAUUCCUUUUUAACUCCUUGUGAUUUCCUACAACAAAUGGAGUCAAGGUGUUUCGAUGUCCCGGCACCAAAACAUUUGUGCACAUUUAUGCCGGGCUUUGGAUGAUGAGCAUCCAGUGAGGUGUCUUUCAACUUGAUGUUGAAUUACCUUUACUGGUUGAGGAUUUGAUUUCCUUUGUUUCCGCGGAAGCAUAUGAGAAGUUAUAUCUCGUCUUGUCAGAUUUUCUCCCCCUCUUGCUCUCAUUUUGGGGAGAAGAGUGGUUUAUCAGGUACCUCCACUCUUUCUCACACUUUACUGCAGGAAUAUAGAAUUUAGUAACACCUUGUUAUCAGUAAAUGUAUAUGGAAAAUUUGCAAUGUGUUGCAAAUAUAUGAUUCUCUAAACUUCUAGUUCAGAUUCUUUGAGUACGUGGAUAUAAGGAUUGAAUGUCAAUAACAUUUCUAAUUUAUUUCACGACAUUCUUUGUGGUACUUAUCUCCCCCUAAUGCCGGAAAAUAUCCUUAUUGCUGAUGCAAUCAGCAUACGGGCUGUGAAUAAUUUUGAUUGACGGAUAAAUUGUUAUUUCUCAUAUAGAUCCCUAAUAUUCUGUGAGUGCCCAUUGAUGUACGCUGGAGUGGUGAUAUCGGUAUGUAACUGAAUUAUCACAGAUGGGAAAUACUUUGUUGAUUUCCACGUAGUUACUACAAGGGGAAAGUAGUAUGAUAUGCAGUUAGUAUGAUUUAGAUCAUACUUACGAUGUGUAAGGUCGUAUGUGUCCAUCAAGAGGCUGGUAAAUUUACAAUUCUUUAAAAGUGGUCAAGUAAUUCAUUUGACUAUGUUUGAUAAAAAAUUUAGUUAAACCAUUCUGGGUAUGUACAUAGAGUACUGAAUGCAAGCUGAAAAUGCUCGUGAAAUAAGUUCAACGACAUUGCGCAUUCAAAUGGGUUUAUGCUUUGUUCGGGAGAAUUUGCUCCUACUUUGAUAAUUUAAGCAAUUUAUUUGGUAAGAUCAUGGUUGUGUGUGGUAAGAGACACACUUAAAAACAUUUUAUGAAUGUGUAUAUGAGUACCAUGAAGUAUCUAUAUUACCCCAGAUAAUGGUUCAACAAUCCACAUAUAUCUUUUGAAUGUGUUCAAGGAAGAAUAAGUGCCAUGCUUAGAAUUUUAAGGUGAGAGUGCCUUAAAACUGAUUUCCCUAUGGCACAUGUGGUGCACAUAAAUCUGAUGAUUUGGGAAAUUUUGUAACUUGAUAAGUUGUGACCAACAGAAUUUUAAUAAUUUUCUAAUUAUCCCCAAACCAGGAUAACUAAUGUUAUGCAACCAAAUAUUUCAUUUAUUAAGAUUCAGAAAAUUAUUGUGUACGUAACAAUAUUGAGUAUGAAUUGAACCAUACAUUCAAAUUUAUCAAAUAUCAUGUCCGAAAAAUAGGAUAUCGGACAUCGCACUACAUGUAGUAGCACAAGUAUAGGCUAAAGAUAUUUUGGGAAUAACUAGGUGAUUACAUGAGGUUUCCAACAUUAUUGAAAAUUUAAUUAUGCAAACAUAUCAUUGGUGCAAAGGAAUUCACCUUCCUUUUAAUCCACUAGAUUUUUGGUUCUCCUUCAAAUAAAGAUCUGAGAACAAUCAUUUACCAGAAUAUUUUCUGGUUGUACAUUUGCAAAUUUUUGAAUUAUCCCAAUGAACUCAUUUGCCUUUUUAAUAAUUACGUGGUGUGGUUUGACCAUAUGUUUGAGGGUUUGGUAAUCAUAGGGACAAUAUUUAUAUAACCACCCAUUUGACAAACUUGAGAGUUGUCUUUUGAUCAUUUGAUUGUCUAUUAGCCUCCACUUUACUUCGAAUUCCUCAUUGUUCUAUUUUGUGACCACUAACUUGUGUAGUAUUCUCGGUACUAGCUAGAAUUUCAAAUAACGGGAUAGCACCCGUUGGGUGAAUUUGAUGAUUUUAAGAAAUUCCAUGUUUCUUGAUCAUAAAAAUGGUAGUACCAUCAUAAGAGGAUGUAAAGUGUAUUAAGGACAUAUGAAAAUAUUUGAUCACGAGAUCUCAACUUGAAGUUGAUUAAGUGACAGAAUUGUGAGCUGCGAUAUACUUGAGGUCUUGAAAAACGAAUGGGUAAUCAUUCGCGAUGUGCUCAAGGCAUCAUGUUUAUAUUAAGGGAAAUAUUCAGCGUGAAUAAAAAUUCAUCCAUCAUGUACUUAGUUUGAGAACUAAGUGAAGUUGGGACACAUAAAAUGCAUAUGAGCAUUGCAACUUUAGAGUCACUGCCAAAAACAUAGGCGUUGCAUGUUUGACAUUGGUUAGUCACUGUGAAAGUAUAACCACGAAGUGAUGUGGACAUUGCAAAAGUGUUGAUACACUCAAUCGUUUGCCAUAAUUAUGGGAUCCAUCUUGAUGGACGGACAAAAAAUUUAUAAAUAGUGGCAUAGGCUUCACUGCCAUGUAUUUUACUAAUGUAAUAGAAGGUAAUCACCGGGGUAUGCAAAUAUUUGCAUAAUUUUCUAUGACAUUUUCAAGCAAAGUGAGGCUUGGAUUAGCACAAGAUUACCAUUUCGGCAUAUAAUGACUGCACAUGAAUAAUAUUUACUAUGAGAGUAAAUCAUUUUAGUGAACAACAACGAAUGCUUCAGAGGAGCAUUUUUUAGUAUAGCUGAUGCUUUAUAUCCAUAUGUGUAGACCUCAAUUUAUAUAGGAUAGCACUUUGAAGAUAAUCACCAAUAUGGUGUAGAUCUCACAGUAAUAGAAAACAUAGUCUGACUUUUGUCAGUAGAUGUUCAUAUCUCUAUUACCUUAUGUUAUGCUAUAUUUAAGAAAAAUCACUUUGAAGGUAAUCAUCUGUCAAAGUGACAUGAUGUAGACCUUGCAGUAAUAGUGGAUAGUCUGCAAAAUUUUGCAGUAGAUGCCAGUAUUACCUUAUGAUAUCUUGAGGUAGUCACAUCUAAUAUUAAUAUUUGGAAGAGCACAUUGAAAGUAGUCAUCUUGUUAAAAUGACAAGAUGUAGACCUCACAGUAGUGGUAGAUAAUCUGCAAAUGGUGCAGUAGAUGCCACCAAUACCUUGUGAUUCACAAAUAAAAUUUGGGCAUGUCAUAUGAAGUAUGACAAUUUAUAAUUCUUAUUUGAAUUUCGUUAAGAUUUGCAAGAAAAAUUGUUUUCGACUGCAAAAGUAUAGUUGUCCUAAAAUCACAUGUCAUAUAGAAUGUUUGCAGUAAAGACAUAAUUGAUAUCUUAAAUUCCAGAGAAAUAGGAUCUGAAAUAUAAGCAACACAUUCUUUUGCAAAGGUAUUGCCAUUAAAAUAAUGGUGUAUAAUUCUUUUAUGUAAUUUAGGAUGAACUGAGGUUCUCCCACAUAUGUUUUCUAAAAACGAGGGCUUAUAAAAUACAGAUAGUAAUAACCUGAUGGUUAAAGUGCUAAAACAGAGGGUUGUACCACAAAUCGCAGGAGUAUAGACAACUUGAGAGUUGAAGUUGAGGACUAUACUGCAUGAUGAAUUAAUCCUGAGGGCUUAACAGAAAUUACAGAGACCUUUCUGUAGAUAACAUGAACUUAAAUGCUUAAACUAAAAGAUAGCCUAGAGGAUAGAAAUCCCCAAUUUCUCCCGUGCGGCUAAGGAUUAACAUCCACCGCCGUGCUGCUGGGAAGCGUUGCAUUGGUUGGCCCGCCUUGUGCCAGAGGAAGCCGCGCUGGAGGGCGCAUUACACCGCGCACUGGCCCAAAUCGAGGAGGUAGGCCAUGACUGAGAGGGAGCGCGGGAAUGGAAGGUGAUGUGCGGGUGGAGGCGGCGUGGCUUUGGUACACGUGCGGCCGGAGUCGAGGCGAUGCCGCCGCAUGCCGGAGGGCUUCGCCGCGUGCUGUUACCCGCCAGUCCGGGUCGCUCCAUGGAAGGCUGCGUACCAGAGGGUAGUGCCGAGCGCCGCUACAUGAAGUGGGAUGCUGAUGUGGUCCAGUUCCUGAGUGCCUUCAACAAGUGUUGUUGUGGCGUGGCCGGUGCCAAUGGCGCUGAUUUCUGGUUGAACAUGAUUAUGUACUAUGAAUAAAAUUGGGAAAAUAACACCUGAUAGGUAUUGCGAUCAAGUACUUUGAUCGUAAGCUUCAUGUGAGAAGUAGUCCAGGAAGUAGACUUAUUCAUGUAUGUGGAUCCUUUUGCCUCGGAGUUGUUUUUCUAUUCUGGUCCUGUUUCCUGAACUGAUCGCAUUGGUUGGAAAAAGGGGUAAAUGUGACACCUAGUUCUUGCAUGCGCGGCGCGCUAGUCGAGAAGUGCGGCGUUCAUGCACUGGUCUGGACUCUGGAGUGCUGCGCCGUGAAGGCCAUUCGACUGUCUUGUCGUACCCAGGGCGGCAAUUCCUGGUAGUCAAGAACAAAGAUUAGGUAAAUCUCACUAGCAUAUGAUGUAUCAUAGCAAUUAGAUUAAAAUCGCCUUUGGUUGUAUUGGUGCGAUUCUUUCGUGCUGCUCCAAGGUGUUGAUUCCGACAGAAUCGCUAAUUUGCUAUUUAUCUGUUCUUCUAGACCCUGACUGUGAGGCGAUCCCUCUUGUGUAAUCUCUUUUCUUGUGUGUGGCUAAAUCGCUCAAUCGGAGAGCAAAGUGCAUGAUAACGUGUUUUGAGUGAAAAGUAAAGAACGAGAUAAUUUGAAUGAAAGAUGAUCCAUCAGUCUUUAUUGAUGAUAGAAGUGGGGUAUUUAUACCCAGGCGGAAGUACACAUGGUGCUUGGCGGUCAAGUAAACACAGUUACUUGAGAGCCAAGGAAUUACAUAGUUGCCUUGAGAGCCAAGAAAGUACAUGGUUGCCUGAGAACCAAGUAACCUAUCUAACAUUUAACUUAAUCCUAAUUAGCUUAAUUAAUAAGUAACUAUUCUAUUCUUAACAGACUUAAACCAGAACUGAUGCUCUGCUUCAGGACGGGGUAGCCCACCACGCAUGGUGCUAGUCCGCAUCAGGACUAAUUACCUCAAUCAAUGUUGAAGGACAUGUGGAUCCGUCACCGUAGCCCGUCCCGUCCAUGUAAGAUAUGCCUUGUUUUCCUUCAUGGCUUAGCUUCGUUAGACUGGUUGUAAUGGGGAGUAUUAUAUACUAGAAUCAUAUGAUAUUAUCUCCGUAAUGCAUAUUAUCAUAAGUUAGUAUCUUAGAUUGCCUUAUUAAUUGACAUACAUGACACAAAGUAGUACACCAUUUAAUAUGAUACGACACCCUCUCUUUCCUCAUUUAAUUGUGUGACACAUUAUCCAAACAGUCUAGUUGGCAUGCAUGAUACCACUUAUGAUACUCCCAUUACGACCAGCCUAAGCGUCUUUCUCCAUGCUUACGAUCAAAUGGCCCAUGUCACGAUCAAUGGCGGCGAAGAGGAGCGACGUAGGGGUCAAAAGUGAGGGAGGCAGUCUGGGGAUGAAGAGACGAUGCGAAGGAAGGGUAAACAUGACAAGAGGAAUGUGACGGUGACAUUGAGGAGCAAGCUAAGCUUUUGGUGUUGAGAUCACGCGCCUACUAGCCAACCACCUCCAACGCCACCAACAGACCUCAGAACACAAGCGGCGAUGUUGUAGGAUUGAAAGUAUGUCUAGAGGGGGGGGGGGUGAUUAGACUACUUGAUCAAAUAAAAAUCUAGCCUUUUCCCAAUUUUAGUUCUUGGCAGAUUUUAACAACAUAGCACAAGUCAAGCAAUCAACCUACACAUGCAAUUCUAAGAGUAUAGCAGCGGAAUGUAAAACAAUUGCAUAUGAAGGUAAAGGGAUGAGUUUGAGGGAGCAAACGCAAUGUUGACACAGAGAUUUUUUAUCCUUGGUUCCGAUAGGUGGUGCUAUCGUACAUCCAUGUUGAUGGAGACUUCAACCCACGAAGGGUAACGGUUGCGCGAGUCCACAGAGGGCUCCACCCACGAAGGGUCCACGAAGAAGCAACCUUGUCUAUCCCACCAUGGCCGUCGCCCACGAAGGACUUGCCUCACUAGGGUAGAUCUUCACGAAGUAGGCGAUCUCCUUGCCCUUACAAACUCCUUGGUUCAACUCCACAAUCUUGUCAGAGGCUCCCAAGUGACACCUAGCCAAUCUAAGGGACACCACUCUCCAAAAAGUAACAAAUGGUGUGUUGAUGAUGAACUCCUUGCUCUUGUGCUUCAAAUGAUAGUCUCCCCAACACUCAACUCUCUCUCAUAGGAUUGGAUUUGGUAGAAAAAAGAUUUGAGUGGAAAACAACUUGGGGAAGGCUAGAGAUCAAGAUUUAUGUGGUUAGAAUGAAAUAUCUUGACCUCAACACAAGUGUAGGUGGUUCUCUCUCAGAAAAUAUGUAUUGGAAGUGUAGGCAUGUUCUGAUGGCUCUCUCCACGAACGAAGAGUGGGUGGAGGGGUAUUUAUAGCCUCCACACAAAAUCUAACCGUUACACACAAAUCACCAAACUCGGUGGGACCGAUCCAGAGAACUCGAUCAGACCGAUUUGGUUCAUAAUGUGACCGUUAGGUGUUUCGGUGGGACCGACAUGUCAACUCGGUGGGACCGAUUCCAUUAGGGUUAGGGCAUAACGUAAUCUCGGUGAGACCGAUUACACAAACUCGGUGGGACCGAUUUUGGUAAUAGACAAACAUAGAGUUGGUUAGGCAAACUCGGUGCGACCGAUUCGGUCAUCUCGGUUGGACCGAAGCGUUACGAAAAGGAAACAUAGUGUUUGCAUUGCAAUCUCGGUGGGACCGAUCGCUCAUCUUAGUUUGACCGAAACGUUACGAAGGGAAACAGAGAGAUUACAAUCCCAUCUCGGUGAGACUGAGAUCCCUAUCGGUGAGACUGAAAAGACUAGGGUUUCUGGUAGUGGCUAUGUCAACUGAACUCGGUGGCGCUGAAUAUAAAGAAUCGAUGGGGCCGAGUUGGAUAUUUGGUGUGGGACAUAUGUGGAUAUGAGAAAGUAGUGGAGGGUUUUGGAGCACAUCACUAAGCAUUUUGAGCAAGCACCUCAUUAAGCAACACCUCAUCCCUUCUUAAUAGUAUUGGCUUUUCCUAUAGACUCAAUGUGAUCUUGGAUCACUAAAAUAGAAAAUGUAGUGUCUUGUGCUUUGAGCUUGAGCCAAUGUUUAAUCCUUAGCAUUUUGAAGGGUCCACUUUAUAAUCCAUGCCAUGCUAACCAUUGAGCUUUCCUAAAAUAUUCAUCUUGGAAUAGCAUUAGCUCAAUGAGCUAUAUGUUGUUAGGAAUUACCAAAACCACCUAGGGAUAGUUGCACUUUCAAUCUCCCCUUUUUGGUAAUUGAUGACAACAUAUAGAUCAAAGCUUUGACAAAUGAUAAAUAGUAUUUGAAAAACAUCGUCGCUUUGAGAAGUAUGUGAUAAGAAAGAGCUCCCCCUAAAUUUGUGCAUUAUUUAAAAUUUGCUUUCGAAUGCAAAUGCACAAUCGAUUAGGAUCAUGGGUUACUCUUCCAUAUCACAUACAUCUUGGUGGGGCGCUCAAAAUGAUAGAAGUUAAAGCAUGCACUCAUCACCACAAUAAGUGAAUGAUCAUCUAGGAUAUAAGAAAUAAUAUCAUCCAACAAGCUUUAAGGGUAGCAUAUGAUCAAACACAAGACCAAACAAGUAUCUCACAAGUAGCUCACAGAAGCACACAAUAAAGUUUCAAACAAACCAAAUAAGUGCAAAGAGAUAUAAAAACCAACACUCUCUCUCUCUCUCGAAGCCUAUGAUCUAUACAUUUUUCUCCCCCUUUGGCAACAAGUUACCAAAAAGUUUAAAAAUGCAUAGUGCCAAACGGCUCUCAGGCUUGAUCUUCGGUGGGAGGUGUCGAGAGAACUCCAAGAAUGAAAGCUUCUGAUGAAGUAGCUGGAGCUGGUGGAGUAGCUUCUGGAGGUGGAACUGGAGCUGUAGCUGCUGGUGCUGAUGUUGUAGCUCUAGUUUCUGUCACUGGCACUACAACAGAUCUUUGUCCUCUGGGCACUCUGGCAAAAGUAUCUGUGGUAGACUUUCCCUUCUUCUCCUCUUCUUCCUCCUGAAGUUGCUCAACUGCAGUUUGGAUCUCUGUCACCUUGACAUCAAGGUCAUAGAAUUUCCGCUCAAUGACCCUUUCCAGACUCUCCUGGUUCUUGGUCAGGGUGGCCAAGCCCUUCUCAAUCCUCAGGGUGGAUUGGAUCAGAUAUCCAAGCUGGUCUUGCUUGCUCUUCAAGAAUACCUGAGAUGCCUCCUCUAUUGUUGGCAUCUUUGCAACCUUCUCUGCCUUAGCCUUCUCUCUCUUUUCAUGUGCUUGAGCUGAAGAUGGUUCAUUUUCAUUCAUCACUACUGUAUUAUCUUCAAAUUCAGGAUAGAUGGGCAGGUGCUCCUUGUCCAAAAGAUAUGUGCCUGUGACCAUCUUUGAGUUAAUGAGCUCCUGAAUGUGUGGAGCAUACCCACAACUUCUCUUCUGAUCAACAGCAGUCCUCUUGAUUGUCUCAACAAUCUGGCUCAUAACCUUGAACUUCUGUGGGACAUUAAAUAUGUGCAGUAAGUUGAUGGCAUGUCCUCUGAUCAUCUUGUGAUCACCUGACUUGGGUAGCAGUGUGUGCCUUAAUAUCCAGUUGAUUGUUGGCAGACCAGACAACAUGUAAUGGAUAGAUCCAAACUUAUGUGUAUCCAAGGAAGCAUAUGGGAUCUCCUUGUACAUGUUGGCCAUAGUGUUGUGGUCUUUCUUCUUCUCUGCAUAAAUGUCCAAGUCAUCCUCAUGUUCCUCAGGAGCAUUUAUAAGCUUGGCCCACUCAUCAACUGUGGAUUGGUACCUAGUACCCUUAGACAUCCAUACAAUCCUUCCAUUUGAAUAGAAGUGGGCACUGGAGUAAAACUGCAUGAUGAGCUCAUCAUUCCACUUGGUGAGCUUCUAGGCAACAAAGGUAUCCACUCCACAUGCCUUAAAGCUAUCAAGCACUCCAGGGAAGUGAUCCUCAUUAUCCUUGAUGAAUUCCCAGUCAACCCAUCUCAUAUCACACACAAUGGGCUUCUUAUCAAGCAGAAUAGUCUCAUAGAAAUCCUGUUGUUCCUUAGUGUGAAACAUGUAGUCCAUAGCAGUCCUCCUCCUGAUAGCAUAUGGAUCAGACUGUCUCCAUAGUCUCAAUCCUGCAUCCUUCCUGAUUUUCAUGUUCUCUGCAACUGGGUGUGCAUCAGUGUGGUCAGGGAUCUUUGGCUUCAGCUUCCUCAACACAACAGAAUCAUCAUCUUCUUCUUCAGCAGCUUGAGGCACUGGGGCCUUGUUCUUCUCUUCUGCAGGUAUGUUCCUAGUGCUCCUCUUGGGUUUUGGCUUUGGAGUUGGAGCAGCAGCCUUGGGAGCAGCUUUGGGCUUUGAUGGAGCAGCCCCUUCUUUGAUUGCAUCUCUCAUAAGCUUUUGUGCUUUGGGUGCCGGUGCAACAUCCUCUUCCUCUCCCUCUUCUUCUGAAGGAUCUUGCAUCAUGGAGGGCUUUCCAAUGACUCUGGCCAUUGUUUUCUUAACCCUCUCCUUCCUCUUCUUCCCCUUUUCAGCUUCUUCAGUAGCUGAUUUUGAAGCUUCAUCAGUUGGCGUUCUGACUUUUGACAUGGGUUGUCUUCUUGCUGGCAUCUUAGUUUUCAGAUCAGGCUUUGUUGCAGCAGCUGUGCCAUACUCUUUCUUAAUCACCUCAUUCUUUGAAGUGGCUUCAUCUUCAAUAGCCACAUAAUCUUCAUCCUUAGAGUCAGAAGUUCUCUUCUUCCUUGUCCUGGUGGUAGCCUUUGGCAGAUUGCUUGGUGUGCUCAUGCUGCCUUCAUCAUAGCUGCUAGAGGGAUCUAAACCCUCACUCAUCUGCACCUAUUGCUCAGACCUGUUCCGACUAUCACUUUGAUCAGACAUCUCUGCAAAUAUUCUGACAGCAGACCCUGUGAAUAGGUUAUAGAUAAGGUAGAGUAGAUGAGCAUCACAAAGUACAGAAGUUUUGCAAAAAGGAUGACUUAAAAACUUAGUUUUAGUUCUUCACAGAAAGCAUUUCGGAUCUACCGAUUUGUAAACUCGGUGAUACCGAAGCAGCUUUUGGAACCUAAACUAGUGAACUCGGUCAGACCGAGUCACAGUUUGGUGGUACCGAGACUGCUAGGGUUUCACAAAGAAUCGAACUUGGUCACACCGAUUUGCAAUUUUCGGUCAGACCGAAAACGCGUGUGCUCUGGCCUAAGCCAAAAUCGGUGAGACCGAUUUCUACAACUCGGUCGGUCCGAGAUGAAUUCGGCGGAGACCUAACCCUAAAUUUUCAAAUCAAAACUUAAUCUACGAGAUGUUUUCGCUAGACAGGAUGAUUUCAAUCAUGGCAAAGAUCAUGGCAAAGCAAUGUGCUAAGAAUCGGAGUUAAGGAUUAGCACAAUGAUCAAGUUUGUACCCUAGUUCAGCGACGAACUUGCUACGGCGGCAACGGCGGUGAAGAUUUCCGUUGACGGCGAUGGAGACCAGCGGCAGGAGGUCGCUGGCGACGAGAGGACGAUCCGGAGACCCGAUGAGUGAUACGUCUCUGUCGUAUCUACUUUUCCAAACACUUUUGCCCUUGUUUUGGACUCUAACUUGCAUGAUUUGAAUGGAACUAACCCGGACUGACGCUGUUUUCAGCAGAAUUGCCAUGGUGUUAUUUAUGUGCAGAAACAAAAGUUCUCGGAAUGACCUGAAACUUUACAGAGACUAUUUUUGGAAAUAAUAAAAAAUCUUGGCAAAAGAUCAAGACCAGGGGGCCCACACCCUAUCCACGAGGGUGGGGGCGCGCCCCCCUACCUCGUGGCCCCCCUGGAGCUCCUCUGACCUCAACUCCAACUCUAUAUAUUCACUUUCGGGGAGAAAAAAAUCAGAGAGAAGGAUUCAUCGCGUUUUACGAUAUGGAGCCGCCGCCAAGCCCUAAAACCUCUCGGGAGGGCUGAUCUGGAGUCCGUUCGGGGCUCUGAAGAGGGGAAUUCGUCGCCGUCGUCAUCAUCAACCAUCCUCCAUCACCAAUUUCAUGAUGCUCACCGCCGUGCGUGAGUAAUUCCAUCGCAGGCUUGCUGGACGGUGAUGGGUUGGAUGAGAUUUAUCAUGUAAUCGAGUUAGUUUUGUUAGGGUUUGAUCCCUAGUAUCCACUAUGUUCUGAGAUUGAUGUUGCUAUGACUUUGUUAUGCUUAAUGCUUGUCACUAGGGCCCGAGUGCCAUGAUUUCAGAUCUGAACCUAUUAUGUUUUCAUGAAUAUAUGUGAGUUCUUGAUCCUAUCUUGCAAGUCUAUAGUCACCUACUAUGUGUUAUGAUCCGACAACUCCGAAGUGACAAUAAUCGGGACCACUCCCGGUGAUGACCGUAGUUUGAGGAGUUCAUGUAUUCACUAUGUGUUAAUGCUUUGUUCCGGUACUCUAUUAAAAGGAGGCCUUAAUAUCCCUUAGUUUCCGCUAGGACCCCGCUGCCACGGGAGGGUAGGACAAAAGAUGUCAUGCAAGUUCUUUUCCAUAAGCACGUAUGACUAUAUUCGGAAUACAUGCCUACAUUACAUUGAUGAAUUGGAGCUAGUUUUGUGUCACCCUAGGUUAUGACUGUUACAUGAUGAACCACAUCCGACAUAAUUCUCUAUCACCGAUCCAUUGCCUACGAGCUUUCCGUGUAUUGUUCUUCGCUUAUUUACUUUUCCGUUGCUAUUGUUACAAUCACUACAAAAUACCAAAAACAUUACUUUUGUUAUCAUUACCUUUUGCUACCGUUACCACUACUAUCAUAUUACUUUGCUACUAAAUACUUUGCUGCAAAUAUUAAGUUUCCAGGUGUGGUUGAAUUGACAACUCAGUUGCUAAUACUUGAGAAUAUUCUUUGGCUCCCCUUGUGUCGAAUCAAUAAAUUUGGGUUGGAUACUCUACCCUCGAAAACUGUUGCGAUCCCCUAUACUUGUGGGUUAUCAAGGAGGCAGAGUAGGUUAUGCGCGGGCGAGAAGGUUCAGAAAUUUUUCCAAAUUUUGGCCCGUCGGUAUAUAUAACCCGACCCUGUCGGUGUGACCGAGUGGAACGACUCGGUGGCAUCGAGAUGCAAAACUGCAAGCAGUUACUGCAACUCGGUGUGACCGAAAGGCUCUAAUCGGUUGCACCAAGAUUGAAAACCCUAGAUCAACUUAGUGACUCGGUAGGACUGAAAAGGAUGAAUCGGUCAGACCGAGAUGCACGAAGAGGUUUUGGAGGUUUAAGUCUAUGACGAAUCGGGAACUCUGAGUGCUCCUCACACAGAGUGGUCCGAAUCUGACUUGAUCAAACUUUGUGAUGUAGCAUGAAUAGAGUUUGAGACAAGGAAAGCAUAGAUAGCUAGAGAGAGUUCUUAGGCAUUCUUGUCCAUCCAUUUGGCAAAAGAGAAAGAGCCAAACAAUCAAAACAACAAAUGGAUGUCCUCGAAUGAGUAAAAUAUGCAACCAACAUGCUCACACAAUAAAAUGGCAACUGAAAUAUGUGACAAAGCAUGCACAAACACUCUAGCAUCUAUCAAGCAAUUUGGCGAUGACUUGGUCAUCCAUAUAUGAGUAUAUUGACUUAGGAGUCAAAUGAGAACAUUUGAUCAUAGGUCAUACUCAUCGUUUAAGCACAAGUGGGGUUACCACUUUUAAAUAAAGCAUUAUUGUGUUCACACCAUUAGAGUUGCUUUAGCUUAAUUGGUUAGAGUAAAGUUCCCCCUAGGUGUGAUAUCCCCCCUAAGAGGGAUAAACUAACCUUGGGUUUUGUCGAUGAUGAUUUCAUGUAGGUGUUGAAGAUGUAGAUGCUCAAUGUUGAUGUAGAUCAUUUGGAGCAAUCCUUUGGAGUGAGUUGCACUUUCAAUACCUACACGGGUUAGUCCCACAAGGAACAAACAAGGAUAUCCAUAGACAUAGAGUGAUGCAUACACAAUAUGAUGUCCAUGAAAGCAUUACGUUACCUUGUCCCUUGUAUUACCAACAAGAGGGUUUGUGACUCCUUGAAAUAGUGCAAGAUAUGGAAGUUGUUUGCACUUGUCCUCGCCAAAAUGAUAAGAGUGAAGUAUGUUGGCGGAGUCACCCUCAAGAACUCUCUAGUUCUUCUUCUGGAUCCACAUCAUCUUGAUGGGAACCCUUGGAGUUGUAGUUGUACUUGAUGAAGUAGAACUUGAUGUGGUCUUGGGAACCUAGUUGACCAAGGCCUUGGGUGCUUCUUCAAAUGCAUCAAUUUCCUCUUGAAGCUUGUCCUUGCCUUUUUGCUUGUGGUCUUGUGGUGGAAGAUCAUCUUGAGCUUGUGUCCCUUUGAAAGAAGUAGGAUCAUACUUCUCUUGUUGAGGAACAAACUUCGUAUUGGGGUAUUGAUCUUCUUCCCACUCAACUCCAUUGGCAUUGAGCUUUCGUUCAAAACCAACACCUUGAUUCUUCCGGUGUCUUCCUUGCUUGCGUACAAUUUCCUCAAAUUGCUUACUCCCGGCAAGGUUCUUGUAAACACCUUUCUCUAUAAUUCCCCUCAAUAAUCUAUUUUCUUGCUCAAGUGUAACUUGGCUAAGAGAAUCAUUAGUGGAAUCAAGAGAACUACUAUAAGCAACAAUAUUGGAUUUUGCAUGAUUGUUGUUACUACUAGAUGAAGAAUCUUUCUUGCUCUUGUUGCUAGAUUUAACUUGUGGCAUGUAAGUAGACAAGAGUAAACGCUUGGCAGUGUAAGAAGAACUUUUCUUGCAAAGAUCAUCAUUGAUUGCCUUUAAAAACUCAUGCUCUUGCUCAAGGUUGAGCUUUUCAAAGCGUAGCUUAUCAUGAGUCUUUAAAAGUUCUCGAUGAUUUUCCAAGGUAGUUUCAUGAGCUAACUUAAGAGUGUUUAGCUCUUUAGUUAGAUGCUCAAUCUCCUUCUUAUCAUCAUCAUUCGUUUUAUCUUGAUUAGCAUGAUUAAUUGACAUUUCAUCAUAGUUUUCAUCACUAGAGUUGUCAAUAAGUAAAUUAUCAUCACCUAGCAAAUCAUCUUCAUCACUAUUGAAAUCAACAUACUCAGGAUGUGUUACCUUUGGACCUUUGGCCAUGAAGCACCUUCCAAUUCCUUCAUUUGGUGAGUCAAAUAUGUCGUAGGAGUUGGUUGACACAAGUGCUAGACCUGCAACACCUUCAUCUUAAGUAUAUUCAGAGUCAGAGUGAUAACUUCUUUCGGAGUGAUUUUCGGAGUCGGAGCCGGAUACCCAUUCACCAACAUGAGCUUGAUGUCUUCUUUUUGUGUAGCUCCUUGAUGACUUUUCUUUCCUUUCUUAAUCCUUGCUUCUCCGAGAGGGUUUUCGUUCAUAAUGAUCGUCUCUAAUCCUCCUUUCUCUAGGUGGUGAUUCUUCUCUUCUACUUCUUCUUUUGGGAGAAUCUUCUCUUAUUUUGUAGGGAGCCGUACACUCAUUGGAGUAGUGUCCGGGUCUUCCACAAUUGUAGCAAUUACGCUCACGACUAGAAGAUAUUUUGUCAUUGUAGGACCUUGACUUGGAACUUCUUUCUUUGCUUCUACUCUUGUAGAACUUGUUGAAGUUCUUUACCAUUAGGCUCAAUUCUUCAUUGAAGGUUUGUUUCUUACUUGAUGAUGGGGGAGCAUCACAUGAGGCUUUGUAAGCACCACUUGACUUGUUGUGAAGCUCUUCCUUAUCCUUGAGUGAUAUCUCAUGAGCAACAAUUCUUCCAAUGACUUCCGUUGGCUUGAGAUCUUUGUAAUUGGGCAUCAUUUGGAUCAAUGUGCACACGGUAUCAUAUUUUCCAUCCAAGGCUCUUAGGAUCUUCUUGAUGAUGAAUUUGUCAGUCAUCUCUUCACUUCCUAAGCCGGCAAUCUCAUUUGUGAUGAGAGCAAGCCCAGAAUACAUUUCAACGACACCUUCACCAUCCUUCAUUUUGAACUUGUCAAGUUGACUUUGAAGCACAUCCAAUUUGCAUUCCUUGACGGAGUCGGUACCUUCGUGCAUAUCAAUCAGAGUAUCCCAAAUUUCCUUUGCAUUCUCAAGACGGCUGAUUUUGUUGAAUUCUUCGGGGCACAAUCCAUUGAAGAGAAUAUCACAAGCUUGAGCAUUGUAUUGUAGCAUCUUCAACUCUUCCGCGGUAGCUUCACGGUUUGGUUCUCUCCCAUCAAAGAAUUCACCUUGCAAGCCAAUACACACAAUAGCCCAAACGACGGGGUUAUGUCCAAUAAUACGCAUUUUCAUAUUAUGCUUGCAACUAGCAAAAUUUGUACCAUCAAAGUAAGGAACUCUAUAGUGGUAAUUUCCCUCGCUAGACGCCAUACACUCCUAGGUUGUGAAACCAAGGCUAUGACCACCAAAGGCUAUGGAAAUCAAAGCAAAUGGAGACCAAAGCUCUAAUACCACUUGUAGGAUCGAAAGUAUGUCUAGAGGGGGGGGUGAUUAGACUACUUGACCAAAUAAAAAUCUAGCCUUUUCCCAAUUUUAGUUCUUGGCAGAUUUUAGCAACAUAGCACAAGUCAAGCAAUCAACCUACACAUGCAUUUCUAAGAGUAUAGCAGCGGAAUGUAAAACAAUUGCAUAUGAAGGUAAAGGGAGGAGUUUGAGGGAGCAAACACAAUGUUGACACGGAGAUUUUUUAUCCGUGGUUCCGAUAGGUGGUGCUAUCGUACAUCCACGUUGAUGGAGACUUCAACCCACGAAGGGUAACGGUUGCGCGAGUCCACGGAGGGCUCCACCCAUGAAGGGUCCACAAAGAAGCAACCUUGUCUAUCCCACCAUGGUUGUCGCCCACGAAGGACUUGCCUCACUAGGGUAGAUCUUCAUGAAGUAGGCGAUCUCCUUGCCCUUACAAACUCCUUGGUUCAACUCCAAAAUCUUGUCGGAGGCUCCCAAGUGACACCUAGCCAAUCUAGGAGACACCACUCUCCAAGAAGUAACAAAUGUUGUGUUGAUGAUGAACUCCUUGCUCUUGUGCUUCAAAUGAUAGUCUCCCCAACACUCAAUUCUCUCUCAUAGGAUUGGAUUUGGUAGAAAGAAGAUUUGAGUGGAAAGCAACUCGGGGAAGGCUAGAGAUCAAGAUUUAUGUGGUUGGAAUGGAAUAUCUUGACCUCAACACAAGUGUAGGUGGUUCUCUCUCAGAAAAUAUGUAUUGGAAGUGUAGGCAUGUUCUGAUGGCUCUCUCCACGAAUGAAGAGUGGGUGGAGGGGUAUUUAUAGCCUCCACACAAAAUCUAACCAUUACACACAAAUCACCAAACUCGGUGGGACUGAUUCAGAGAACUCGGUCAGAUCGAUUUGGUUCAUAAUGUGACCGUUAGGUGUUUCGGUGGGACCAAUUUCAUUAGGGUUAGGGCAUAACGUAAUCUCGGUGAGACCGAUUACACAAACUCAGUGGGACUGAUUUUGGUAAUAGACAAACAGAGAGUUGGUCAGGCAAACUCGGUGGGAUCGAUUCACUCAUCUCGGUUGGACCGAAACGUUACGAAAAGGAAACAGAGUGUUUGCAUUGCAAUCUCGGUGGGACCGAUCGCUCAUCUCGGUUUGGCCGAAAUGUUACGAAGGUAAACAGAGAGAUUGCAAUCCCAUCUCCGUGAGACCGAGAUCCCUAUCGGUGAGACCGAAAAGACUAGGGUUUCUGGCAGUGGCUAUGUCAACUGAACUCGGUGGCGCCAGAUAGAAAGAAUCGGUGGGGCCGAGUUGGAUAUUUGGUGUGGGACAUAUGUGUAUAUGAGAAAGUAGUGGAGGGUUUUGGAGCAUAUCACUAAGCAUUUUGAGCAAGCACCUCAUUAAGCAACACCUCAUCCCUUCUUAAUAGUAUUGGCUUUUCCUAUAGACUCAAUGUGAUCUUGGAUCACUAAAAUAGAAAAUGUAGAGUCUUGUGCUUUGAGCUUGAGCCAAUCUUUUGUCCUUAGCAUUUUGAAGGGUCCACUUUCUAAUCCAUGCCAUGCCAACCAUUGAGCUUUCCUGAAAUAUUCAUCUUGGGAUAGUAUUAGCUCAAUGAGCUAUAUGUUGUUAGGAAUUACCAAAACCACCCAGGGAUAGUUGCACUUUCAGAUGCCGAUACAAACGAGCAAAGACUAGGGAGACUGCGAACCAGCAACAACUCACAUAAGAGAGAACCCCUCCCCAGACCAACCUGCGCACAUGCCAUCCACCACACAACACAAUGAGCUUAGAGCUUCUACAACCAUACUAUCCAUAUUUUCCCCAAACGUCCGGGUGAAUACCCCGACCACAGCUUGGACAGGAGAUAAGAAAAAAGCCACCUAAAUCGUAGCCCACAUUGUCCUCAUAUUUUUGGGAUGUCCGCAAAUCCCCAUAUAGGAUUUUCGGGUGUGUCCGGACAGUCCUCCAUGUACAAUGCGGCCCACCAUGAAUCAUCUUUUCUCUUUCUUUAUUAUUUUCUCUCUCUCUCCAUACCCACCAAUCAUAUGUAUUUGACCGGACAAUUUGGAAAGAAAGUAAGGGACAUGCAUGCACAUACGAGGGCUUGAAACGAACAUGCUCGGAUAGUGACCGCAAUCAUUUGAGGUGCCAAAUUUGACUAUUGUGGUUGUAGAUGCCCUAAGGCAACAAGUGCGACUCCAGCAUUUCACGUAAAAUAUCUCGUGUAAAAUCCCAUUUGGGAUUCCCGUUCAAUCUAAUAGCACCACUAAGUUUGCAAUGCCAUUGUUCGACCAAAAAUCUAUAUCCACAAUUUAAUGCCCACAAUAGGAAGCAAAACAACACUUCUCCAGUGGUCCAAGAGUAGCAAAUACAACGAGAGUGUGUACCAGAUAGCAAUAGUAGAGUAUAGAUAGCAUCAACCUUCUCUUCUACCAACGCUAAAAAGCGCGGUGGCACACCGUGCCCCUAAGAGAGGUUGUUUGAAUCUUUGCCAUUGAUUUGGUUAAAAGAAAUGGAACAGGGAGUGGAUCGAACAGGUUGGUUGAGUUGCAGUUUUUGUUUAGCGAAUAAUUUCAUAGGUCCUUGAAUAAUAUUUUUUGGACGCAAGUCCAUGUAUAUGCUUUUUAUUCAUUGUCACAAAUGCGGUAAUGGCCUUUUCUAGUGUGUGUAUAGUGUCUAUAAACUUGUCAUGAUCAGCAAGUGCAUAAAGUUUUGUCAUAGAUUUUUUCGAAGUAAGAGUAUUGAUCUCAGAGGGAGCACAUGAAGUGAUCUUUGGCUCUUCUAGAGGGAUAUUGGGAUGUGCCUGCAAGUUCAUUGUGGUCCAAAGGAAGAGCGGAUGCGGUGGUUGAAAUAUUGCCGAUGGAGAGCAUCGUCGAGGCCAACCACAUGUGUCAUCGUCAUCACUCUUCCAGGAGCCAAUGACUCUAACUUCACCAAAACAAACCAUUGACGAGCCCAUGCUGCAACAACCUGCAUGAAGCCUGCAUUGACCUACGCUAAACAGUUGGCCAACAAGAGUACCAGCGAGACAACUUCGACUUAGAUGAUGAUCAAGUGCAGAAGAAAAAUGAAAAUCUUGCACCGACGAAGACCUCCAAAAAGACCAACGAACACCCGUCAUCGUCGUUGCCCAUGCCCCACAGAGGCAGCUCUGACUCCAUGACGAAAGGGACCAUGAGGAGAGCAAUCAGACACGCCGGAAAGAGCCAACUACCAAGACCCCACCACGACCCUACACCACACGCCACCAAUAUCGUCACCAAACAAGUCGCCAUACCGAAAGGUAGGAGAGCCGCCGACCUCACAACUGUGCAAAACAAGCCACCGCAGGUCUGCCAUGCCCACCGGCUCCAAUACUAUGCCUUUAAGAAGGGAGAGAUACAAAGCAUCACCAUCGUCCGCUUGACAUGAGCCAGAGUUUCCCCCAGAGCCGAGGGAAGGGGGAAGGAAAGCUCACAACUAUGCCCCCAACAGGAAAGCGAUGCCCACAAGUGUCAUCAUUGCCGACUGAAAGUGCGUUAAGUCGACUAGAGGGGGGUGAAUAGGUGAUUUUUACAAAUUCGUCACUGAGGAAUUACACAGUGAGGAAAUUCCUAAGUCACGAACGACUAGUAGCGGAAUAAGUACUCAGAUGUAAGCACAAUAGAACAAAAGCACAAUCAUCAUGAUGAAAUGAAAACAAGCACAGAGUACAGCAAGCGUAAACACAUGAUAAGCAGGCUGAAGACAAACUGACUGAAGAAAUAGGAUUGAGGAAAUUGAGAAAGUCUUCAGUCAAAGUCUUCAAACAACAACAAUCAAGAACAACAACACAGUAAUGAGGAAAUGAAAGGGUUGAGGAAAUAGAACCAGUUAGCUUGGUGAAGACAGUGAUUUGGUAGACCAGUUCCAACUGCUGUGAUAGUUGUACAUCUGGUUGGAGCGGCUAGGUAUUUAAACCUGAGGACACAUAGUCCCGGACGCACAGUCCUCACCGUAUUCUCCUUGAGCUAAGGUCACACAGACCUCGCCCAAUCACUCGUGGUAAGUCUUCAGGUGACUCCCAAACCUUCACAGACUCGGUCACUCGGCGAUCCACAAUUUCUUCUUGGAUACUCUAGACCAUGAUGCCUAACCGUCUGGAGGAUGCAUAAUCCUCAAAGGUAACAAGCGUCAGUUCCACACAGGAACAAUCUCUUCAGUGAUGCUCAAUCACUUUGGGUUUGUUGGUGUUUGGUUUGGGGUUUUGGGUUUUUCCUCACUUGAUGAUUUUCACUCAAAGUCCUCGAAGGAUGGGAUGCUCUCAAUGACAAGUGUCAGUUUCUCGCGGAGCAGCCAACUAGCUAGUGGUUGUAGGGGCGGCUACUUAUAGCCUAGGGAGCAGCCUGACAUGAUAACACAUAAAUGCCCUUCAAUGAUAUGACCGUUAGGUCGGUAGAUAUUUUGGGAUAGCUGGCGCAUAGCACAACAACGGUCGGAAAUUGGGCUAUCAAAUUCCUCAGGGCUAUCAUGUUCCUCACUUGUAGGCAAUCUGCACUAGCGAACUCCUAACUCCUUAGUCAGAACAAAUUCCUCAGAGAACAGAAGAUCUUCGUCUCUGUCACUGAAGAAAUUGACUGAACUGUAUGACAUUUCCAAUGGCUUCGCUCGAAAGGAUUGGUAGGUGUUGGAUUUUGAGAUGAGCAUCACUUGGAAACUUUUCCUUAGGUUUUCCUCGACCCCCUUUAACAGUACGGUGUUUCCUAUGACUCAAGAAAGAGAAAAAUGAAACUACAAAAACAAGAGUCUUCAAGCUUCAUAUUCCUUGCAUGAAUAUCAAGUCUCCACGGUCACACCAAUUUCUUCACUUUUAAAGUCUUCAGAAAGCCAAAGUCUUCAUUUGAAGACAUUCAUUUUUAGGGGUCAACUUUCUCUGUAAAUAUCGAACUCCUCAUAGACUUAUAGACCUGUGUACACUCACAAACACAUUAGUCCCUUAACCUAUAAGUCUUCAAUACACCAAAAUCGCUAAGGGGCACUAGAUGCACUUACAAUCUCCCCUUUUUGGUGAUUGAUGACAAUAUAGGUUAAGUUUUCAACGGGGAUAAACAUAUGAAGUGCAAAUACUGAAAUUGAGAAAUUUGAUUGCAAGAUAUAGAGAAACUCCCCCUGAAGAUGCGCAUAUGUGAGGAAUUUGCUUUUGAGAAGCCAUGCACAUUGAAGAGUAGAAUCAUGGAGAUCUCCCCCUAUAUCUUGUAAUUCAUACACGCAUUUAACAUAUGAUAUGAAGAAUUUGAAAUGCAUGAUGAAAUAUGGUGACGAAUGUAAUUCAGCAUGCAUGCAUUAACAUAUUUGAGGAAAUAACAUGCAUAAGAACACACCAAAAGUAUCAGACCACCAUCGGAGUUAAGAUUACAACUCGAUCCAACAAAGUUUUCAAAAGAACGAGAGUUGCAACUUAAAAAAAUGCCCAUAUAUAGACCCGCUUGAAGACUAACUCAAAAUUUUCCUCUAUGUCAUUGAAUGACCAAAAGGGACGAAAAAUGAGGACUAACGCCCUUGAAGAAUAUCAUCACAAAGUCGAUGGAGGAGCGCCAGCGUUGUUGGGGUCAUCCAUUGGAGUAGGGCCUGCCGCAAUGUCGUUCAAGUCUUCAUUCUCAUCAGUCUCGUGCAAUGAAGAAUAAGAGCUUGCCACAAGUUGAGGAACUUUGACCUUCUUGAAUUUCUUUGAAGGUGGUUGUGCCCAGUCAAAGUCCUAUUGAAAUUCCAUCUUCUUGAGAUCUUCAACACUGUAGAGGUUAGACAGAAUGGCCCAGGUGCGGUCAAAGACUUCAUGCAGAUAAUAAUGAUUCUACUUCACAAUGUUUUGAGUGUCUGCCAUGUUCUGAAGAAUAGCACCAAACUGACGCUUGACCCACUUGUGAUAACCUUCUGAUGAAGACCAAGGAGAAGCUCACAAUCAUUCAUCACCCUGGGAGCAGUGGCGUGAGUAUUUUGCUUAGAAGCAUUUGCGGCAGAGUCAUGCGUGGCAGAGUCAUCAUUGGUGGAAUAUGAGGCAGCUUUGCGAAACUAUCCAUCCAAUGGAUGAAUGCCUUCAUCAAUAACAGCAGCCUUGCCCUUUUCAUCAGAUGAGGAAAUAGGUCAUUUGAAGACUUCAAUAGGCGGCAAGUAGCUGAGAUGAUUUUGAAAGCCAGCCUUGUAAUUGAUUGAAGACCUUGAUCUAAGGAAUCUCAUAAUCCAGGGAGCAUAAGGCUUCAACUCAAAAGGUGACAGUGCAACAUUUGCCAGAGUCCUCAUGAAGAAAUUAUGGUAGUUGACAGGAACUCUAUGAAUGAUGUUGAAUAGAAAAUUCUUCAUGAUGCCAACAACUUCUUCUUCAUUAGAAUCGUGGCCUUUGAUUGGACUCAGGGUCUUAGUCAGAAUCCUGUAGACGGUCCUUGGCACAUAUAGCAGUUCCUUCACAAGGAAUUUUGUCCUUGGGGCUUGACCAGGCUUCAGAGGCUUCAUCAACACUUGCAUAUAGUGAUCAGAUAACUCAAGUUCAUGGUAGAUGAGCUGCGCACCUUCAAAGGGAGGAGUGAUAGGCAGGGCAUGAAGCAAUUUAGAGGCCAGUGCUUUGUAGUGUGUGUUCUCAGUCAUCCAGUCCAGAACCCAUGAAUUCACAUCGUCAGUGUUGCAUGUGAUGUGCAAUGUAGCAUAGAACUGAAGAAUUAGCUCUUCAUUCCAAUCGAUAAUGUCAGUGCAGAAGUUGAGCAGCCCAGCGUCAUGAAGAACACUGAGGACGAGGGUGAAGCAAGGCAGCGACUGAUACGUCUCCAACGUAUCUAUAAUUUUUGAUUGUUCCAUGCUAUUAUAUUAUCAACCUUGUAUGUUUUAUAUGCAUUUAUAUGCUAUUUUAUAUGAUUUUUGGGACUAACCUAUUAACCCAGAGCCCAGUGCCAGUUUCUGCUUUUACCUUGUUUUAGAGUAUCGCAGAAAAGGAAAAUCAAACGGAGUCCAGUUGACCUGAAACUUCAUGGAACUUAUUUUUGGAAAGAAAGCAACCCGGGAGUGAAUGAAAUAUGCCCUAGAGGAAAUAAUAAAGUUAUUAUUUAUUUCCUUAUAUCAUGAUAAAUGUUUAUUAUUCAUGCUAGAAUUGUAUUAAUCGGAAACAUAAUACAUGUGUGAAUACAUAGACAAACAGAGUGUCACUAGUAUGCCUCUACUUGACUAGCUUGUUGAUCGAAGAUGGUUAUGUUUCCUAACCAUAGACAUGAGUUGUCAUUUGAUUAACGGGAUCACAUCAUUAGGAGAAUGAUGAGAUUGACUUGACCCAUUCCGUUAGCUUAGCACUUGAUCGUUUAGUUUGUUGAUAUUGCUUUCUUCAUAACUUAUACAUGUUCCUAUGACUAUGAGAUUAUGCAACUCCCGUUUACCGGAGGAACACUUUGUGUGCUACCAAAUGUCACAAUGUAACUGGGUGAUUAUAAAGGUGCUCUACAGGUGUCUCCGAAGGUACUUGUUGGGUUGGCAUAUUUCGAGAUUAGGAUUUGUCACUCCGAUUGUCGGAGAGGUAUCUCUGGGCCCACUCGGUAAUGCACAUUACUUAAGCCUUGCAAGCAUUGCAACUAAUGAGUUAGUUGUGGAAUGAUGUAUUACGGAAUGAGUAAAGAGACUUGCCGGUAACGAGAUUGAACUAGGUAUUGGAAUACCGACGAUCGAAUCUCGGGCAAGUAACAUACCGAUGACAAAGGGAACAACGUAUGUUGUUAUGCGGUUUGACCGAUAAAGAUCUUUGUAGAAUAUGUAGGAACCAAUAUGAGCAUCCAGGUUCCGCUAUUGGUUAUUGAUCGGAGACGUGUCUCAGUCAUGUCUACAUAGUUCUCGAACCCGUAGGGUCCGCACCCUUAAAGUUCGGUAACGAUCGUAAUUAGGGUUUUUGUGUUUUGAUGUACGGAAGGUUGUUCGGAGUCCCGGAUGUGAUCACGGACAUGAUGAGGAGUCUCGAAAUGGUCGAGACAUAAAUAUUGAUAUAUUGGAAGCCUAUAUUUGGAUAUCGGAAUCAUUUCGGGUGAAAUCGGGAUUUUACUGGAGUACCGGGGGGUUACCGGAACCCCCCCGGGGGUUCAUGGGCCUACAUGGGCCCUAAGGGAGAAGAGGAGGGCCGGCCAGGGUAGGCCGCGCGCCCCCUCCCCCCUAGUCCGAAUAGGACAAGGAAGGGGGGGGGCGCCCCCCUUUCGUCUUUCCCCUUCCCCUUUCCUUCUCCAACAAGGCAAGAGGGGGGAGUCCUAUUCCCGGUGGGAGUAGGACUUCUCCAGGCGGACCCCUAGGGGCUGGCCGCACCUGCCCCCUCCCUCCUUUAUAUACGGGGGCAGGGGGGCACCCCAUCACACACAAGUUGAUCUUCGUGAUUGAGGGAGUCCUGGAUUAGGGGGUGUUCGGGUAGCCGGACUAUACCUUCAGCCGGACUCCUGGACUAUGAAGAUACAAGAUUGAAGACUUCGUCCCGUGUCCGGAUGGGACUUUCCUUGGUGUGGAAGGCAAGCUUGGCGAUACGGAUACUCAAGAUCUCCUACCAUUGUAAUCGACUCUGUGUAACCCUAACCCUAUCUGGUGUCUAUAUAAACCGGAGGGUUGUAGUCCGUAGGCAAUCAACUCCAUACACAACAAUCAUACCAUAGACUAGCUUCUAGGGUUUAGCCUCCUUGAUCUCGUGGUAGAUCUACUCUUGUACUACCCAUAUCAUCAAUAUUAAUCAAGCAGGAGUAGGGUAUUACCUCCAUCGAGAUGGCCCGAACCUGGGUAAAACAAAGUGUCCCCUGUCUCCUGUUACCAUCCGGCCUAGAUGCACAGUUCGGGACCCCCUACCCGAGAUCCGCCGGUUUUGACACCGACAUUGGUGCUUUCAUUGAGAGUUCCUCUGUGUCGUCGCCUUUAGGCCCGAUGGCUCCUUUGAUCAUCAACAAUGAUGCAGUCCAGGGUGAGACUUUUCUCCCCGGAUAGAUCUUCGUCUUCGGCGGCUUUGCACUGCGGGCCAAUUCGCUUGGCCACCUCGAGCAGAUCGAAAGCUACGCCCCUGGCCAUCAGGUCAGGUUUGGAAGCCUAAACUACACGGCCGACAUCCGCGGGGACUUGAUCUUCGACGGAUUCGAGCCACAGCCAAGCGCACCACAUUGUCUCGAUGGGCAUGAUAUAACUCUGCCACCGAACAGCGCCUUGGAGGCCACACACACAUCGGUUUCGACCAUUGAUUCGAAGCCUACUGCGCCGAUCGAGGAUCAGCGGUUGGACGCUGCCUCAGGGGCUGCAUCUCAGAGGCGAUUGAGCCGAACGCUAGCCCCGCACUCUGCACUACCCGUGACUCCGAGGAUCCGGACUCCUCCCCGGACUCCGAACCCCCUGCGCCCCUGCCAAUCGAAUCCGAUUGGGCGCCGAUAAUGGAGUUCACCGCCGCAGACAUCUUUCAGCAUUCGCCUUUUUGCGACAUCCUGAAUACUCUUAAGUCCCUCUCUUUAUCAGGAGAGCCCUGGCCGGACUACGGUCAGCGAGGGUGGAAUACGGACGAUGAGGAAAUUCAAAGCCCACCCACCACCCACUUUGUAGCCACUGUCGAUGAUCUAACCGACAUGCUUGACUUCAGCUCCAAAGACAUCGACGGCAUGGACGACGAUGUAGGAGACGAACAGGAACCAGCACCUGUAGGGCGCUGGAAGGCCACCUCGUCAUAUGACAUAUAUACGGUGGAUACUCCAAAAGAUGGAGAUGGCGACGGAACAAUGGGGGAUGACGCCCCCAAGAAACAGCCAAAGCGCCAGCGUCAGCGGCGCCGUUCUAAAUCCCGCCAAAGCAAAAACGGUGAUUCCGGCACGGGAGACAGUACUACCCCGGAUAGUGCCGAAGAACACCCACCUCAGCAAGAUUCGGCACAGGAAGAUGGAGAAGCCAGCCCUCAUGAUAGAGCGGCAGACCUAGAGAUCGAGGAUGAUAACUAUACGCCUCCCUCCGAAGACAAGGCAAGCCUCGAUGACGACGAAUUCGUCAUACCAUCAGACCCCGCCGAACAAGAGCGUUUUAAAUGCAGGCUUUUAGCCACGGCAAGCAGCCUCAAGAAAAAGCAGCAACAACUUAGAGCUGCCCAAGAUUUGCUAGCUGACAGAUGGACUGAAGUCCUUGCGGCCGAAGAGUAUGAACUCGAACGCCCCUCCAAGAGUUACCCGAAGCACAGGCCGCUACCCCGAUCAGAGGAGGAAGCACCUACAUCACUAGUGCAUGACAUGGCAGACCGGCCACCUCGCGGCCGCGAUAGAGAGGCCUCUCGGCCCUCCACCCAAGCCAUGCCUCGACGCCGCUCAACUAAGGCACGGGAAAAUGCGCCCGACCUGCGAGACAUACUGGAGGAUAAGGCAAGACAAACAAGAUCGAUCUACGGAUCACGCAGGCGCCCUACGGUAUGUGACAAUGAUCUUCACUCCGGAUACAAUAAAUCCGGCCGGGCCGAACACAACAGACAUAGCUCUUCCGAGCUGCGUUGUGAUAUAGCCCAGUACAGAGGCGCCGCACACCCGCUAUGCUUCACGAAUGAAGUAAUGGAUCAUAAAAUCCCAGAGGGUUUCAAACCCGUAAACAUCGAAUCAUACGAUGGCACAACAGAUCCGGCGGUAUGGAUCGAGGAUUAUCUCCUUCACAUCCACAUGGCACGCGGCGAUGAUCUACACGCCAUCAAAUACCUCCCGCUCAAACUUAAAGGACCGGCCCGACAUUGGCUUAACAGCUUGCCAGCAGACUCAAUCGGUUCUUGGGACGACCUGGAAGCCGCAUUCCUCGACAACUUCCAGGGCACUUACGUGCGACCGCCAGAUGCCGACAACUUAAGCCACAUAAUUCAGCAGCCAGAAGAAUCGGCCAGAUAAUUCUGGACAUGGUUCCUAACAAAGAAAAACUAGAUAGUCGACUGUCCGGACGCAGAGGCCCUAGCAGCCUUCAAGCAUAACAUCCGUGGCGAGUGGCUUGCCCGGCACCUGGGACAGGAAAAGCCAAAAUCCAUGGCAGCCCUCACGACACUCAUGACCCGCUUUUGCGCAGGAGAAGACAGCUGGCUAGCUCGCAGUAACAACUUAUCAAAGAACCCUGGUAAUUCGGAUACCAAGGACAAAAGUGGCAGGACAAGUCGGAAUAAGCAAAAACGCCGCGUUAACAGCGACAACAAUGAAGACACGGCAGUCAAUGCCGGAUUCAAAGGCUAUAAACCCGGUCAGCGGAAAAAGCCAUUCAAAAAGAAUACUCAUGGCCCGUCCAGUUUGGACCGAAUACUCAAUCGCUUGUGCCAGAUACAUGGCACCCCCGAAAGGCCAGCCAAUCACACUAAUAGGGACUGUUGGGUGUUCAAGCAGGCAGGCAAGUUAAGGGCUGAAAACAGAGACAAGGGGCUGCACAGCGACGACGAGGAGCCCAAGCCGCCGAACAACAAUGGACAGAAGGGUUUUCCCCCACAAGUGCGGACGGUGAACAUGAUAUACGCAACCCACAUUCCCAAGCGGGAGCGGAAACGUGCUCUACGGGACGUAUACGCGAUAGAGCCAGUCGCCCCAAAGUUUAACCCAUGGUCCUCCUGCCCGAUCACUUUUGAUCGAAGGGACCAUCCCACUAGCAUCCGUCAUGGUGGCUUCGCCGCAUUGGUUCUCGACCCAAUCAUCGACGGAUUUCAUCUCACAAGAGUCCUCAUGGACGGCGGCAAUAGCCUGAACCUGCUUUAUCAAGAUACAGUGCGAAAAAUGGGCAUAGACCCCUCAAGGAUUAAGCCCACAAGAACGACCUUUAAAGGCGUUAUACCAGGUGUAGAAGCCAACUGUACAGGCUCAAUAACACUUGACGUGGUCUUCGGAUCCCCGGACAAUUUCCGAAGCGAAGAGUUAAUCUUUGAUAUAGUCCCGUUUCGCAGUUGCUAUCACGCCCUGCUUGGACGAACCGCAUUCGCAAAGUUCAAUGCGGUGCCACACUAAGCAUAUCUCAAGCUCAAGAUGCCAGGCCCUCGAGGAGUAAUUACGGUCAACGGAAACACCGAACGCUCCCUCCGUACGGAGGAGCAUACGACGGCUCUCGCAGCGGAGGUACAAAGUAGCCUUCUCAGGCAAUUCUCCAGUCCGGCCAUUAAAAAGCCAGACACUGCCAAGCGCGCCCGGAGUAACCUACAGCAGGACCGCCUGGCACACUCUGAGCAAGCGUAGCAAUGCGGCCCCCACCCCAGCUCUCGCGACAUAGCGAAACCAGUACCUCGCGUACAUAACUACGCACUUGAAAUACCAUGAGCACAGGGGAAGGGGCACAAUAACGACACGCCCAAAAUACGGCUUAAAACGUACCAGGGGCUGCCGGAUUAUUUUUUUAUUUUUUUCUUACUUUCAGGACUCCAUACUUCGGACGACCUGUUCGGCAAUUCAACUGCCGCACAAACGAUGCAAGAUCCAGGGAGGCAGACAAGCCAUGCCGCAUUAUGGAAUCCCAGGUGGUCUCUGUUACGAGCGCUAUACCUGUUUUAAAUACAAUUCCGCGGCCUGCCCCUGGUCAGGAAAUUAGUCCAAUAUCUUUUGCUUACCGCACUAUUUGUAUCGUUCGGCUUUGUCAAAUAGCCUCUCUAUAAAGAAUGCUUAGCUUUUUGUCUAUUUUUUGCAUUACCCUCUUUUAUAUAUGUUCAUUAAUGACAUGUUGCACCCGUACACUAUGGUACGACAAGUACGCCACGGGCUUCAGUAUCCUUUAAUAUGGUGUGAGAAGUCCGUACACUUUCACAAGUGCGGCACCCCGAACUUAUAGCACUAUAUGCAUCGGCUCCGAAUCAUGCUUUGGGUCAAUAGUUGGGUUUGCCCGGCUCCUAUGUUUUGGUGCCUUACGUUCCGCUAUAUCGGCUAAGGUAGCACUAGGAGAACCACUGCGAUUGUGCCCCGGUUGAGCUGGGUUAAGCACCUCAGUGGAGAAAGCUAAAACUGACUGUCAUGAUGAGGUGAGAGACCGGUCGCUGUUCGAGAGGUUUUUCGAGUCCCUAAAGACUUAUGCCGCUUCGAGCGAGGAGCUGGAUAACCCCAGCCAAGGCGUGGAUAGCGCCUUGAACUCGGUCUUCCGAACUAGGGGCUUCACCAAAAUUUAAAAUUAUAAAGUUCUAUGGCUAAGUGAGAGUGUUCAAGCAUUAUAGUCCGAUUGCCUGGUUCGUCGUGCUGAGCGCCUCCCUCGAAGGACCCAACCAUGGGAAAAAGAGCGCUCAGGUUUAUCACCGAACACCCCAGCACUAGUGGCAUGGGGGCAGAAGCCGACGACUGGUCAUCUCUCAAUUUUUGAUAAACGGCCGCACAGAAAAUAAUAUUUUAAAUUCAAUAAGCAUUGCUUAGCGCAUAUGAACAAGUUUUCAGCGCACUGGAUAAACACGAGCAAGUUCAUUCAAAAAUUACAUCCUUGGUACAUUCAUCCGCCAUAAGGCGGGCACCCGCAAGAACAUCCUUAUAGUAGUUCUCGGGCUUGCGAUGCUCCUUCCCCGGUGGCGGCCCGUCCCUCACAAGCUUCUCACCGUCCAGCUUACCCCAGUGCACCUUAGCACGAGCAAGGGCCCGACGGGCACCUUCGAUGCAGACGGAGCGCUUGACGACCUCGAGCCUUGGACAGGCCUCCACCAGCCGCCGCACCAGCCCGAAGUAGCUCCCAGGCAGGGCCUCUCCGGGCCACAGCCGAACUAUGAAGCCCUUCAUGGCCUGUUCGGCCGCCUUGUGGAGCUCGACCAGCUGUUUCAGCUGGUCGCUCAAGGGCACAGGGUGUCCAGCCUCAGCAUACUGAGACCAGAACACCUUCUCCGUCGAGCCGCCCUCUUCAGCUCGGUAGAAUGCGGCGGCGUCGGAUACGCUGUGGGGAAGAUCUGCGAAUGCCCCUGGAGAGCUCUGGAUUCGGGUAAGUAACAAGUAGCUUACUUUUAUAUUUCUGCUUUGCAUGAAGAAUGCCUUACCCGCUGCUAUCUUUUUCACCUCCUCCAACCCUUGGAGGGCCUUUUGGGCUUCGGCCUUGGCAGACUUGGCAGUCUCAAGGGCCGUCGCGAGCUCGGACGCUUGGGUCUUUGACUCAAGCUCCAAACUCUCAUAUUUCUUGAUGAGAGCCUGAAGCUCUUGCUGCACCUCGCCGACCUGAGCCCCAAGUUUCUCUCGCUCGGUGCGCUCCGCGGCCAUUUUCUUUUCGGCCUCAGAUAGCGCCUGCUUGAGGGUCGCCACCUCAGUCGUGGCCCCUACAAUAAGCAGUACAAUCCUGUUAUUUUUUGCAAUCACGCCUCUCUAUAGGCACCCUUUUCAGUAAGGUAUUUCUUACCUUCUUUCUCCUCGAGCUGCCGCUUGGCAAGGCCGAGCUCUUGCUCGGUCCGCCCGAGGUCCUGUUUCAGGACACCCACCUCCGUAGUCAGUGCGGCGGUGGAUAGCAGCGAAGCCUGCAUACGCAUAUUGACUCUUUAUUGUUAGACUCCUGCGAAAUCUAAUAGAUCCUCUAUUCGGCUUUUCUUUCCGAAUGCCAAACAGAGCAUCAGGGGCUACUGUCUAUGCGGUAAUAUUUUUACAUAUUUUUUACUUACCUCGAAGCCUGUUAGAAGGCUUGCGCAAGCUUCAGUCAGACUGCUCUUGGCGGAUUGAACCUUCUGGAUCACCAUACUCAUAAUAGUACGGUGCUCCUCAUCGAUGGAGGCGCCUUCAAGCACCUCCAGCAGAUUGUCUGGCACCUCCGAUUGGACGGAGGCUUCCGGCUCAGAAGGCUUGCUCCUCUUAGAAGGAGUUCGCCUGCCGCGGUCCGGAAUCGUUGAAGAUUCCGGCACGGUGUCCGGCUCAAAGACGGACUUGGAGCCCUGGGGGGUCUUGUCCCCUUUACUCCUGGAGUCCGGGAGGUCGCCUUGCGGCUCCUCCAGGACCACCUCCUCCUGCCCCGGAGCUCAUUGUGACGCCACUUUGGAGUCAUCCGCAGUGCGGGGGGAGACAGCGGCGGAACUGAGUUCAUGUCCGAAGAAUCCAGGGAGCCGCUCGACGACUCGUUGAGUUCGGCCCGGGGCGGGCUGCAUGAUUAUAUUCGGCAUUAGGGAAAGCUGUGCAACGAAAGGAAUAUCAUGAAUUACUCUGGUAUCCGAACACUUACGAUUUCGCCGGACGCCUGGCUCUGUCCGGCCACUCCUCUUCGUCCUCGUCGGCGUCGGGGGCGUAGUCCGGCGGAGGGGUUUUCCUCUUCUUGGAGCCCUCGGCCUUCCCCCUUGGGGUGACCUUCCUUUUCUUUCCUCCCCCCGCUGGGGGGGAGAGCUUUCUUCUUCCUCCUCCUCGUUUUCACGAGAGGAGGGCGUCUCGGACUCGUCGGAUGAGGAGUCCGACAACACCAUGUUGCGGGUACUCUUUCGAGUCCCCGUGGUCUUCUUCUUCUUGGCCUUCUUUUCCGGCACCACAUAAGGCGCCGGAGCCAGCAACUUCACUAGUAGAGCUAGGGCUGGGUCUUCGGGCAGUGGAGCCAGACAGUUAAUCGGUCCGGAUACCGCCCGCCAAGCCUGUCAAAGGUACGAGAGUUUAGAUCCCGCAUAGAGUUAAACUAUGAAAGAAGCUGAACAUCCUGUAAAAGGUGAAAAUAGCUUACCUCGCUAGCGUGACGCUGCGAGCUGUAUCCGCGGUCCUCGGAAGCGGAUGCGGGAGCCUCGGCACCUUUGAUUAGCACCUUCCAGGCAUCUUCAUACGUCGUGUCGAAGAGCCUAUUAAGGGUUCGGUGCUGUGCCGGGUCGAACUCCCACAGAGUAGAGUCCCAUUGUUGGCACGGGAGGAUUCGGCGAACGAGCAUGACCUGGACUACAUUUACAAGCCUGAUUGAGUUGUUUACCAGGGACUGGAUGCAUGUCUUCAGUCCGGUCACCUCUUCCUCGUUACCCCAUGAUAGGCCCGUCUCUUUCCAGGACAUGAGCCGCGUGGGGGGUCCGAAUCAGAACUCGGGGGGUGCGAUCCAGUUCGGAUCGCGUGGCUCGGUGAUGUAAAACCACCCGGCUUGCCACCCCUUUAGGGUCUCUAUGAAGGAGCCCUCGAACCACAGCACAUUGGCAAUCUUGCCCGCCAUGGCGCCUCCGCACUCCGCCUGGUUGCCGCACACCACCUUGGGCUUGACGUUGAAGGUCUUGAGCCACAGGCCAAAAUGGGGGCGGACGCGGAGGAAAGCCUCGCACACGACGAUAAACGCCGAGAUGUUGAGGAUGAAGUUUGGGGCCAGAUCGUGAAAAUCCAGGCCGUAGUAGAACAUGAGCCCCCGGAUGAAUGGGUGAAGUGGAAAACCCAGUCCACGGAGGAAGUGGGGAAGGAAUACUACCCUCUCGUGGGGCCUUGGGGUGGGGACAAGCUGCCCCUCCUCGGGAAGCCAGUGCGCAAUGUCUUUGGACAAGUAUCCGGCCUUCCUAAGCUUUUUAACGUCGCCCUCCGUGACGGAGGAGACCUUCCACUUGCCUCCCGCUCCGGACAUCGCUGGAGAAGUUUGAGGUGGGAAGUGCGGGCUUGGGCGCUGGAGCUCGAGUGCGCAGGAGAAGGAUAGGCAAAGGAGGAAGAAGGCGUAGGUAAAAAGGUGGACCUUUAUCCCCUUAUAUGGGCGGAUGCGGUUGUGCGUCCCCACCUGCCUAAUAAAACUCGCUUGCCUCCCAAGCGCCGUGGUAAAUGGCGCGGUUAGGGUUACCCACAUCCGUAUUGAUGAGAAUCCCGUAAAAAGGGCACACGAUCUCUACUUUGACAAGACGUGUCAAGGAAACCGCCUCGCAAAACAUGCUGAGGUGGAAAAGUAAAAACGAUUCGAGUAAAGGACUUGGCCGUAGUGUGAUAGCGCACUGCGGAAUAUGCCAGCAGAUUUGAUUUGUGUCAAUAUUAUUCUCUCUAUGGCAAUAUGUGGAAACUUAUUUUGCAGAACCGGACACUACUCUUGGUGUUUACAAAUCUUCUAUGAAGGACUUGGAGGAGGAACCCGCCUUGCAAUGCCGAAGACAAUUUGCGCGCUGGACUCGUUGUCAUUGAAGCCUGGUUCAAGGGCUACUGAGGGAGUCCUGGAUUAGGGGGUGUUCGGGUAGCCGGACUAUACCUUCAGCCAGACUCCUGGACUAUGAAGAUACAAGAUUGAAGACUUCGUCCCGUGUCCGGAUGGGACUUUCCUUGGCGUGGAAGGCAAGCUUGGCGAUACGGAUACUCAAGAUCUCCUACCAUUGUAACCGACUCUGUGUAACCCUAACCCUAUCCGGUGUCUAUAUAAACCAGAGGGUUGUAGUCCGUAGGCAAUCAAUUCCAUACACAACAAUCAUACCAUAGGCUAGCUUCUAGGGUUUAGCCUCCUUGAUCUCGUGGUAGAUCUACUCUUGUACUACCCAUAUCAUCAAUAUUAAUCAAGCAGGAGUAGGGUAUUACCUCCAUCGAGAGGGCCCGAACCUGGGUAAAACAAAGUGUCCCCUGUCUCCUGUUACCAUCCGGCCUAGACACACAGUUCGGGACCCCCUACCCGAGAUCUGCCGGUUUUGACACCGACAGUGAUCGUUCCUUAGCCGUGUGCGGUGCCCCCUUCCACCAUAUUCCACCUCGGUCAUAUCGUAGCGGUGCUUAGGCGAAGCCCUGCGUCGGUAGAACAUCAUCACCGUCAUCACGCCGUCGUGCUGGCGAAACACUCCCUCAACACUCGGCUGGAUCGGAGCUCGAGGGACGUCACCGAGUUGAACGGGUGUAGAACUCGGAGGUGCCGUACGUUUGAUACUUGGAUCGGUCAGAUCGGGAAGACGUACGACUACUUCCUCUAUGUUGUGUCAACGCUUCCGUUGCCGGUCUACGAGGGUACAUAGACAUCACUCUCCCCUCUAGUUGCUAUGCAUCACCAUGAUCUUGUGUGUGCGUAGGAUUUUUUUUGAAAUUACUACGUUCCCCAACAGUGGCAUCCGAGUCUGGUUUUAUGCAUUGAUGUUAUGCACGAGUAGAACACAAGUGAGUUGUGGGUGAUAUAAGUCAUAAUGCUUACCAGCAUGUCAUACUUUGGUUCGGCGGUAUUGUUGGAUGAAGCGGCCCGGACCGACAUUACGCGUAUGCUUACGCGAGACUGGUUUCACCGUCGUGCUUUGCACACAGGUGGCUGCCGGGUGUCAGUUUCUCCAACUUUAGUUGAACCGAGUGUGGCUAUGCCCGGUCCUUGCGAAGGUUAAAACAACACCAACUUGACAAACUAUCAUUGUGGUUUUGAUGCGUGAGUAAGAACGGUUCUUGCUAAGCCCGUAGCAGCCACGUAAAACUUGCAACAACAAAGUAGAGGACGUCUAACUUCUUUUUGCAGGGCAUGUUGUGAUGUGAUAUGGUCAAGACAUGAUGCUAUAUUUUAUUGUAUGAGAUGAUCAUGUUUUGUAACCAAGUUAUCGGCAAUUGGCAGGAGCCAUAUGGUUGUCGCUUUAUUGUAUGCAAUGCAAUCACCCUGUAAUGCUUUACUUUAUCACUAAGCGAUAGCGAUAGUCGUUGAAGCAUAAGAUUGGUGAGACGACAACGAUGCUACGAUGGAGAUCAAGGUAUCGCGCCGGUGACGAUGGUGAUCAUGACGGUACUUCGGAGAUGGAGAUCACAAGUACAAGAUGAUGAUGGCCAUAUCAUAUCACUUAUAUUGAUUGCAUGUGAUGUUUAUCUUUUAUGCAUCUUAUCUUGCUUUGAUUGACGGUAGCAUUAUUAGAUGAUCUCUCACUAAAUUUCAAGAUAAAAGUGUUCUCCAUGAGUAUGCACCGUUGCCAAAGUUUGUCGUGCCCAGACACCACAUGAUGAUCGGGUGUGAUAAGCUCUACGUCCAUCUACAACGGGUGCAAGCCAGUUUUGCACACACAGAAUACUCAGGUUAAACUUGACGAGCCUAGCAUAUGCAGAUAUGGCCUCGGAACACUGAGACCGAAAGGUCGAGCGUGAAUCAUAUAGUAGAUAUGAUCAACAUAUUGAUGUUCACCAUUGAAAGCUACUCCAUUUCACGUGAUGAUCGGUUAUGGUUUAGUUGAUUUGGAUCACAUGAUCACUUAGAAGAUUAGAGGGAUGUCUUUCUAAGUGGGAGUUCUUAAGUAAUAUGAUUAAUUGAACUUAGAUUUAUCAUGAACUUAGUCCUGGUAGUAUUAGCAUAUCUAUGUUAUAGAUCAAUAGCUCGCGUUUAGCUCCCCUAUUUUAUUUUUGAUAUGUUCCUAGAGAAAAUUAAGUUGAAAGAUGUUAGUAGCAAUGAUGCGGAUUGGAUCCAUGAUCUGAGGAUUAUCCUCAUUGCUGCACAGAAGAAUUAUGUCCUUAAUGCACCGCUAGGUGACAGACCUAUUGCAGGAGUAGAUGCAAACGUUAUGAACGUUUGGCUAGCUCAAUAUGAUGACUACUUGAUAGUUUAGUGCACCAUGCUUAACGGCUUAGAAUCAGGGCUUCAAAGACGUUUUGAACGCCAUGGAGCAUAUAAGAUGUUCCAAGAGUUGAAAUUGGUAUUUCAUACUCAUGCCCGUGUCGAGAGGUAUGAGACCUCUGACACUACUUUUCCUACAAGAUGGAGGAGAAUAGCUCAACCAGUGAGCAUGUGCUCAGAUUGUCUGAGUACUACAAUUACUUGAAUCAAGUGGGAGUUAAUCUUCCAGAUAAGAGAGUAAUUGACAAAGUUCUCUAGUCACUAUCACCGAGUUACUAGAACUUAGUGAUGAACUAUAAUAUGCAAGGGAUGACAAAAGUAAUUCCCAAGCUCUUCGUGAUGCUGAAAUCGACGAAGGUAGAAAUCAAGUAAAGCAUCAAGUGUUGAUGGUUGACAAAGACAACUAGUUUCAAAAAUGGCAAAAGGGAAGAAAGGGAACUCCAAGAAGAACAGCAAGCAAGUUGCUGCUCAAGUGAAGAAGCCCAAGUCUGGACCUAAGCCUGAGACUGAGUGUUUCUACUGCAAAGGGACUGGUCACUAGAAGCGGAACUGCCCCAAGUAUUUGGCGGAGAAGAAGGAUGGUGAGGUGAACAAAGGUAUAUUGGAUAUACAUGUUAUUGAUGUGUACUUUACUAGUGUUUAUAGCAACCCCUCGGUAUUUGAUACUAGUUCAGUUGCUAAGAGUAGUAACUCGAAACAGGAGUUGCAGAAUGAACAGAGACUAGUUAAGGGUGAAGUGACAAUGUGUGUUGGAUGUGGUUCCAAGAUUGAUAUGAUCAUCAUCGCACACUCCCUAUACUUUUGGGAUUAGUGUUGAACCUAAAUAAGUGUUAUUUGAUGUUUGCAUUGAGCAUGAAUAUGAUUUGAUCAUGUUUAUUGCAAUACGAUCAUUCAUUUAAGUAAGAGAAUAAAUUGUUGUUCUGUUUACAUAUAUGGUUACACACCCAAUGAAAAUGGUUCGUUGGAUCUCGAUCGUAGUGAUACACAUAUUCAUAAUAUUGAAACCAAAAGAUGCAAAGUUAAUAAUGAUAGUGCAUCUUAUUUGUGGCACUGCCGUUUAGGUCAUGUUGGUGUAAAGCGCAUGAAGAAACUCCAUGCUGAUGGACUUUUGGAAUCACUUGAUUAUGAAUCAGUUGAUGCUUGCAAACCAUGCCUCAUGGGCAACAUGACUAAGACUCCAUUCUCCGGAACAAUGCAGCAAGCAACAGAUUUGUUGCAAAUCAUGCAUACUGAUGUAUGUGGUCCGAUGAAUAUUGAAGCUCGCAGCAGGUAUCAUUAUUUUCUGAUCUUCACAAAUGAUUUGAGCAGAUAUGAGUAUAUCUACUUGAUGAAACACAAGUCUGAAACAUUUGAAAAGUUCAAAGAAUUUCAUAGUGAAGUGGAGAAUCCUCGUAACAAAAUAAAAGUUUCUACGAUAUGAUCGCAGAAGUAAAAUAUUUGAGUUAUGAGUUUGGCCUUCAGUUAAAACAAUGUGAAAUAGUUUCACUACUCACGCCACCUGGAACACCAUAGUGUAAUGGUGUGUCCGAACGUUGUAACCAUACUUUAUUAGAUAUGGUGCGAUCUAUGAUGUCUCUUACUGAUUACCGCUAUUGUUUUGGGGUUAUGUUUUAGAGACGGCUGCAUUCACGUUAAAUAGGGCACCAUCGAAAUCUGUUGAAACGACGCCUUAUGAACUGUGGUUUGGCAAGAAAGCAAAGUUGUCGUUUCUAAAAGUUUGGGGCUGCGAUGCUUAUGUGAAAAAGCUUCAACCUGAUAAGCUCGAACCCAAAUCGGAGAAAUGUGUCUUCAUAGGAUACCCAAAGGAGACUGUUGGUACACCUUCUAUCACAGAUCUGAAGGCAAGAUAUUCGUUGCUGAGAAUGGAUCCUUUCUAGAGAAGGGUUUCUCUCGAAAGAAGUGAGUGGGAGGAAAGUAGAACUUGAUGAGGUAACUAUACCUGCUCCCUUAUUGGAAAGUAGUUCAUCAUAGAAAUCUGUUCCUGUGACUACUACACCAAUUAGUGAGGAAGCUAAUGAUGAUGAUCAUGUAACUUCAGAUCAAGUUACUACCGAACCUCGUAGGUAAACCAGAGUGAGAUCCGCACCAGAGUGGUACGGUAAUCCUGUUCUGGAGGUCAUGUUACUUGACCAUGACGAGCCUACGAACUAUGAGGAAGCGAUGAUGAGCCCAGAUUCCACGAAAUGGCUUGAGGCCAUGAAAUCUGAGAUGAGAUCCAUGUAUGAGAACAAAGUAUGGACUUUGAUUGACUUGCCCAUUGAUUGGCAAUCCAUUGAGAUUAAAUGGAUCUUCAAGAGGAAUACGAAUGCUGAUAGUAGUGUUACUAUCUACAAAGCUAGAAUUGUCGCAAAAAGGUUUUUGACAAGUUCAAGCUGUUAACUACGAUGAAAGUUUCUCACUCGUAUCUAUGCUUAAGUCUAUCCGAAUCAUGUUAGCAAUUGCCGCAUUUUAUGAAAUCUGGCAAAUGGAUAAACAAAACUGCAUUCCUUAAUGGAUUUAUUAAAGAAGAGUUGUAUAUUAUGCAACCAGAAGGUUUUGUCAAUCCUAAAGAUACUAACAAAAUAUGCAAGCUCCAGCGAGCCAUCUAUGGACUGGUGCAAGCAUCUCAGAGUUGGAAUAUAUGCUUUGAUAAGUUGAUCAAAGCAUAUAGUUUUAUACAGACUUGCGGUGAAGCCUGUAUUUACAAGAAAGUGCGUGGGAGCACUACAACAUUUCUGAUAAGUAUAUGUGAAUGACAUAUUGUUGAUUGGAGAUAAUGUAGAAUUAUUCUGCAAAGCAUAAAGGAAUGUUUGAAAGGAGUUUUUCAAAGAAAGACCUCGGUGAAGCUGCUUACAUAUUGAGCAUCAAUAUCUAUAGAGAUAGAUCAAGACACUUGAUAAAGUUUUUCAAUGAGUACAUACCUUGACAACAUUUUGAAGUAGUUCAAAAUGGAACAGUCAAAAAGGAGUUCUUGCCUGUGUUACAAGGUGUGAAGUUGAGUAAGACUCAAAACCCGACCACGGCAGAAGAUAGAGAGAGAAUGAAAGUCAUUCCCUAUGCCUCAGCCAUAGGUUCUAUAAAGUAUGCCAUGCUGUGUACCAGACCUAUUGUAUACCCUGCCCUAAGUUUGGCAAGGGAGUACAAUAGUGAUCUAGGAGUAGAUCAUUGGACAAUGGUCAAAAUUAUCCUUAGUGGAAUAAGGAUAUGUUUCUCGAUUCUGGAGGUGACAAAAAGGUUCGUCGUAAAGGGUUACGUCGAUGCAAAUUUUGACACUGAUCCAGACGACUCUAAAUCUCAAUCUGGAUACAUAUUGAAAGUGGGAGCAAUUAGCUAGAGUAGCUCCGUGCAGAGCAUUGUUGACAUAGAAAUUUGCAAAAUACUUAUGGAUCUGAAUGUGGCAGACCCGUUGACUAAACUUAUCUCACAAGCAAAACAUGAUCACACCUUAGUAGUCUUUGGGUGUUAAUCACAUAGCGAUGUGAACUAGAUUAUUGACUCUAGUAAACCCUUUGGGUGUUUUUCACAUGUCGAUGUGAACUAUGGGUGUUAAUCACAUGGUGAUAUGAACUAUUGGUAUUAAAUUGCAUGGCGAUGUGAACUAGAUUAUUGACUCUAGUGCAAGUGGGAGACUGAAGGAAAUAUGCCCUAGAGGCAAUAGUAAAGUUAUUAUUUAUUUCCUUAUAUCAUGAUAAAUGUUUAUUAUUCAUGCUAGAAUUGUAUUAACCGGAAACAUAAUACAUGUGUGAAUACAUAGACAAACAGAGUGUCACUAGUAUGCCUCUACUUGACUAGCUCGUUGAUCGAAGAUGGUUAUGUUUCCUAACCAUAGACAUGAGUUGUCAUUUGAUUAACGGGAUCACAUCAUUAGGAGAAUGAUGUGAUUGACUUGACCCAUUCCGUUAGCUUAGCACUUGAUCGUUUAGUUUGUUGCUAUUGCUUUCUUCAUAACUUAUACAUGUUCCUAUGACUAUGAGAUUAUGCAACUCCCGUUUAUCGGAGGAACACUUUGUGUGCUACCAAACUUCACAACGUAACUGGAUGAUUAUAGAGGUGCUCUACAGGUGUCUCCGAAGGUACUUGUUGGGUUGGCGUAUUUCGAGAUUAGGAUUUGUCACUCCGAUUGUCAGAGAGGUAUCUCUGGGCCCACUCGGUAAUGCACAUCACUUAAGCCUGGCAAGCAUUGCAACUAAUAAGUUAGUUGCGGAAUGAUGUAUUACGGAACGAGUAAAGAGACUUGCCGGUAACGAGAUUGAACUAGGUAUUGGAAUACCGACGAUCGAAUCUCGGGCAAGUAACAUACAGAUGACAAAGGGAACAACGUAUGUUGUUAUGCGGUUUGACCAAUAAAGAUCUUCGUAGAAUAUGUAGGAACCAAUAUGAGCAUCCAGGUUCCGCUAUUGGUUAUUGACCGGAGACGUGUCUCGGUCAUGUCUACAUAGUUCUCGAACCCGUAGGGUCCGCACGCUUAAAGUUCGGUGACGAUCGUAAUUAGGGUUUUUGUGUUUUGAUGUACCGAAGGUUGUUCGGAGUCCCGGAUGUGAUCACGGACAUGAAGAGGAGUCCCGAAAUGGUCGAGACAAAAAGAUUGAUAUAUUGGAAGCCUAUAUUUGGAUAUCAGAAUCGUUCCGGGUGAAAUCAGGAUUUUACCAGAGUACCGGGGGGUUAUCGGAACCCCCCGGGGGUUAAUGGGCCUACAUGGGCCCUAAGGGAGAAGAGGAGGGCCGGCCAGGGCAGGCUGCACACCCCCUCCCCCCUAUUCCGAAUAGGGCAAGGAAGGGGGGGGGGCGGCGCCCCCCUUUCCUCUUUCCCCCUUCCCCUUUCCUUCUCAAACAAGGCAACCUCCCAGGCGCACCCCUAGGGGCCGGCCGCACCUCCCCCUCCCUCCUUUAUAUACGGGGGCAGGGGGCACCCCAUCACACACAAGUUGAUCUUCGUGAUCGUUCCUUAGCCGUGUGCGGUGCCCCCUUCCACCAUAUUCCACCUCGGUCAUAUCGUAGCGGUGCUUAGGCGAAGCCCUACGUCGGUAGAACAUCAUCACCGUCAUCACACCGCCGUGCUGACGAAACUCUCCCUCAACACUUGGCUGGAUCGGAGCUCGAGGGACGUCACCGAGUUGAAUGUGUGCAGAACUCGGAGGUGCCGUACGUUCGGUACUUGGAUCAGUCAGAUCGGGAAGACGUACGACUACUUCCUCUAUGUUGUGUCAAUGCUUCCGUUUCCGGUCUACAAGGGUAUGUAGACAUCACUCUCCCCUCUCGUUGCUAUGCAUCACCAUGAUCUUGCGUGUGCGUAGGAAUUUUUUUGAAAUUACUACGUUCCCCAACAGGGAGACUUGGAGUCCACGUCAAGAAAGCAAUGAGGAAGCCAUGAGGCAGGGGGCGCGCCCUCCACCCUCGUGGGCCCCUUGUGACUCCCUUGACGUACUUCUUCCGCCUAUAUAUCUCCAUAUACCCUAAAAUAUUCGGGGAGCACAAUAGAUCGGGAGUUCCGCCGCCAGAAGCCUCCGUAGCCACCGAAAGCCAAUCUAGACCCGUUCCGGCACCCUGCCGGAGGGGGAAUCCCUCUUCGGUGGCCAUCUUCAUCAUCCCAGUGCUCUCCACGACGAGGAGGGAGUAGUUCUCCCUCGAGGCUGAGGGUAUGUACCAGUAGCUAUGUGUUUGAUCACUCUCUCUCUCUCUCUCUCUCGUGUUCUUGAGGUGAUACAAUCUUGAUGUAUCGUGAGCUUUGCUAUUAUAGUUGGAUCUUAUGGUGUUUUCUCCCCCCUCUACUCUCUUGUAAUGGAUUGAGUUUCCCUUUGAAGUUAUCUUAUCGGAUUGUGUCUUUAAAGAUUUGAGAACACUUGAUGUAUGUCUUGCCGUGCGUAUCUGUGGUGACAAUGGGAUAUCACGUGAUUCACUUGAUGUAUGUUUUGGUGAUCAACUUGCGGGUUCCGCCCAUAAACCUAUGCAUAGGGGUUGGCACAUGUUUUCGUCGUGAUUCUCUGGUAGGAACUUUGGGGCACUCUUUGAGGUUCUAUGUGUUGGUUGAAUAGAUGAAUCUGAGAUUAUGUGAUGCAUAUCGUAUAAUCAUACCCACGGAUACUUGAGGUGACAUUGGAGUAUCUAGGUGACAUUAGGGUUUUGGUUGAUUUGUGUCUUAAGGUGUUAUUCUAGUACGAACUCUAGGGCUGUUUGUGACACUUAUAGGAAUAGCCCAACGGAUUGAUUGGAAAGAAUAACUUUGAGGUGGUUUCAUACCCUACCAUAAUCUCUUCGUUUGUUCUCCGCUAUUAGUGACUUUGUAGUGACUCUUUGUUGCAUGUUGAGGGAUAGUUAUGUGAUCCAAUUAUGUUAUUAUUGUUGAGAGAACUUGCACUAGUGAAAGUAUGAACCCUAAGCCUUGUUUCAACACAUUGCAAUACCGUUUACGCUCACUUUUAUCAUUAGUUACCUUGCUGUUUUUAUAUUUUCGGAUUACAAAAACCUUUAUCUACUAUCCAUAUUACACUCGUAUCACCAUCUCUUCGUCGAACUAGUGCACCUAUACAAUUUACCAUUGUAUUGGGUGUGUUGGGGACACAAGAGACUCUUUGUUAUUUGGUUGCAGGGUUGCUUGAGAGAGACCUUCUUCAUCCUACGCCUCCUACGGAUUGAUAAACCUUAGGUCAUCCACUUGAGGGAAAUUUGCUACUGUCCUACAAACCUCUGCACUUGGAGGCCCAACAACGUCUACAAGAAGAAGGUUGUGUAGUAGACAUCAAGCUCUUUUCUGGCGUCGUUGCUGGGGAGGUGAGUGCUUGAAGGUAUAUCUUUAGAUCUUGCAAUCGAGUCUUUUAGUUUCUUGUUUUAUCACUAGUUUAGUUUAUAAAAUAAAAUUACAAAAAAAUAUGGAAUUGAGUUUGUCUCAUACGCUUCAUCUUUUUAAUAUCUUUCGUGAGUAUGAUGAAAAGGAAAAUUGUGCCAGCGUGUUAGAAGAAGAAUGCAUUAGAAUGUUUGGCACUAAAUAUUUGAAUGAUGAGCAUGAUUGCAAUGUUGUUAGUAUGAAUUCCUUGAAUAUCCAUGAUGCUAAUGAUAUGCAAAGCCACAAGCUUGGGGAAGCUAUGUUUGAUGAAGAUGAUAUUUUUUGUCCCCCAAGUUUUGAUGAGCAAAUUUAUUAUGAUGAAAGCAUGCCUCCUAUUUAUGAUGAUUAUAUUGAUGAAAGUGGAUUCGGAGAGGUCAUGACUUUAUUUAGUAACGAUUCCACUAUUCCAGAAGAGGUUCCAAUUGAUUAUGAGAACAAAGUUGCUAUCUAUGAUGAUUAUUGUGAUGACUUGCAUGCUAUAAAGAAUAAUGAUAACCAUGAAAAUUGUCAUCAUGAUUUUAGUUUUCAAUUGGAUUAUGCCUCACAUGAUAGUUAUUUUGUUGAGUUUGCUCCCACUAUUAUUCAUGAGAAGAAUUUUGCUUGUGUGGAGAGUAGUAAAUUUUCUAUGCUUGUAGAUCAUGAAAAGAAUGCUUUAGGUGCUGGUUAUAUUGUUGAAUUCAUUCAUGAUGUGACUGAAAAUUAUUAUGAGGGAGGAAUAUAUGCUUGUAGGAAUUGCAAUAAUAUCAAGUUUCCUCUCUAUGUGUUGAAAAUCUUGAAGUUAUGCUUGUUUUGCCUUCCUAUGCUAGUUGAUUAUUGUUCCCACAAGUUGUUUGCUCACAAAAUCCCUAUGCAUAGGAAGUGGGUUAGGCUUAAAUGUGCUAGUCAUAUUCUUCAUGAUGCCCUCUUUAUGUUACAAUUCUUAUCUUUUAUGUGAGCAUCAUUGAAAUCAUCAUGCCUAGUUAGGGGCGUUAAACGAUAGCGCUUGUUGGGAGGCAACCCAACUUUAUUUUGUUCCUUGCUUUUUGUUCCUGUUUAGUAAUAAACAAUUAAUCUAGACUCUGUUAUGGUUGUAUUUUUUGUGUUUAAUUAGUGUUUGUGCCAAGUAGAACCUUUGGGAAGACUUGGGGAAAGUCUUUGCGAUCAUGCUGUAAAAAACAGAAACUUUAGCGCUCACGAGAAUUGCUACCUGUUUUAUUGGAGAGUGCUAUUUAGUUAAUUCUUUUUGCAGAUUAUUAAUAUAUAAAUUACUCACGUCCAGAAAUUUAUUUGAGAAUUUUAUGAGUUCCAGAAGUUUGCGUUAGUUACAAAUUACUACAGACUGUUCUGUUUUUGACAGAUUCUGUUUUUCAUGUGUUGUUUGCUUAUUUUGAUGAAUCUAUGGCUAGUAAAAUAGUUUAUAAACCAUAGAGAAGUUGGAAUACAGUAGGUUUAACACCAAUAUAAAUAAAUAAUGAGUUCAUUACAGUACCUUGAAGUAGUGUUUUGUUUUCUUUCGCUAACGGAGCUUACGAGUUUUCUGUUAAGUUUUGUGUUGUGAAGUUUUCAAGUUUUGGGUAAAGAUUCGAUGGACUAUGGAAUAAGGAGUGGCAAUAGCCUAAGCUUGGGGAUGCCCAAGGCACCCCAAGGCAAUAUUCAAGGACAACCAAGAGCCUAAGCUUGGGGAUGCCCCGGAAGGCAUCCCCUCUUUCGUCUUCGUUCAUCGGUAACUUUACUUGGAGCUAUAUUUUUAUUUACCACAUGAUAUGUGUUUUGCUUGGAGCAUCAUUUUAUUUCAUUUUGUUUUGAUUGCUGUUUGAAUAAAAUACCAAGAUCUGAAAUUAUUAAAUGUUAGAGAGUCUUCACAUAGUUGCAUAAUUAUUCGACUACUCAUUGGGCUUCACUUAUAUCUUUUAGAGCACGGUGGUGGUUUUAUUUUAUAGAAAUAAUUGAUCUCUCAUGCUUCACUUAUAUUAUUUUGAGAGUCCUUUAGAACAGCAUGGUAGUUUGCUUUGGUUAUGAAACUAGUCCUAAUAUGAUGGGCAUCCAAGAGGGAUAUAAUAAAAAACUUUCAUAUAGAGUGCAUUGAAUACUAAGAGAAGUUUGAUACUUGAUGAUUGUUUUGAGAUAUGGAGAUAGUGAUAUCAAAGUUGUGCUAGUUGAGUAGUUGUGAAUUUGAGGAAUACUUGUGUUGAGGUUUGCAAGUCCCGUAGCAUGCACAUAUGGUAAACGUUGUGUAACAAAUUUGAAACAUGAGGUGUUAUUUGAUUGUCUUCCUUAUGAGUGGCGGUCGGGGACGAGCGAUGGUCUUUUCCUACCAAUCUAUCCCCCUAGGAGCAUGCACGUAGUGCUUGGUUUUUGAUGACUUGUAGAUUUUUGCAAUAAGUAUGUGAGUUCUUUAUGACUAAUGUUGAGUCCAUGGAUUAUACACACUCUUACCCUUCCAUCAUUGCUAGCCUCUUCGGUACCGUGCAUUGCCCUUUCUCACAUUGAGAGUUGGUGCAAACUUCGCCGGUGCAUCCAAACCCCGUGAUAUUAUACGCUCUUUCACACAUAAAUCUCCUUAUAUCUUCCUCAAAACAGCCACCAUACCUACCUAUUAUGUCAUUUCCAUAGCCAUUCCGAGAUAUAUUGUCAUGCAACUUUCCACCAUUCCGUUUAUAAUGACACAUUCAUUAUUGUCAUAUUGCUUAGCAUGAUCAUGUAGUAGACAUAGUAUUUGUGGCAAAGCCACCGUUCAUAAUUUUUCAUACAUGUCACACUUGAUUCAUCGCAAUCCCGGUACACCGUCGGAGGCAUUCAUUUAGAGUCAUAUCUUGUUCUAAGUAUCAAGUUGUAAUCAUUGAGUUGUAAAUAAAUAGAAGUGUGAUGAUCAUCAUUUUCUAGAGCAUUGUCCCAAGUGAGGGAUAAAAAAGAGAAAGGCCAUAAAAAAAGGAGAAGGCCCCAAAAAAGAGAGAAAGGCCAUAAAAAAGAGAAGGCCAAAAAAUGAGAGAAGGGACAAUGCUACUAUCCUUUGCCAAACUUGUGCUUCAAAGUAACAAUAUAAUCAUCAUGAUAGAGAGUCUCUUGUUUUGUCACUUUCAUAUACUAGUGGGAAUUUUUCAUUAUAGAACUUGGCUUGUAUAUUCCAACAAUGGGCCUCCUCAAGUGCCCUAGGUCUUCGUGAGCAAGCAAGUUGGAUGCACACCCACUUAGUUUCUUUUGUUGAGCUUUCAUACAUUUAUAGCUCUAGUGCAUUCGUUGCAUGGCAAUCCCUACUCCUUGCAUUGACAUCAAUUGAUGUGCAUCUCCCUAGCCCAUUGAUUAGCCGCGUCGAUGUCAGACUUUCUCCUUUUUGUCUUCUCCACAUAGCCCCCUCAUUAUAUUCUAUUCCACCCAUAGUGCUAUGUCCAUGGCUCGCGCUCAUAUAUUGUGUGAAAGUUUAUAGGUUUGAGAUUACUAAAGUAUGAAACAAGUGCUUGGCUUGUCAUCGGGGUUGUGCAUGAUGAGAGCAUUCUUGUGUGACGAAAAUGGAGCAUGACUAAACUAUAUGAUUUUGUAGGGAUGAACUUUCUUUGGCCAUGUUAUUUUGAGAAAACAUAAUUGCUUUGUUAGUAUGCUUGAAGUAUUAUUAUUUUCAUGUCAAUAUUAAACUUUUGUCUUGAAUCUUAUGGAUCUGAAUAUUCUUGCUACAAUAAAGAGAAAUACAUGAUGAAUAUGUUAGGUAGCAUUCCACAUCAAAAAUUCUGUUUUUAUCAUUUACCUACUCGAGGACGAGCAGGAAUUAAGCUUGGGGAUGCUGAUACGUCUCCAACGUAUCUAUAAUUUUUGAUUGUUCCAUGCUAUUAUAUUAUCAACCUUAGAUGUUUUAUAUGCAUUUAUAUGCUAUUUUAUAUGAUUUUUGGGACUAACCUAUUAACCCAGAGCCUAGUGCCAGUUUCUGUUUUUACCUUGUUUUAGAGUAUCGCAGAAAAGGAAAAUCUAAUGGAGUCCAAUUGACCUGAAACUUCACGGAACUUAUUUUUAGAAGGAAAGCAACCCGGGAGACUUGGAGUCCACGUCAAGAAAGCAAUGAGGAAGCCACGAGGCAGGGGGCGCACCCACCCCCUGGGCGCGCCCUCCACCCUCGUGGGCCCCUCGUGGCUCCCCUAACGUACUUCUUCCGCCUAUAUAUCUCCAUAUACCCUAAAACAAUCGGGGAGCACAAUAGAUCGGGAGUUCCGCCGCCAGAAUCCUCCGUAGCCACCGAAAGCCAAUCUAGACCCGUUCCGGCACCCUACCAGAGGGGGAAUCCCUCUCCGGUGGCCAUCUUCAUCAUCCCGGUGCUCUCCAUGACGAGGAGGGAGUAGUUCUCCCUCGGGGCUGAGGGUAUGUACCAGUAGCUAUGUGUUUGAUCUCUCUCUCUCUCUCUCUCUCUCUCUCUCUCUCUCUUUCUCUCUCUCGUGUUCUUGAGGUGAUACGAUCUUGAUGUAUCGCGAGCUUUGCUAUUAUAGUUGGAUCUUAUGAUGUUUUCUCCCCCCUCUACUCUCUUGUAAUGGAUUGAGUUUCCCCUUUGAAUUUAUCUUAUCGGAUUGAGUCUUUAAAGAUUUGAGAACACUUGAUGUAUGUCUUGCCGUGCGUAUCUGUGGUGACAAUGGGAUAUCACGUGAUUCACUUGAUGUAUGUUUUGGUGAUCAACUUGUGGGUCCGCCCAUGAACCUAUGCAUAGGUGUUGGCACACGUUUUCGUCGUGAUUCUCCGGUAGAAACUUUGGGGCACUCUUUGAGGUUCUAUGUGUUGGUUGAAUAGACGAAUCUGAGAUUGUGUGAUGCAUAUCGUAUAAUCAUACCCACGGAUACUUGAGGUGACAUUGGAGUAUCUAGGUGACAUUAGGGUUUUGGUUGAUUUGUGUCUUAAGGUGUUAUUCUAGUACAAACUCUAGGGCUGUUUGUGACACUUAUAGGAAUAGCCCAACGGAUUGAUUGGAAAGAAUAACUUUGAGGUGGUUUUGUACCCUACCAUAAUCUCUUCGGUUGUUCUCUGCUAUUAGUGACUUUGGAGUGACUCUUUGUUGCAUGUUGAGGGAUAUUUAUGUGAUCCAAUUAUGUUAUUAUUGUUGAGAGAACUUGCACUAGUGAAAUUAUGAACCCUAGGACUUGUUUCAACACAUUGCAAUACUAUUUACGCUCACUUUUAUCAUUAGUUACCUUGCUGUUUUUAUAUUUUCAGAUUACAAAAACCUUUAUCUACUAUCCAUAUUACACUUGUAUCACCAUCUCUUCGCCGAACUAGUGCACCUAUACAAUUUACCAUUGUAUUGGGUGUGUUGGGGACACAAGAGACUCUUUGCUAUUUGGUUGCAGGGUUGCUUGAGAGAGACCAUCUUCAUCCUACGCCUCCUACGGAUUGAUAAACCUUAGGUCAUCCUCUUGAGGGAAAUUUUCUACUGUCCUAUAAACCUCUGCAAUUGAAGGCCCAACAACGUCUACAAGAAGAAGAUUGUGUAGUAGACAUCAGCGACUCCAUGUAAACAUGAGGAAUAUGCUCAUGGUGGAAGAUUUUGUCUGUGUCGAAAAGCAGAGAAGAAUAGAAAUUCAUCUGGCUUGCUGUCGAGAAGCGCUUCCUUCGAAGACGAGCAUAGUCAUAAGGGGUGUAGUCAGUGAAGAACACGUGCUCAUGAAAGAAGUCAUCAACUUUGAACUUCUGCUUCUUUGAGAAGGGAUUCUUCGGCUUGGGCUGAGAAGUAUCAGUCAAUGUCUUCACAGCCCCAGGAAUCACAGACUCAGGAGCCGCAGGCUGAGGAAUUUCAGUAGCAAUAUCUUCAGUGGCAGCCUGGGUCUCCAUAUCCUCAGAAGUAUGAGCAUCAGCACUAGUGGCUGGAAUUUCUUCACGGAUGGUGAGAACUGAAGCUUGAGGUUCAUCAGAGCCCAUUUGAACUUCUUCAGUUUGGACUGGGGACUGGGGAAUCUGUUGCAGUGGGGUGAACAUGGGUGAAUUGGGGUGAUGACUUUCCCAAUAGUCAUCAUUCAGAACUGGAAUGGUGCACCCAAUGCCCACGUCUUCUUCAUCCAUUUCCUCAACGCCUGCCUCUUCAGCUGUGAACUGAGGCAUGGGAGAUGAUAUCACUAGAGUGGAUGUAAUGUUGUCCACAUCAAUUUCCUCAUCUAACUGCUCCGACGAAGCAGCAGAAGGAUUUUCUUCAUUGGAUCCACUAGGGAUUUCAUAAUGCUCACCAAAGGGAACGAUCUCCUUUGAUGGCAUGCUUGAAACAGGAACAACAUCAAUUGGAUUUUCAAAAGAGCUCGUCAAAGUCUUCACCUUCUUUGGUGUCGAAGACUUUGAGGCGGUGGGUGCUUUCCUUUUCUUCACUGUUGCUUGCUCCAUAGCUUUGGUUUUCUUCGCUUCUGAUGCAGAAGGAAGAACAUGACUUGGUGUUGGUGCAGGAGGAGCAGAGGAAAUUGGUUCAUUUUCUUUAGGCGCAACUGAUGCAUUUGCCCUGACUUGUUCAGUAUCUUCAGGCGCAGCGUCAGAUGCUUCAGCUGGCCUGGCUUGUUCUUCAGGCGCAACACUAGUGGUUGCCUUGGAAAUUUCAUUAACGGCUGGAAUAGCUUCAUCAGCCAUGGUACUUUCAUUUUCACUAGUAGCCUGAUUUUCAUCAGCGGUGUUGGCAUGUUCUUCAGUUGGCUGGGCAGAUGCUUUAGCCUGAGGAGAUUCAUGUUGCGUUGGGGCUGCAACACUGGAGGUGAAUCCCUUUGCCAUGUUGAUGAAUUUGACUUUGGCUCCCAGCCAAUCUGCACGGUAGACGUCAAAUUCAUCACUGAGUGCCUUGAUCUCAUCUUGCACAGUCACAAGUUCAUCAGUUGUCAUCUUGACAACAUUUUUCUUAAGAAAAUGCCCUUUCUUGUACCGAUCCUUCUUGAGCUUCUUGGCCUUCUCAAAUUUCCAUUUUUCUUCGCUUAUGAAGGCGGUUAGCAUGUGACUUUGGCCAGGAGUGAGCAUGAAGUCAGGCAUAGGAGUGUUGGGGUCUUUGUGCCAGAGAUCAAUGAAAUCAAGGAUCAACUUGGGAUCCAAUAGGAGAGGCACAUCUGUGCCUUUGGCUCUAGCGGCCCUCUAAUGUCUAUCUCUAAUGAUCUCAGCAAGUUCUUCAUCAUCAGCUCCAUCUUCACUGGACGACACAUGAAAGGCAACCUGCUUCUUGUGAGGACUUGGUCUAGAGCCUCCUCCAGCAGUAGCCUUGGUCUUCAGCAAAGUGGGGCCAGUUGAGGAUUGUGGAGGAGCUAAAGAAUUUGCAGAGGCUCCUGAGACAAUUGAGAUGCCUGCGGUCCUUUGGCAAGUGGCGAGAUGCACAGGUGCUGAGGACUUUGCCGGAGGAGCUGAGGGCUUUGCAGUAGUAGGAACUCGAGCAGCUUGAGGAAUUUGCCGUGAGGGCAUAGACGAGCUGGGCUGUGAGGGCAUUGCUGAGGAACUUGAUGGUUUGAGAGCUGGCUUCUUGGCCAUAGCCUUCCCGGGCUUUCUAGCAAAGGCCUCAGCAGCAGUGUCUUCAUUGAAUUUCUUCACUUCUUCUUUGGCCACUUUGGCCAGUUUAGCUUGUCGCUUGGCCCAUUCAGCUAGAAAUUCCUCACCUCCUCUGAUGCUAGAGGGAUCAGCUUCUUGACCAGGUGCCAGUGGAGGUCUUGGGCAUGGAGGGUGUACAGCGAAUUUCUUCAUGUACUUGGGAGUGACAUGGCGAUAUUCCCUCCAUUCUCUGGCCCAUCUCCUCUCAAUUUUAUGAAUGCGCACAUUGCGCUCAUUCUUUGUUUCUUCAGGGGGUGUGCAAUACCCUGCAUAGAUAUCUUCAGGGAUUUCAAAGGCAGUGUUGACUUCCAAUUUCUUCCCUCCCUUCUGAGGUUUCUUGCCAUCAACCAUUUUCUUCAGCUGAGGAUUUUGAACAAUUGAGUUCUGAGAAGAGGUAUGCAAUCUCUCUUCGAGGAACACUGCAAAUGAGUUAAGUUGAUGAGAACCUAGUGAUUCAGCAGCAGGCAUGAGUACCUAUGAACAGAGUAUAGGUGCGAAGAAUUUGGAGAGGUCACAUGCAUUCUCAGAAGUUUUUGCAAAAAAAGAACAAGUUUGAGGAAUUUGAACAGAGGUGUCCUGAGGAAUUUCACUAAGCGUUCUUUGACUUAGGUUCCAGAGUUGUAUAGAUUGAAAAUCCACACAAUUGAAGAAUCUUGAAGAAAAAUGUUGCUUAGAGCAACAAAUCAAGAACAGAUGCUUAUGUGAGGUGUUUAAAGUGUGGAAGUUGAAGAAUAAACACCUUUUGAAGAUUUUGUAGAAAUCAUCAGAAUCAACAAGGGCAGCAAAAGUAACUUUUAAUUACCCCUGACGAAGAACACGACGAACAGGAGUAGUAGAUUAGAAGUUCGUCAGUCCAGAUCUUCCACGCCCUAACUUGGCAGAGGAAGACAACUACGGCGGCAGCGGAGAGAAGAAAUCCGCGGCCGGCGCGAGUACGACGGCGACGAGGUUGAGGCAAUGAAGCUCUUCCUCAUUGGCGACGAUGGAAGUAGCGGUGGUGCUAGGUCUGGAAGCUCAAGCGAGGAGAGUGAGGUCGAGCGGGGUAAAUGAAGUCUGAGGAGGGUGAGGGGUAUUUAUAGCCAAAGUGAAAAACCGCUCGCUCGAAGAAAUUGGACGAACGUGCCCCUGACUCUUCUCAUCCUAGCGACAUGUGUCACCCACGUACAGAGCAGUGGCGAUCGUGUGAGAUGGGUGAAUAGAUAAGUCUUAUCGAGGGAUGCGAAACGAUUUGAGCGGCAAGAGCCAAAAAUUUGAGAUAAAAAUAUUUUAACAUUUCGUUCCCAAAUUCUUCAGCUGACAAGGACGCAGUGAAGGUUUUGAACGAGUUUCAAAUAAAACGCACAUGAAGAAUUUGUAACAGUUUGGGUUAAGUUUAGCAUAGAGGGGGAAGGGUCCGAUCACAUUCACUUAGCAGAAAAGGUGAGUUGAAUAAUUAGCAAUAAGUGAAUGUUGUAGAGGACUAAAAAAACUCAUAUAUAUAUAUAUAUAUAUAUAUAUAUAUAUAUAUAUAUAUAUAUAUAGUCAAUGAAGAACAACAAUGGAAAGAGUGAAGACAAUGCAAAGUGAAGAAAUUGAAUCAACCGAGGAAUUUCAAAACUGAAGAAAAACUCAAAUUGAAGAAUUUCAACUUUUGUUGGUGGCGUGACCCACCGUAUAAGAAUGAUGAUUUCAAACGCCGCAUACAAUUGUCAUAGGGCUCUGAGAAUCAAAUUCUUUGUUAAUUUCUUCACACUUAGAGGGUUAGUCUUCAUUGAUUGAAGAAGAACGUUACUUUGUGUGUUGCAUAUCUAAGUCAUCAAUUUUGCGUAAGUGUUAGGAUGUGUGUCCUUUUCAAAGGACAUUCGAAGAUUCUAAGAAAUUUAGCUCACACCGCAACUUGCUAAAUCUCUUCUCAUCCAAGGGCUUUGUGAAGAUAUUGGCUAGCUAUUCUUCAGUCUUCACAUGCUCAAUAGAGAUGUCGCCCUUCAACACAUGAUCACAAAGAAAAUGAUGACGAAUCUGAAUGUGCUUUGUCUUCGAGUGCUGAACUUGGUUAUGAGCAAUCUUGAUGGCACUCUCAUUGUCAUAGUAGAGAGGCACAUUCUUCACAUUGAUGUUGUAGUCCUUGAGGGUUUGCUUCAUCCAUAGCAAUUGAGCACAGCACAAACCAACAACAAUGUACUCAGCUUCAGCAGUAGAGAGUGAUACGCAGUUCUGUUUCUUCGAGGACCAACAUACCAAGGAUCGUCCGAGGAAAUGGCAUGUGCCUGAUGUUGACUUGUGGUCCACACGGUCACCAGCAUAGUCAAAGUCAGAAUAUCCAAUGGGAUAAAAAGUCGAGCCCUUGGGAUACCAUAGUUCUAGACUUGGUGUGUGAGCUAGAUAUCGAAGAAUAUGCUUCACAACCUUAUGGUGUGAUUCCUUCGGUGUAGCUUGAAAUCGGGCACACAUGCAAACACUAAGCAUAAUAUCUGGCCUAGAUGCACAUAAAUACAAUAAGGAGCCAAUCAUGGAGCGGUAUACCUUUUGAUCGAAGUCUAUACCAUUUUCAUCAGUGCAUAGAUGGCCAUUUGUGGGCAUAGGGAUUUUGACGCCCUUGCAAUAUUGCAUGCCAAAUUUCCUCAACACAUCCUUGAGGUAUUUCUCCUGAGAUAUGAAGACGCCGCUACGUUGUUGACGUAUCUGAAGACCUAAGAAGAAUUUCAAUUCUCCCAUCAUAUACAUUUGAUAUUCUUCACUCAUCAUAUAGGCAAAUUCAUCACUGUAACGUUGGUCAGUACAGCCAAAGAUGAUAUCAUCAACAUAUAUUUGGCACAUGAAUAAUUCAUCAUCACAGGUUUUGGUGAAAAGAGUUGGGUCAAGUGAACCGGGUUUGAAGCCUUUCUUCAUGAGGAAUUCCUUCAAAGUAUCAUACCACGCCCGAGGGGCUUGCUUGAGGCCAUAGAGGGCCUUAUUGAGUCUGAAGACUUUGUCAGGAUGCUCUGGAUCUUCAAAACCUAGGGGUUGAGCAACAUAUACUUCUUCCUCCAGCUUACCAUUGAGGAAUGCACUUUUCACAUCCAUUUGAUAUAAGAUGAUAUUAUGAUGGUUAGCGUAAGCAAGCAAUAUGCGAGUAGCCUCAAGUCUAGCAACAGGUGCAAAAGUUUCUUCGAAAUCAAUUCCUUCAACCUAUGUGUAGCCUUGAGCUACAAGCCGUGCCUUAUUCCUCACCACAAGGCCAUUUUCAUCUUGCUUGUUGCGGUAUAUCCAUUUGGUGCCAAUGAUAUUGUGCUUGCGUGGGUCUGGUCGCUUGACAAGUUCCCGCACAUUGUUGAGCUCGAACUGAUGUAAUUCCUCUUGCAUUGCUUGAAUCCACUCAGGCUCCAGAAAUGCCUCAUCUACUUUGGUGGGCUCUAUGAUAGAGACAAAAGCAAAGUGCCCACAAAAGUUAGACAAAUGUGAAGCUUUUGAGCGUGUGAGAGGACCUGGUGCUUUGAUGUCAUUGAUGAUUCUAUCAAUCUUCACUUAAUUACCAAUGCGAGGAUGAGCACGUUGACGACAUUGAGGGGGCUCAGCAUUUUCUUUAGAGCCAUUUUCCUCAGGUGCACCAGCAUGAUGUUCUUCACGAUCAGGAAUGACUUCUUCAGCAGAUUCUUCGAUAGGGAUGACAUCCUCAGUGGCCUUGAACUUAAUGGAUUCCUCAGGUGGCAUUUCAUCUAGCACAGGAGGUAGGUGCUCUCUUUGCGAGCCGUUAGUUUCAUCGAACCGCACAUCUACAGUUUCAACAACCUUGUGGUGAUAGGUGUUGAAGACUCUGUAGGUGUGCGAGUCCUUUCCAUAACCAAGCAUAAAACCUUCAUGUGCUUUCGGUGCAAAUUUAGAAUUGUGAUGAGGGUCUCUAAUCCAACAUUUAGCACCGAAGACUUUGAAAUAACUCACAUUGGGUUUCUUGUCAGUGAGGAGUUCAUAUGAGGUCUUUCUGAAGAAUUUGUGAAGAUAUAUCAUGUUGAUGAUGUGGCACGCAGUAUCAAUUGCCUCAGGCCAGAAGCGAGGAGGCGUCUUGUAUUCAUCAAGCAUAGUGCGAUCCAUCUCAACAAGAGUUCCACUUUUGCGCUCCACGACGCCAUUCUGUUGAGAAGUAUAAGGAGCAGAUAACUCGUGAGUAAUACCAAGUUCAUGAAGAUAGUCAUCAAGACCAGUAUUCUUGAACUCGGUUCCAUUGUCACUUCUGAUGUGCUUGAUCUUCACACCAAAGUUGGUUGAAGCCCUUGAGGAAAAUUGUUUGAAGACUUCCUGCACUUCAGUUUUGUAAGUGAUGAUAUGCACCCAUGUGUAAUGAGAAUAGUCAUCAACAAUGACAAAGCCAUAUAAAGAUGCAGCAUUAGUAAAUGUUGCAUAAUGAGUAGGGCCAAAGAGAUCCAUGUGAAGCAAUUCAAAUGGACGAGUGGUAGUCAUGAUGGUCUUUGAGGGAUGCUUGGUUUUGGUCACCUGUCAAGCUUCACAAGCCCCACACAUAUGGUCCUUGAGGAAUUUGACACCAUCGAUGCCAAUGACAUGCUUCUUCUUGGCUAGAGUGUGCAAGUUCCUCAUGCCAGCAUGACCAAGUCGUGGAUGCCAUAGCCAACCAUCUGAAACUUUUGCAAGUAGACAUGUAGCAGGUUAUGGUCCUGUAGAGAAACCAACAAUAUAUAGAUUUCCUCUCCUAAAUCAUUCGAAGACUUUGGAAUUGUUAGCUUCCAUGAUCGCAACACAACGAUACUUGCCAAAGACAACAACCAUAUCAAGAUCACAAAGCAUUGAGACAGACAUGAGGUUGAACCCUAAGGACUCGACAAGCAUGACUUUGUCCAUGUGUCGAUCCUUUGAGAUCACAAACUUUCCUUUCCUAGACCCAAUACCUUGCUUUUGCCUUUGUUAGCAUAGGUGAUAUGCUUCAGAUGUGAUGGAGACAAAGCAGUGUCCAUCAAUAAGUUCCUGUCACCAGUCAUGUGAUUUGUACAUCCACUUUCGAGGACCCACUCAGUGGCUUUGGGUUGGUCAUCCUGCAGAUGAAUUAGUACAUCUUACGAACUCAUAUACUUCAACAGUGAAGAAUAUGACAUCAAAUUCAUCAGAUCAAUUUCAUCAAGCGAUAGAACAUAUAUGCAGUAUGAGGAUGUGAGAAAUGAAGAUUCAUUUCUUCAUGAUUAGCUUGCGUCCUUUCAAGCAUAUUCAGGUCUCCAUCAAAUUCUUCACACGUUUAGGAUCGUCUGGAGACCUGACCCUGCAUAAGAAAUUAGUUCUUUUUCUUCACCACCCACGUCUGGAGGGGUGGCAAAGAGUUCAUCCUGCGAGCUCCAUAUGAGAAAGGUGGCAUAGAAGCCAAUCCAUUUCGUUUCACAUGAGAAGGGUUAGAGUAAGCAUAUGAAUAAGCAGAGAAAUUCUUCGAGGACUUAUGAACAUAAUGAUUUGAAGAAUAAUGCACAUAUUCAUAACCCUUAGAUCUUCCCUGCAAAACAGAAGUGUUAGCACGAUGAUGUUCAUAUGAGGAUCUGGAUCUGGAUCCAUAUGAAGACUUUGGUCCAUAUGAAGAAUUUGAUCUGGGGUUCCUUGAUACGUCUCCAACGUAUCUAUAGUUUUUGAUUGUUCCAUGAUGUUUUAUUAUCAAUCUUGGAUGUUUUAUAAUCAUUUUAUAGUCAUUUUAUAUCAUUUUUGGUACUAACUGAUACGUCUUCGUCGUAUCUAUAAUUUUUGAUUGUUCCAUGCCAAUAUUAUACAACUUUCAUAUACUUUUGGCAACUUUUUAUAGCAUUUUUGGGACUAACAUAUUGAUCCAGUGCCCAGUGCCAGUUCCUGUUUGUUGCAUGGUUUUUGUUUCGCAGAAAAUCCAUAUCAAACGGAGUCCAAACAGGAUAAAAACCGACGGAGAUUUUUUUGGAAUAUAUGUGAUUUUUGGGAAGAAGAAUCAACGCGAGACGAUGCCCGAGGGGGCCACGAGGCAGGGGGCGCGCCCCAGGGGGUCAGGCGCGCCCUGGGCCCUCAUGGCUACCCCGUAAGACGGUUGGUGCCCAUCUUUCGCCGCAAGAAAGAUAAUAUCUGGAUAGAGAUUGUAUCCAAAAUUCAGACCAAUCGGAGUUACGGAUAUCUGGGAAUAUAAGAAACGGUGAAAGGGCAGAAUCAGGGAACGCAGAAACAGAGAGAGACAGAGAGACAUAUCCAAUCUCGGAGGGGCUCUCUCCCCUCCCAUGCCAUGGAGGCCAUUGACUAGAGGGGAAACCCUUCUCCCAUCUAGGGAGAAGGUCAAGGAAGAAGAAAAAGAGGGGGGGUCUCUCUCCCUCUCUUCCGGUGGCAUCGGAACGCCGCCGGGGCCAUCAUCAUCACCGCAAUCUACACCAACAACUUCACCGCCCUCAUCACCAACUCUUCCCCCCUCUAUGCAGUGGUGUAACCCCACUUUUACCCGCUGUAAUCUCUACUUAAACAUGGUGCUCAAUGCUAUAUAUUAUUUCCCAAUGGUGUAUGGCUAUCCUAUGAUGUUUGAGUAGAUCCGUUUUGCCCUAUGGGUUAAUUGAUGAUCGUGAUUGGUUUGAGUUGCAUGUUUUAUUAUUGGUGUUGUCCUACGGUGCUCUCCGUGUCGCGCAAGCGUGAGGGAUUCCCGCUGUAGGGUGUUGCAAUACGUUCAUGAUUUUGCUUAUGGUGGGUGGCGUGAGUGACAGAAGCACAUGCCCGAGUAAGUAGGUUGUUUGCAUAUGGGAGUAAAGAGGACUUGAUACUUUAAUGCUAUGGUUGGGUUUUACCUUAAUGAUCUUUAGUAGUUGUGGAUGCUUGCCAGAGUUCCAAUCAUAAGUUUAUAUGAUCCAAGUAGAGAAAGUAUGUUAGCUUAUGCCUCUCCCUCAAAUAAAAUUGCAAUAACGAUUACCGGUCUAGUUAUCGAUUGCCUAGGGACAAAUAACUUUCUUGUGACAAAAAGCUCUGUACUAAACCAAAUUUAGUUGUGUCUUUAUCUAAACAUCCCCUACUUUUUAUUUACGUGCUCUUUAUUAUCUUGCAAACCUAUCCAACAACACCUACAAAGUACUUCUAGUUUCAUACUUGUUCUAGGUAAAGCGAAUGUUAAGCGUGCGUAGAGUUGUAUUGGUGGUCGAUAGAACUUGAGGGAAUAUUUGUUCUUCCUUUAGCUCCUCGUUGGGUUCGACACUCUUACUUAUCGAAAGAGGCUACAAUUGAUCCCCUAUAAUUAUGGGUUAUCAUGACCUUUUUCUGGCGCCGUUGCCGGGGAGCAAUAGCGUGGGUUGAAUAUUCUUGUGUGUGCUUGUUUAUUUUAUCACUAAGUAAUUUUUAUUUGCUGUUCUUAGUUGUUUUCUAUCUUUAGUUAUGGGUAGGAAACACAAAAUACCAAAAAAUAGUUGUACCUACUGAACCAAUGCAUGAAGAACCACUCAAAAUCUAUCACACUACUGAAGCUUUUUACUUGGAUCAUCUUCGAUCCCUAUGUGCUCGUGCUGAAACCCCAACUAGCUUAGUUGAGGGCAAAUAUUUAGAUGAACAUGCUUGUUAUGUGCGACACCGCUUAUCUCAAAAAGGGAAACUCUUACUGGAUCAAAUUCAUCGUUUGCAAUGCUAUGCUUGGAAUUUAUGUGAAAUAUAUGAUGUUACUUGUUGUUCUGAAAACCCUAAGAAACACCUUCCCUACCAAUGUGAGUUUAGUGAUAAUGGAAUCGUAUCUUCAUAUGCUAAGGGUGUUUAUAAUUACUAUUAUGUUCAACAAAUUGAAGAAUUUGUUGCUUUUAAGGGUGCUUAUGAAAUUGCUUCUUUGAUUGAAAAGUAUGAUGCUACUCUUUACAAAUCUGAAAAUUUUGCCAUACUUAAAUAUUGUUAUGAUAAUUAUGCUUCUAAUGCCUAUGUUAAACCAUAUAUUGAGGACUCCUCUGUUGUCCAUGAAGAGACUAAUAAUUUGCAGGAGUCUAUGGAAGAAGAAAUUGAUGAAACUGUGAGCUCAUUGGAUGAAAAAUAUGAUGAGGAGAGUGAAGAACAAAAGGAGGAAGAGCAGAUUAGAUACCCGUGCCCACCUUCUAAUGAGAGUAACUCUUCAACUCAUACAUUGUUUAAUUUCCCUUCGUGCUUACCGAAGGAUGAUUUCUAUGAUGAUUGUUAUGAUCCCGUUGAUUAUUUUGAAAUAUCCCUUUUUGAUGAUGCUUGCUAUGCUUGUGGCCAAGAUGCCAAUAUGAAUCAUGCUUAUGGAGAUGAACUUGCUAUAGUUCCUUAUGUUAAACAUGAAAUUGUUGCUAUUGCACCCACACAUGGUAGUCCUAUUAUCUAUUUGAAUUCUCUCGACUACACUAUAUCGGAGAAGUUUGCCCUUAUUAAGGAUUAUAUUGAUGGGUUGAGUUUCACUACUACACAUGAUGAUUUUGAUAGAUAUAAUAUGCAUGUGCUUUCUGCUCCUACUUGCAAUUAUUAUGAGAGAGGAACUACAUCUCCGCCUCUCCAUGUUUCCAAUAUGAUAAAAUUGCAAGAAACUGUUUAUACUAUGCAUUGGCCUUUACUAUGUGUGCAUGAAUUGUUCUUUUAUGAAAUGUCGAUGCAUAGGAAGAGAGUUAGACUUCGUCAUUACAUGAUAUAUUUUGCUUUGUGCUCAUUACUAAAUCACAAAUCAUUGUUAAUUAAAAUUGGCUUUGAUAUACCUUGGGAUCCGGGUGGAUUCAUUACUUGAGCACCUUAUGCCUAGCUUAAUGGCUUUAAAGAAAGCGCUGCCAGGGAGACAACCCGGAAGUUUUAGAGAGUCAUUUAUUUCUGUUGAGUGUUUUUACAAAGUUUAAAAACAAAAAAAUAAAGAGGGGAACCUAAAACUUUUUCAAAAAGAAAAACGAAAGUGAGAAAGACGAGCAUUGUUAAAAUGGGAGCUAGCCUUGAACUUUGUUCAUGCCCAUGGAAACUUUGUGACCCUUGAUUACAGAAACUUUUCAACAAAAAUAAUUAUCCCCUUGUACAAUUCCUUUGUAUUAUAAAAAUAAUGUGCCAAGAUUUGCCUUUAGGAUGUUUACAUUGCUUGAUGGUUUGUGCGAUGCAGAACAGAAACUUUGGCUGUAGUGCGCAAUUUUAAAUUUUUUACUAGAACAUCAAACGAUUUUGAAACAUUUUGCACUGUCUUUCUAUGCAAAUUUUUUAUUUUUCCUAAUUUUUGCAGAAUUUUUUGCAGUACCAGAGGUAUGGUGAAUGUUCAGAUUACUACAGACUAUCCUGUUUAAGACAUAUUUUGUUUUUGAUGCAUAAUUUGCUUGUUUUGAUGAAACUAUCGAUUUAUAUCUGUGGAUUAAGCCAUGGAAAAGUUAUAUUACAGUAUCUACAAUGCAAAAACAAAAGAUGAAUUGGUUUGAAACCGUAUUAGAGUAGUGAUUUGCUUUAUUAUACUAACGGAUCUUACCGAAUUUUCUGUUGAGUUUUGUGUGGAUGAAGUGUUCGAAGAUCGAGGAGGUCUCGAUGUGAGGAGAAGGAAGAGAGGCAAGAGCUCAAGCUUGGGGAUGCCCAAGGCAACCCAAGUAAAUAUUCAAGGAGACUCAAGCGUCUAAGCUUGGGGAUGCCCCGGAAGGCAUCCCAUUUUUCUUCAACAAGUAUCGAUAUGUUUUCCGAUUCGUUUCGUUCAUGCGAUAUGUGCAAAUCUUGGAGCAUCUUUAGCAUUUAGUUUUCACUUUUAUUUUAUGCACCAUGCUGGUAUGAGAUAUUCCUUGGUUUAUUUAUAGAAUGCUUCAUGUGCUUCACUUAUAUAUUUUGAAGUUUGGAUUGCCUGUUUCUCAUCACAUAGAAAACCGCCAUUUGUAGAAUGCUCUUUUGCUUCACUUAUAUUUGUUAGAGCGUGUGCAUAUCUUUUUUUAGAAAGAAUUAAACUCUCUUGCUUCACUUAUAUAUAUUUAGAUAGAUGACAGGAAUUGGUGAUUCACAUGGUUAGUCAUAAAAUCCUACAUAAAACUUGUAGAUCACUGAAUAUGAUAUGUUUGAUUCCUUGCAAUAGUUUUGCGAUAUAAAUGUGGUGAUAUUAGAGCCGUGCUAGUUGAGUAAUUGUGAAACUAAGAAAUACUUGUGUUGAGGUUUGCAAGUCCCGUAGCAUGCACGUAUGGUAAACGUUGUGUGACAAAUUUGAAGCAUGGGGUGUUCUUUGAUUGCUUUCCUUAUGAGUGGUGGUCGGGGACGAGCGAUGGUCUUUUCCUACCAAUCUAUCCCCCUAGGGGCAUGCGUAGUAGUACUUUGCUUCGAGGGCUAAUAAAAUUUUGCAAUGAGUAUAUGAGUUCUUUAUGACUAAUGUGAGUCCAUGGAUUAUACACACUCUCACCCUUCCAUCAUUGCUAGCCUCUUCGGUACCGUGUGUUGCCCUUUCUCACCUCGAGAGUUGGUGCAAACUUCGCCGGUGCAUCCAAACCCCGUGAUACCAUACGCUCUAUCACACAUAAACCUCCUUAUAUCUUCCUCAAAACAGCCACCAUACCUACCUGUCAUGGCAUUUCCAUAGCCAUUCCGAGAUAUAUUGCCAUGCAACUUCCAUCAUCAUCAUAUACAUGACUUGAGCAUUUAUUGUCAUAUUGCUUUGCGUGACCUUAAGAUAGCUAGCAUGAUGUUUUCAUGGCUUGUCCAUUUUUUGAUGUCAUUGCUACACUAGAUCAUUACACAUACCGGUACACCGCCGGAGGCAUUCAUAUAGAGUCAUACUUUGUUCUAGACAUUGAGUUGUAAUAUUGAGUUGUAAGUAAAUAAAAGUGUGAUGAUCAUCAUUAUUAGAGAAUUGCCCCAGUGAGGAAAGGACGAUGGAGACUAUGAUUCCCCCAUAAGUCGCGAUGAGACCCCGGACUUAAAAAAAAGAGGCCAAAGAAGCCCACCAAAAAAACAAAAAAAAACAAAAAAA